rnacentral:lncRNA from 1 species
GCUUGCUGUUCCUCUGCCUUUCUCUCUCAGCAUCUUUCUGGGAGCCUGUAGGUGAAGCAGCACCAGGAAGCAUCCAUGGCCUGUCUUUCGGGUUAACACUUGUCUCCUUUGGCUUUGGCAGCUGACACUGCAGACCUCAGCAGCGGCGUUGUGAGGACUUAACUGAGACCUGGAAGCGUAUCCUCCUGUGUUUUUUCAGACUCCUUGGAAAUUAAGGAAUGCAAUUCUGCCACCAUGAUGGAAGGUAGGAUGCUUUCUGCUGAUGUUGGCUGGCUUCGGGCAAGAUUUGGGCAAAACAGCACGGAAGAAUGUGUGCAGCCAGUGUUGGUGGCCAUUCUAGAACCUGGUUGCCAGGGUUUUGCAAGCAUAAAUGCUGCAGUUUCCUUGCAGAGAACCAGGGCUUGGACUAAUGGAAUCAACCACAGGGCUUCUGUCUAGCUCAGAACCUACAGAGAGCUCCCAGCUCCUUUGAGACAGAAAAGCCUAAAGUAUUUGUAGGAAGCUGAGCUAGAGCUAGGAAAGAGCUUGCAGAGCAAAUAAGUUGGGAGAGAAGAUAAGGUUUUCUUUGCUGGGUUCCUGGAACUACACUGAUUAAACAUUUACAAUGGAAACUUGUUUUCUGAAAUUGACAUUAGACAGGAGAGGUCAUUUACAGAGUUAUCCAUACUGUCAUUUUCAGUGAGCUGCUUAAAAUUAAAAAAAAAAAAAUCUUAUAAGAUAUUUUUGUCUCUGCAAUUUAUAUCAUAUAAUUAGAGUGAUGUUUACAGCAAAUUUGGUCCAUGAACUGAAGUUUUACAUUUAUGCCAUUGCAAAGAAUGAACAAUAUAAGGAAAAUAUCUGGGCCUCUUGGCUCCUGAAUCAAGAUCUUAUCAGGUUAAAAAAAAAUGUGCUUCCUAAAAGCUUUCCCCAUGCAAUGGUUCUUAGCCAAGCAUCAAAUGAUUACUUGCUGAUUAUCUUUUUGCAUUCAAUAUUAAGUGUAAGGAGGAACUUUCCCUGGGGAGAUGCUAUUUAAACUAUAUAUUAUUCUACCAAAUUACCCUUCCCAGGCUGAGAUAGUGACAGCCAAGAUUGCCUCAAAAAAGCUGCAAGCAGAUCAGGAAAGAAGCAGUCAGCUCUAUGCGAGCUUUGAUUUUCUGUUUUCACACUACAGGAUGGUGCAAAACUCCUGGCCUUUCCUAAGAUGACAGGCAGAAAUUUGUCCCCAGCCUGGAUUUUACAAUGCAGAAUUGAGUGCAUAAUGGGUUUCAAAUCAGCCAUGAAAAUGGCAGAGAGGCCACCUCUUAAGCCAAAGUCUGUCUUUCCAAUUUUAAAUAUUCCUUAGAAAUUUACCAAAAUGGAAUUAAGGGAAGGAUGGUUUCAAAAAAACAGCAGUGUACUUAUUUGGCAGAAAUGAAUUCUUUUUGCUCUUUCUGUCAUCAUGUCAAAUGUUGUUAGUGUGAUUUGGGGGAGUGAAGAAUUCCAGAGUCAAAACCCAUAGAUUUUGGAAAAUAGCCUUAUAAGAGAGAUUGGGUAUCGUUUUGUUAUGGAACCUGAUCUUGUUUGUAAAGGGAUCUGAAGCUAGUUCUUUAUAUAUAGGCAGGCCUAAAUAAAUUGAGACUGCUAGCACUCUAAGAUUAAACCAUUUUUCAUUAAUUCAAAAUGAGUUUAAUCUUUGAAUAACAAGGAAAGGCAAAGAGAGCAUCACUUAUGUACUUUUCAAUUAAAAGUCUAUGUGGAUUAUCUUCUUCAGUUUUUUUUUUAAAAUCUUCUAUAUGGAAGCACUGUAUUUUGCCAGAUAAAUUUCUUGUAGCUUUUCAUAAAAAUGCAUCUACACUCAUUCUGAUUAGAUUCCAGUUAUAUAUGGGCAAUUGGAAGGUCUAACAUUUUACUUCUUGCCUUGCAAACUACAGAGCUAGUGUCUUCUCUGAAGGUAGUAACAUUUAUUGAUGCUCAUUAAUGAUCCUCCCUGGUAAUAUGGUCUAUUGUGCCAACCCAGAAUGUCAGUUCAAAGCCCUGUGAUAAGCUUAUCUGAGCUGCCUAAACUGAAAUGAGAACUGUAACAAAGACUUGGGUUGGAGCUGAAUUAGCACUAUCGCCAGGUUUGCCAAAUUUAUCUAAUGAAGGAUAUUAUCUUAGCUCUGGUAGGAAUUAGAGGUGACACUGGAUGCAGUUGCCUUGUAUCCGACCCUUGCAAGAGAAAUUGGACAGAUAUUGCCACUAGUUUAAAAAUUAAAGUGAAGCAAAUAAUUUUUUCUACCAAUAGUCGCUAUUUAAAUUCUUUUCAAACCUUGUUAUUUUAAUGGUUCAGUGACCUUGAGAAAGCAGGUAGGGACCUUAACCAGAAAUCCAUCUGCAUGUCAGUGGUCUUCCAACUUAGUUGCCAAUCUCUUUGGCAAUAAUCUGUUUGUGUUUCUGAUAUUGUAUUCCAGAAUUUCACCUCUGAAUUGCUCUUACUCUGAAGAUGUGACAUAAUGGUUAUUUUCACUUAAGUCACCUGAAAAAAAAGCCAAGGUGUUAUAUCUAUCAUAGUAACCUUGGAAAGACAAGAACCCCCUAAAAGGCAUCCUAAAAUGUUGUCUUAGCUGAAAUAUCAGUGGACUCUGAGAAUGUGCCCCCAAACAUCUAGCUCAUUAAAAUCGUGUCUGAUCUCAACUUGUACAUGUGUCUCUCUCACACACACAGUCACUCACACACAUAGUCAGCCACAUGAACAGCUUUCUAUGGAGGGGGAGAAUGAAUGGCUGCAAUAGUGUGUGUUCAUUCUAUAUUGCUGAAGUAUUUUAAUCUGCUUUUCAGAAAAAAAGCAUGGCCAGGGCAACUUUUCAAAGCCACUUCUCUACUGUGUGUAAAACAAGAGUAAACAAAUAUGCAAUGGAAUGGAGCAUAGUUUAGUUUUGUGUCCUUGUUUUUGUGGGACAGGAUACAGGCUCCAUUCAUUCAACAGCCUAUUGGGAAUCCUGGUCAUAGAAGAAGAAUGUAACUACCUCCCCAGUGAUUCUAAGGUCAUGAAAGACAGCUUAAUAAUUCUGCAGGGACUUAAGGGGGCCACCAGUAGUUUGUGGGUCCAUGAUUCUAUAUCAACUAUGUAUUUUUAAAAUACUUGAUUUGUUGCUUUCUACAUUCUUCCUUUUUUGGCAGUGUUUGGUAUUGAUUUGUUACUUUUCUGAAGAAAGCCCAAUGAUAUAGAUCAUAUGUGGUAUAAAUGUGAAGGGAAAGAUAAGCAAUAAAGGGAAUUAUUUGCUUAAGUGUGUGUGCAUUGGCUGUACUUACAAUGUAGUCUAUUUGGUUAGGGCAACUAUUCAGGACUAUUUUCCAUAUAUUAUUAUUAAACUUUAAAAAUGGCAUUUUUUAAAGUUAUGUUUCCAAAGAUAGUGAGGCCAAGCCAGUAUCUCUUAGAAUAUCUUUUUAUUCAUGAGGCUGCCUGGAAAGAACUUUCCUUGUUCAUGCAGAAGUGACUGAAAGUGCUUUGUGUUUUUAAUUCCAUAUUCAGGCUUUUAGGUGCUGAAUCAGAAAGAUAAGUUUCUGGGUGCUGAUUGUUUCAUACUAUAUAACAAUGUUAAAAAUUAGCAAGUGUAUUUUAAGGGCUUCAUUGAAAUUCAGGGUGAUUUAAAACAUUUUAUUACGUUUACUACUGAAAAUAAAUGUAUUUAAUGUAGCAAUACUUUGGCAGUAAUUUUUCUAAAUCUCAAAAAUAAAAGAUAAUACACUGACACAGAAAAUGAUGGAAUGAAAUUUGAACCUAAGUCCAUUCAACAAGAAGACUCAUAAUUUUGGCCUUCUAGAAAUUUUUUCUUUUAAUUUUGUAUGAGGAUGGGCAAGGUAGCCAAAAUGAAAAAAAAAAAAAGAGGCCUUUGUUUCUUUAGUUAUACAUUCCAUUUUUCUCCAUUUUAAAUAUGAGAAUUUAUGGAACCAUAUCCUUUGGUUCCUUUCUAAUUCCUUUUCUGCCAGAAUCAUUAUUUAGAUGGUUUGGACACUAUUUGAGGUUAACUGAAAUUCUGUUAUUGCAGUAAGCCCUAUAAACAAUAAAGGCUUUUUUUCCUAUAUAGAAAUGGAGUUUUAUAAUACUUUAAAAAAUUCUUUGAUGUGAUCAAAAAGGAAGAAAGCAACUGAAGCUGGAACUAUUUAUUUUACAGUUAACUAAGAAGUUUUUAAAGAGAAUGCUUCUAAUUAGCCCUGCCAAUCCCCUUCCCUCAAAUAGUGAAGCUACUUUAGAAAAUCUAAGCAUGUAUAUAAGAUUCUAAUAUAUAUCCUAUCAUUUAUAUAGUUUUUUUUCCUUCUCUGGGACUGUGUUGUUUGAGACUCUUUAGAUGUAUAAGUUCCCAUCCAAUUUAAGGGUCAACUUUAAAAAGAAUACAUAGUCUUAAAAAAAAACAAACUUAGAUAAACCAAGCUAGAUGAUUCUGAACAAUUCUUUCUGUUGUAAUUGGCAUAUGUGCUACCUGUGUUUCAAAUAAACAAGUUGCAGAAAGUCACCAACUCACAGUUUUUAUGUCCUCAAAGUUCUUUUGUGAGUUACUGGAACGGAACAUGUUUUCUCAUAGUAACAGUGACAUAAAUGAUGGUAUCACACUAGUCCAUUGAAGGCUAUUAGCCCAAUAUUAUCGCAUAUCUGCAAUGAGAUGUAUAAAUAACAGUACAGUUACCAUAGUGAUUAGCCAGAAGGGGAAUGAUGGCAUUAAAUAUGCUUCUAAUUUCAAAUAUUGCUGUUUGAUAUUGCUAUUAGUCUUCCAGCCUGGUUUAUCUAAUUAUUAACAAAGAAGUUUUAAUUAGAGGACAAUGAGAAGCUGGUGAGAAUAUUUGAAGGUGUUGUUAGAUAUUUUCAAAAAUUUUUAAAGACUCAUAGCACUGGAUUUUUCAAUUAUUUUCAAUUUUACUCUCAUUCUUGUGGCUUUUUUUAAAUUCAAUUUUAUCAUAUUAACUCUUAUUAAAUGUGAGUAAGGCUAUUACAUAAAUUCAAAAAUGGAGUUGAGGGAGAAGGACAGAGAACUUACUGAGAUGACUAUAAAAAAGGCAAAGGGAGAAAAGGAAUAACAGGUUAUAAUGAAUUUGGACUUGUAUAUCUGAAAAAGUUCCUGAGAAUAAAUUAACUAAAUAAGAAGAAGGAGGUCAUAGAUACAAGGGGCUGGGAAACAUCAAAAGGGAAGAAUCCCUUAGGAGAAAGUGAUUUAUGGGCAGAGGUGCUGGGUCUAAACAAAUCGUGUGGUGACUGCCAGAUAUAUCUAUGAGCACAGAAUGGCUUGAUUAGGGUGAGAAAGCUAUGGGAGAAGUACUUUGGGGGCGGGGGGGGGUCUCCAUUUUUUUGGAAGAUACUUUACUGGGUCUACUUUAAGGGGUCUCCAUUUUUGCAAUCUACAUGUCAGUUAACUGCAUCUACAGGAUAUUAGAAAAAGAUAUUUCAAUACCUUAUAUCAUGUAAGUACCUUAUUUAAAAAAUUCGUUAUCUUCCCAUUUCUUUUAAAAUCCACAUCCCAUAAGAGCCUGCAUUCUCAGUCCUUCUUUCUUCUUCAAGUUCAUCUAAUCCUUUACUGAGAGGCACACUAGUGUAUAAUCCUAGUGUUUAGAAUAAACUCUUUCCUACCUCCUCUUUCCCCAGCUCAUUGAAUUGCCAAUUCUCUUGUGACACUAGCAUCCCCAGGAAGACUUCCCUAUCGUUUUUGUCAUCUUAAGCUCCUAAACACACGUUUGGGCCACUGAAUCCGCAGAGCUGUAUUUAUGACUUGUUGUUUAACCUUGUGUUACCUGAAUGUCUCACUCACAGGUUAAGCUCUGUAAAGGAAAGAAUCUGGUCCACCAUUUUCAUCUCUGUACCUGCAGCCCCCAGUAGAUAGCUAGAAUGUUCACUUACUGAAUGAGUAAACUUAGGUCCAAAUGACUCUGAUGACUUAUUGUACUUUUUAGGUAUUAUUUUGGGAUCAUUAUAUUUAAUAGGAAAAAGUUAUGUUCAACUUAUAUUCUCACUGGAGAAACAAAACUCAUAAACAUAACACAAUUAGAAAAUAAGACAAUGUAUUAUGAAGUGUUAAAUUGUGAGACAUAGAUAAUACAUUUUGAGAAGCAAAAUAAAGAGUUCAUUUGAGAACACAUAGUUAAGCUUUAAUUAUUUGGGUGAUUAUUAUUUUUUUAAUGAAGGUAACUUUUUUUCAUAACUUUAUGUUAUUCAUUUAUUUUUUAUGUGGUGCUGAGGAUGGAACCCAAGGCCUCACAUGUGCUAGGCAAGCACUCUACCGCUGAACCACAACCCCAGCAAUUGGUGAUUAUUUUUAAGGAAAUUAUUUUUAUAAUGGAAAGAGAUACAUCAUGGCACAGCUCUUCAAAGAAAUUCAGAGUCAGUUUUUUCAGUAUCCUGGAUGCUUUUUUCUCUUCUUCCCUCUUUUUGCCUUUUCUUGCUCCAUUUUUCCCAAUAAUUCAUCCCCGUUCUCUCUUCCUGGGUUCUUUUUCCUUUUCUCUGCUUUAUGACUAACCCUGAAAAUGGUGUCUUCUAGAGUCAGAAGGCUUGACUUGAAAUCAGGGAAAUUAUUUUUAAAUAAAUAAAUGAAUAUAGAUAAGUGUAAUGUCGUACAAAGUGUUCAUGUGUGCAAUGGCAGUGUUGAGGUAUGUGAAGUUUUUCAGAUGCCAAAUUUUCUGAUUGGAGUAUUGGCUAAUUUUAGUAGCUCAAGGUGCUGGGUGAAAUUGUGCAGUUUGGGCUUUUGGUAGAAAUAGCACAAACCCAGAAGUCAGACUUGAGUUUGAGUCUGAGUGUUGUGACUGCUUGGCUGUGUGCCUUGAAAAAGUUACUUUACAUUCCAGGGCUCUGCUUCCUUGCAAACAAAAUGAGAUUUUUUGAUCUGCCAUACCUCUAGAACUUCCAGCUCCAAGAGUCUCUGGCAUUUGCUGAUUGAUUUGGAUUCUCCACAUUGAUUCCCUCCAAAGGCUGAAUUCUAAAGAUUGACUCCACUUCCUCUCACCUUAAAAAUAUACUUGCAUCUGGCACACAAACAAUUUGAAUGCAAUGCUCUCUUCUUCUUGUUGCUGUAAUCUUUUAUCCACUGUUAUUCUGUCUGUAUGACACGAGUUGGUUUUGCAUUUUUGCUGUAUUAGAAGAAGAAAAGUGCAUUUAUGCAACUCUCCUUUAAAUAGUACCUGCUAUUGCACUCUUCCUUUAUUCUUCAAAAAUUACAUAACAAAUGUUUCAGGCAUCGUUCUAGAUGCUGUGAAUUCAAUAGUGAACAAAAUAGAUAAAAAAAAUUUCUUCCUAUGUCGAGUUUCCUCUCUGGUGCAAGAGCGAGAUGAUUUAAAAACAUAAAAUACAUAGUACAUUAGACGGGGGUAAGUACUUGGGAAAAGAAUAGAAUGAAUUGCAUGUGUUUGCUGUUAUAAAGAGAGUGACGAUGAAGACCUUGAGGAGGAGACAUUUGGGCAGACUUGCGGGACAGAAGGAAGGCAGUGGCUAUGUGAUUAUUUAGAUGAAGAGUUCAAGAAGUAGGGGAAACAGCAAUUGUAAAGGAUCAGAAUGGCAAUGUGUUAGGCACGUGGGCAAAACAGCAAGGAGGCUAAUAUGUCUGGAUCAGGGAAAGUGAUCAGGAAAAGAACACAGAAAGGUAAUAUAUAAAUAGGCACCUAUGAGUCUUUUUCAUUGGUAAGAAAGCAAGUUUCCUAUGCAGAAGUCUGUCAACAUUAGCCUUUGUGAUUCAUGCACUAAAUGACAGUUGGGCAUUCAGAAAACUGCAGUUUUCACAUUGAUUCUACAAAUGUCUAAUGACGAUACCUCUUGGAUUUAUUCUUCCCACAUAUUUCAGUAAAUGGAUGAAUGUCAUGUCAUUGCCUUAGCUCAUUCUUCCAAGCUCAAAGUUAGAGCUGAAAUCUCAGCUGGAUCUCUGAGCUUGAAAUUCUCCAUAGAAAAGAUGUUAGCCCCACAAUAAGGAUUAUUCUAGAAUCAGAAAGGUGUGUCAUAACUUUUAGGCCAUAUUCCAAAGAUACUCAUUUUUACUCUUGGUUCAUAUCCACUUCUAUUAUGCACCUUGACAAUUGCUUUAGGAUUCUUAAAAAGGUGGAGAAGUUAUUGUUGUAAUUUGUACCUUUAACAUCCCCCCAAAAGCUCUCAUGUUAGUGCAGGGAUUGUUCAGAGAUGAAAUGAUUAGAUUAUGAAAGCUGUAACCUCAUGGGUGAAUUAAUCCAUUUGAUGGAUUAAUAAUCAAACUGGACUACUGGGUGAUAACUCUAGGUAGAUGAAGCAUGGCUGGAGAAAGUAGAUCACUGGUGGUAUGGUCUUGGGAACUAAUCUUGUCUCUGACUCUUUGCUCUCUCACUGUCUCCCAGCUGCCGUGAGCUGAACAGCUUUCCUUCAUUAUGCCCUCCACCAUGAUAUUCUGCUUCACCUUGGGCCCAAAGCAAUGGAGUCAGCUGAUCAUGGGUUGAGCCUCUGAAACCAUAGGCCCAAAAUAAACUUUUCCCUCCUCUUAAGUUGUUCUUAUCAGAUAUUUUGAUCAAAGCAAUGCAAAGCUAACAAAUUUAUCCAUUUUACAUAUCUCUAACAAAUGGCAUAAGAAGGAAAAUAUUGUUCUCACAUUGUUUUAAGAUUAUGUGACAUUUGCACACACUUAAAAGUUUUAAAAAGUGCUUUUUCAUUCAACAAGUACAUUUGGAGCCAAUAAGAACAUUUAGUCUCAGGUUCUGUGCUAGACACUGAAAAUGAAAGGUGGGGGGCACACAAGAGAAGGGCGACUGCAGUUCCCAACCUCAGGAGAAUCAAGUCUAGAACUGUCUAUGAUGUCACCUACUUAGGUACAUAUUUUAUUCUCACAAUGUCUGUGUGGUGGAAAGGAUAAGUAUUGCUAUUCUUAUUUUAAAUAGGAGGAAACUGGGGCCCAGUGAGGUUUAGUGACUUGCUCAAGGGACCAACUGUCAAGUGACACAACUAGCAAUCCUGACUCCUAGUCCAGUGCUCUUUUAUUUGUGUCACAGUAUGAAAAGUCCUGCUCGUGCUUCAAAUUGUCUGGCUGGGUUUCUGGCUGACAAGGAAACAUCAGACUGCCUGUAUUUGAUACAGUGUUUUCUUCAUAACUAAGCAAGUUCAUUUAUUAUCAGGUCAUGAUCCUUCAGACUUGCUAUCAACUUGAAGACCACCUAAUACAGAAGUGUCCUAUUCCAAAAAAACUCCUUUCAGGGCCACUCAUUGUCACCAGGAUGGUGUGAUGAGAAGGGUCACACUGUGAUGUCACUAACCCAGCGGACUCUAAACUUUCACAGCUUACAUCUGACAAACAUUUUAUUGAAAAGCCUGGCUCCCACUAUGAACAAAAGUCCUUUUUCUCCUAGGAAGAGCUCCUGUUCCCUGGCAUUCUGUGAAAGCUUUGCCAUUAUCAUGAACACAUGAUAUUGUGUACCAUCAGUUGAAGAGUAACCAAACUGGCCAACCUUGUUUUACCAUUGAGGAAGCCAGGGCCAAGUGAAAGAACUUACCCAACAAUUUUUAUUCUCUUUGUAAGAGGACAAGUCAAAGUUUAUUUUAGUAAUGAUUCCAAAAAUGUGCAUAGACAAAGACUUGGAACCCAUGGUGUCUUUCACGUUCAAAGGUGCUGAGGAUGGCUGGGUGACUGCCAAAGGACACACAAAUGAAAUGUGUCCCCAGGGUCACCGUUCUACUGAGUGCACACACAAUGUGACCAUUUAUAGCUCUCUCCUCUGCUUUCACAGCUCAUGCAUCUGCUGUGGGUGAGUCAGGACAGUAGAGCGGGAAGGGCCCAAGAGGGGCUGUGCCUCUUUACUAGUCAUGUGACCUUGAGUGAGGUCUGGAACUGCUUUGGCCUCAGCCUCCCCAUUUGUAAGAGAAGAAUAGCUUUGGCUUCCUAUCUCAUCCAAUUGUUGUGAAAAAUCAAAUAAAAUUAUAAAUAUGAAAACAUCUGAAAGAGUGUAGUGCAGAUGCCAGUUGUUUUCUCAUGAGGUUCUUUCUUACCUUAGUUGUUGAGUCCCUAGUAUUUAGAGGCUAGACAUGACUGCUUGCUGAUUCGUUUCUCAUGUAGAUUAUUCCUGCACCAAAGAUGAUAUAUCAUAUCAUCUUUGAUUCUCAAUGUCCAGGUGAUAAGCUGCUCUUUUCUUGACUAUGGAUGGCAUCAUUAAUCAAUCACAUCACCUGCCUUUGAUUAUCUCCUGUGCUUUGAAAAUGAAGUCUGGUUUCAGCAUCUAUCACAACAUCAUAUUCCAAAACCACCUCUGUGGGUUGAUUGAAGUUGGCACAUGAAAUGACAUCACUUUGCUUUUCCUACCAUGGGCAGUUUCCUAAAUUUAAAAUACAGUGAUCAAGACUAGGGGCUGGAGAUAUAGCUCAGUUGGUAGAGUGCUUGCCUCUGAUGUAAAAGACCCUGGGUUCAAUGCCCAGCACCACAAAAAUAAAAUAAAAGACUAAAUAGAAUAUUGGUGGUCUAGCUGUGCACCCACCAUUACAAAUGCCCUUAGAGAAUCACUGAAAAUGACAAGUGAAAAAAUGCUCAUAGCACCAAGCUAUAGCAACAAUGAUAGGAAGUGGUCUUUAAGCCCUACAGUGGAUAGAACUCUGUGGCUCCUGGGCUACUAAUUUAACCAUGGGCUUCUUUGUGUCUCCUUGUGUCCCUCAUUUGAAGAACUGUGUCUACCAGAUAGCCAGCUAGAGUUAGUGUUUGGAUUUAUUCAUGAUUCCUCCCUACUGCCUGUCCCACAUCAUUAGUCCUCCGGAGAUGCAGACAUCCUUCCUGAGGAGCUCUUGACUCUGUUCUCUUCCUUUUUUCCCCUGCUCACAAGCUGAUCAGGCUUUUCUCUUUCUACCUUCCAAUUUUGUCCUCCUUUCAGCUGUCACAGAUCAAUUUCCUCACCUGCCUUUGAUUAUCUCCUGUGCUUUGAAAAUGAAAUCCAAAAGCCUUAGUAUCCCCUGCAAGACUGUCACACACAGGCUGCCUGGUUCUCUCAUCUCCCACUGUCCCAGCCAGCCAGAACUCCUUGCCCAUUCUUUCCCUUUUUUAUGCAGUAACAGUCAGUUCUGACCAUUCAAGUUCAAACCAAAGUGCCCUUUUCAACGAAGCCUCCCCACAUGCAGCAGGUUGGGUGAGGUGCUCCCUUCCCUGUGCUCAGGUGGUUCUCGGUUCCUGACUCCCAAGGCCACAUAGUGGAAGACUGGAGAGUAUUGGCUUUGGAGAUUGACCUAGGUUAAACUCCAUGUGGAUGACCUUGGGAAGCUAGCAAAAACAUUUCUGAAUUAGGAAAAUGGGAAUGAUGAUAAGUCUUCUUCUCAUAGGUUAUUUAACAAGUAAGUUGUAAGAAUUAAAUCAGAAAGUGCACUGGUAGCACUCAGAGUUCUCCAGAGAGGCAUGGCUGAACCAAUAGGAGAUUUACCCAUGUGAGAGAGAGACAGACAGACAUACAGAGACCGAAACAGAGACUUUUCAGGAAUUGGAUUACAUCUGUCAUGACAAAUUCAAAAUCUGUAGGUUAGGCUGGCAGGCAGGCAGGCAACUGGGGCAGGAGUUGAUGCUGCAGUCUUUUGGUUAAGUAUUAAGCUCCCAACAAAUCUUAGCUGCAAUUUUCUGCUAGGCAAAUCACUUUCUUGUACCUGCAUGUUGGUUCGUUAUGGAAGACCAAGGAUUCUGCCAGGGCAGGGAACAAAUCUUGCUUGACAAUCCUAGUGUGUGACAUGUGUAAGUGCUUGAUAAAUAUGCUGUAACUGUGUAAAUCCUGUGUAGGGAUCACAGAGUUUUGGGAAAAUGAUGAAGCCAUCCAGUAUGGUUAUUAUGAGAAUUGAAUAAGCUAAUAUAUGCAAAACUUUUAGGACAGCAUUUGGUCCAUAGCAAAGGCUUAUUAAAUGUUACUUUUGUAGUCAUUUAUUCUUAUCUCCUAAUCUUCUAGAAUACAAGUCCAAUCCAUGAGAGCAAGGACUCUAAGUGUAUCGCGUAUGUCUCAUGCCCAGACCAGUGGCUAAAACAUAGCAUUCCAUGGUCACUACAACACUUCCUCUGUGUCCACACCAAAAUGUAAUCAAGAGUGUGCUUCGACUGUGCUCUCUCUACUCUCCUGCAAAUACCCAUCUGCUGUGUAGGAUCCCUCUGGCUGACAGCCACCCUCUGGUCCAGCAGCAUGUGGUUUCUCACACACUUGCCUGAUGUUUAAUUGUUUUCUUCUGAUUUUGAGAGGCCCAUUUUCAUUGUAGAACUUUUAAAAAUAGGAAGAUUCAAAGAAGAUAUUGAAAUCACCAAUAAUCUCACUGUUAUGAAAUAAUCAAUACUGCUACAAUUUGUUGAAUGCGGAACAUGGACUUUGGAGUCAGGAAGUUUCUUAACCCCCAGUGAUCACAUCAAUCAAAUAGGUGAAAUAAUACCUAACUAUAAACAAUUGUUAAGGAAAUUAAGUGAGAUAAUGUAUCAUUUACACUCAGCCUAGUACUUGGCAUAUUAAGUAAGCACUCAAUAAAUUAUCUAUAUAUGUCAAAAGGUUUAAAAUUACAUAAACACAGGCAUACAUACACAUAAGACUUUUGCACUUUACACUGGAUUGUAUCCUCUAUCCUAGGCACUGUCUAUAUUUGUAAAGAGAAUGGGCUCUAGAAAUGACUGCUCAGAUUCAAAUCCUGACCUUUACCAGCUGCAUGAACUUAUUCAGGUUAUUUAACCUCCCUGUGCCUCAGUUUCUUCUUCUAUGCACAUGAUCUCUACCUAUAAAGAUUAUUAUGAGGAUUAAAUUAAUUUAACUCAUAUUAUUAUUAUCUUAGCAUAUCAUAUAUCCCAUAUAAGACAUGCAAAGAAGAGUAUUUGGUACAAAGUAAAUACUUAAUCAAGAAACAUUAACUGUCACUGUCAUCAUCAAGAAAUCAUCUCCAGAAGUAUUAUUCGUACUGGCUUCAUAACAGUUCAUUGCAUGAGAAUUUAUUUAUUAUUAUCCUGUGGUCAGAUGUUGAGACUAUUAUCUGGAGCUUAGUUUGUGUAUUGAGCUGGAAUUGCUCAGGUUAGUGAGUCAUGUGGUUGAUAUGAAUUCUUGGCUCUUGUUUAAUGAGCCACCUUGCUGAAGAGAUGAGCUUUCUCUCUUGUGUUCCAGCCUUGGCAUUGUCCCAGUCAGCUGGAUGACUUUGGGCUAGCUAUUUAACAAUGGAGAGAGAAAGCAGGUAGUAGAAAGACAAAUUGAUUUUAAUUCAAAGAAAUACUAGUAUUUCCUGGCACCCUUGUUUCUUGGUGUUAUUAAAGAUGAGGCUAAGAAUGUGCUAGGUGAGUAGGAAGUAAUUUUGACAUCUCUCUACUAGCUGGCCAUCCCUCUAAGGCAGGUCACCUCUUCUUUACCUUUCCAUCUGUGGAAUGGCAAAUGAUAUGAGCAUUCCUAACUUUCUCACUUGGUAAUAAAUAUACAAGCACAAAAUAUAUGGGAAAGUAUUUUGAAAACUAUAAUUUUUAAAAUACAAAAUUAUGCAGAAUUAGAACCAUUAGCAUCUUUAAUAUCUUGGAAACGCUUUUCAACUGAGGGGUAGGCUAAAUAAUUUUGAAGCCGGUGACUAGUGUUAGGAAUCCAUGAUGAAACCCUGCUACUAUCAUCCCUUGUCUCUCCAUCUUUGAUGCCCACAAAUGAUUUGCUUAUUUCUGGAGACCAGGAGAUGAGCACCUUUCCUAAUUUGAUAAAUUCUUUGUUAGAAUGAGGAAAGGUAUAUGUAAUAUUGUUUAACAUAUUGUUACUGAUAAUGGAUAUGUAGUGAGUCAAUUUAAAACCAGUUUAAAGUGUGUUCAACUGAAAUCUGUCUUGGCCUAGUUACAAAACCAAAUAGAGACCUGUAUAAAGUUUCAGAUUAUAGAUAGAGAGGAUUCAAUCUAAUCCUCUCACUCUAAAUGCCAGAUCAAAUUAUUUAAUCUGGAUAUCUUCUCCUGAGUUUUCUGCUGUCUUCAGAUUCAUGGCAACAUAGUUCCCAGGGCACAUUGAAGGACAGAGCUUGGCACACUCUUGAUUACAUUUUGGUGUGGACACAGAGGAAGUGUUGUAGUGACCAUGGAAUGCUAUGCUCUAGCUACCGGUCUGGGCAUGAGACACACUCGAUACACUUAGAGUCCCUGCUCUCAUGGAUUGGAUUUCUCAUGGAUUGAAAAGGAGAUAAGAAAAAUGACUACAGAAGUUAGCUUCAGAUGGUGACAAAAAUCAAUAAAAGAAGCACAAGAAAACUGAAAAACAGAACAUAUCAAUGAGAAGAACAGAGACAAGGGGCCUGGGACUUAUAAGCUGCUCUUUGGAGACCAAAGGCCAAUAAGGAGGGAAAGAGACAGGAGAGAAGAACAAGAUUCAGGUCAGGAAGGGCUUUGUGAACCAUGAGACGAUCUGGUAUUUAUUCUGAGGUCAUGGAAAGCCACUGGAGGAGUUUAAGGAGAAGGUCAUGAGCUCGUUUGCAUCUUUAAACAAUUACUUUGGGUUUUGGAUGGACGUCAGCAGCUACAGAUGACAGUUUUUUGUUUUUUUUUAAAUUUUAAUGGAGUGUUGUUUUGAAUCUGUGUUUGGUAAUACGUACUUUGGUUUUAUUUAAAUUUCUGUUCAUUUUCCGGAAAGCUGAUGGAGAUUGGAAGCUAUUGCUGUGCCCCUCCCCCCAAGCCACUCAUUGGCACCCUCACUGAUGAGGUCUGAGGAAUCAAAGUAAACACUUAGUUCAGCCAUGGAGUCUUUUUUUUUUUUUUCCUAAUCCAAAUGGUUCUGGCAUUAGGCUUUUUCAGAGGUGUGUUGAGAGGUUAAAAAAAAAAAAAGACUUUAUUAGUGAUCCAGGUGUAUCGUGUGCUUUAUUUUCAUGCACUUGCUUUUAAAUGGCUUUGAAGUACUUUGAUUCUUUGAUAGUCAUUUUAAUAAUGAAUCCGUUAGUUUAUUAGGCUGACUUUCAUCACUGGGGCUCUUCUUCUGUAAGCCAGAUCAGAAAGAUAGAAGUACAUAAGAGAUCUUGCCCUUAACAGAGGCCAGGCUCUCUGUAUUCCAUUUUCCUCCACAAAUGUUUCCAUUAAAACCUCUUGUGGGGGCUGAGAUUGUGGCUUAGCGGUAGAAUGCUCGCCUAGUGUGUGUGAGGCCCUGGGUUCGAUCACAUAAAAAUGAAUAAAUAAAGGUAUUGUGUCCAACUACAACUAAAAAAUAAAUAUUUAAAAAAAAACUCAUUUAAAAAAAAGAAAAAAACCUCUUGUGUCCUCUCUGAAUUUUAUCAACUGGGGAGAUCUCUACUGCACUUCUCCAACUCCACGGCCCCUCUCUUCCUACCUAUGCCAAAACUUCCUGUGCUAUAAAAUGCAUCUGUAUGCCAGAGGAAAAUAUAUGUGGUUUUCUGUUAGAAAAAAAAGGAGUUGUUCCUGUUGUAGUCCUUUUUAUACAAACUCUAGUUUUCUUUUGUGUAAUUCCUUAUACCAUCUAGCAGCUAAGGGAAAAGACUUGGAAGUUAAAUAUAGUUGGGUUUAGAUUCUUACCCUGUGAGGUACUGUGCCUGUGGGCCAGCCUGAGCUUCAAGUUUGUUCUUUUCUUUCCUCCAUUCCUUCCUUCCUCCUUUGCUCCUUCAUGUAGCUGCUGUCAUCUUAGCUAUUUAAAUAUUUAUGUCAUAAAUUCACAAGAUUGUCAGCAAGUGUUUAUUGAGCUUCCAAACAUCGUGCCAGGUACUAGGUAUGAACAUGGUGAGCACACGUGAAAUAGACCUUGUGGAUCUUAGAGUUUCGUGACACAGAUAUUAAAUUAAUACAGAUUACUCAAUGAUAACAAAUGAGCCAAGUCCCAUGAAGGAAGUACUGAAAGGCAGUCUCCAAAACCCGAACUGGUCCUGCAGGAGUGAGUAAAAGUUUUUAUAUGUAUUACAUGUUACUCACUAUGUACAUCUAGCCAAACAUAUUCCCUCUUACCUUUUCAUUCAGUGGAGCGUAGCUGCUGUUGUUAUCAUUUCUCUUGUCAUUACUAAUAUGACUUGUACCCCAUGCCUCUACAUGUCCUGAUUCAGUGAGGCUUCCUGGGACUUGUUACAAGGUGCUCCAAGAUGUCUGUUUGCUGUAUUCUUGGUUACUUGCCUAGAUCUGUUCUGCACCUGUGCUUCCUGACUCCUGCCAGCUUACCUAGCUUCGGACCUGGUAUCUGAGUAGUUUCUGGGGCUAACCACACUGGAAAUUUAGAGUAUUUUUGUUUCCAUCCAGGCUUUAAUUCUCUCUUGGAAGGCCCCUGAUUUGAUAUCUCUUUCUCCAAAAUGAAUGUCAUCAAAAUCCUGGCACGACAACUGCUAUGUUGCUAUGCUGUUCCAUAAUAAAGCACGGACAUUUUAGGUAACUUUCCAGAAGAAAAGGAGGGUACCUUUUCUCUGCUUAAGGACUUUUGAAGAGCUCCUUGCUGCACCCACUCUGUGUUAUUAGCACCUGUUGUGGCUGGGUUACCAACUUGGGGGAUAUUGCUUCUUCCCAUUAUUUUUGAGAAAGUCUUCCUUGUUCAGCAUGACAUAGAAACUAGGUGUUUUGGUCACCUUUUUCACUGCUGCGACUAAAAGAUGCAGCCAGAACAAUUGUAGGGAAGGAAAAGUAUAUUUGGGGGCUCACAGUUUCAGAGAUAUCAGUCCAUAGACAGCUGGCUUCCUUCCUCAGGGCUCAAGGUGACUCUGAACAUCAUGGUAGAAGAAUGUGGCAAAGGGAAGUGGCUCAUAUGAUGAUCAGAAAGCAGGGAGAAAGGUCUCCACUUGCCAGAUACAAAAUAUAUACCCCAAAGCCAUGCCCCAAUUCCCAUCUCCUCCAGCCACACCUCACCUGCCUUCAGUUACCACUCAGUUGAAUCCCUCUCAGGGGAUUAAUUCACUGAUUGGGUUAAGACUCUUACAACCCAAUCAUUUCUCCUCUGAACCUUCUUGCAUUGUCUCACACAUGAGCUUUUGGGAGACACCUCACAUUCAAACCAUACCACUAGGCCACAGAUCUAAUCCUCCAGCUUCAUUAUUCUUCAUACCAAAGCCUGUAAAACUGUUUUUAAAAUUUUUAAUAUUAUCAGUACAUGGGUUACAUACAUCUAUGCAUGGCAAAUCUGUGAUUUCCCCCAUCAGAUUGGUGAGAGAAAUAGCUCUUUCUGCAUUAGUUCACAAUUGCUUCUUCUGUCAAAGUUGCUCAAAUCCAAGUUUAUUUUUUUCCUUUUCUUCCUAUUCUCUAAUUAGAUAUUACUAAAAGAUAGAUUCCCUUCAACUUAGCCAAAAGAUAGCUGCGCCCCCCAACAACCCUGGGUGUCUGUAUAUUAUAUAAUAAGAAAGACAGAAAAUAACAUUGUCUCUGUAAUGUUCCAUAAUUCUCUUAACAGGCAGGUAAAACAUAACCACUGCCCUCCUCUAGGAGAGGGAAAUGUGCAAGUAGUAUACAGAUUUAUUAACAUAAAAAUAGCAACCAUUUCUUGAGCUCUUGCGGUAUAUAAGAAACUGUUGAAAUUAUCUGUAAGUAUUCAUUUCAUCUAAGAUUCACCAUUCUCUGAGGUCAAUUCUGUGAUAAUUAACCCUCUUACAGAAAUAAGAAACUGAGCCUUAGCUAAUUUAUGACUCACUGAACUAAUUUAUGACUCAUCACACAAACGGUAAAUUUUAAAAGACGUAUUUGUUUUCUAUUAUGCUAUGAAACAACUACAAUACCACAAAUCAAAAUUGCUGGCUGACGAAAAAAAUGGAUAAAUGGUGGUAGAAGUAACAAAACUGUUAUCCAGGAUUUCUGUAUUUUGAUUGUAUUUAAUCAGAUUUGUUUGUAGUGUCUCGCCUUCUGCUUUAUAGUUUUCUGUGGCACUGUAUUUUAAAGCAACUUUUAAUGAACUAUCUAGGAUGUUUGAGAUAAAUUUGCAAUGCCUUUUUUAGUAUUUAGUGAGAUUCUCCUAUGCGCGCAUGGGAAAUCUAUUUCCCCCUCUUGCUUCAACAAUUAUUGGGUACAUCUUCUAGUUUCCGCUAUAACAGAACUUUUAUAGCAUUUCGGAGGAAAUUCAAGCAUCAGCUGACCUUUGUUUAAUAUGAGAAAUAAGAUCAUUCUGACUGUGUGGUUUGCAAAGGGUUAGAGUUCCCAACUUCACAUUAAUACCUUCAUUGUAGUUACGAACUCACACCACUUUUGAUUUUAAUAUUCCUAACAGAUGCUCAGUUCUCUAUAACUCUAAUAAAUUGCAUAUUUUAGAAACGUGUAAAAUUAUGCAGCUCCUCUCCAUGUUUAUUUAUUGGCCUGAAAUAGAGCAUGUAUGCCAUUUACUCUGCAGGAAAUACAAAUAAACCCUUAGGUGUUGCCUUUUACUUCUGCUCUGAGGUUGUUGUUCUCAAUGCAAGUUCUUCAGUCAGGACGAAAAAAAAAACAGCAGUAGAGUCAGAUGCCAUGUAUAAAGCACAUGACCUCAAACUGCCCGAAUUCAAAAACUCUGCAGAUUCUCUCAGGAUGAGAUUGUCUCACAGAAAGGCAGGCAACAGCCACUCAAGUCUGGUAGUAAUUAAUAUUUGUUAUUAAUCUGUACAGUUUUUCAAUGUGCCAGACUCUGAGUCCAGGUCUGUAUACAUGUGGCUUAACUAUCUCUUACAAUAACCCUAUGAAGAAUAUUCUUAAUCCCAUUUGAUAAAUGGGGAAACUGAGGGUCAAGGUCACAUGCAUAGCUAUGGAAUGGCAGAACAGGGUGGUAACCCUGAGUCCCAGCUCAUGUGACGGCGGGGACCACCGAUGGUUUGCCACCAAUUGUCACCAUGGGCUACUGUGACGUGGCUGGGUUGGUGAGGCUCUUGUCCACUGUCAUAAGCAAGGAUUUCAGGUGGGAACUGUUCAUGGCCUCUUCUGAGCACUUGAACUUGCCUGUUUUGCUGUUUAUGUAUUUUAAAAGGCCUUUUGAAACUUCAGUGAUUUUAUUUAACAAAAUAAUUUCCAGGACUGCGCUAUACCCUUCCUUCCUUCUUUUCUCUUCGGCCUUCUUUUAGAUACUGUGUGCUAAUUUGCACUUCUACAAUGCGCCCUCUUUUCUUUUCUCUUUCCUUUUUCUUCUCCUGUUCCCUUACCUGGUCUGCAUUGUGUUGCCACUUCCUGUGUUCCUGUUCUGUGGCCUCUGCCCUGGAUACUCCCUCAUAGUUCAUUUGUUUAUAUAGCAGUAGAACAUCAUAUAAGAUGGAAGCCUGAGAAGGUAGUUUUCAAGCCUGAACCCUUCACUUACUCUCUGUGCUGUCCUGGCUAGUUUGCGCUCUCUCUCUCUCUCUCUCUCUCUCUCUCUCUCUCUUUUCUUUGCCACUCUGUUUUCAUAGCUUUAAAAUCAAUAUUAUAAUACUAAUGCCUAUCUCAGAGUUUUUGUGAGGAAUAAAUAAGUUAACAUAUUUAAAGUGUUUUGCUUUGUGCCUGGCACAUAGUAAUUGCUCACCUAAUCAGUUUUCUUCACUAAGUUUUGUUUGUUUUUGCAGAAUGAUAGGUAAUUUGUAUCAGAAAAAUCGCAUCCUCAGGUGGAAGGAGAAAUGACUUCAACCAUCACAAGGAAAACCCUUCCCCCAGGAAGAAAACAAAACAAGUCCUCCCUUUAAGGUGCUUCCCAUUUGUUCGUUUUCAAGUUCCCGUUGGCCACAACAAAGCAAAUUGGCUGACUGCCACCGGGACCUCAGAGACCAAUACAUCAGCCAAGUUUUGCUUUUCUCUUAACUCUUGCAAUUCCUGUGUCUCCAGCUCCCAGCCACCCGUAUUCACAAUGCUGGAGGAUGCUGAAGCAAGCCCCACAUUGUGCUGAGGUUGAGCUGAGUCUUGCAGUCCUAGAGGACAGACAGAAGCAGAGAGAACGGAGACUUUCUGCUCACCUGCUCGAUACCAGUCAGGCAUCAGGGCACACAUGGUAACUUCACGUGCAGAUGGGAAGGGAGGGAACAAAGAACUCAAAAUGACUCUCAGAGCCAGUUGCACUUAGAAAUUGAAACAUGAAGCACCAAUUUGAUGCUCCAUGACAUUAUAGAUAGUAUUAUUUUUUCCCACUUAAAAAAUAGUUACCAAAAUGUGACUGAAAGAAGUUAAGUAACUUGGCUAAGAUCUACCUGAUUCCAGCCCCUAUGCUCUUAACCCACUCAUGAUCCUGCUCCCUUUACUAUCCUGUACAUCUUCCUUCCUAUCCUACCUCUCUUGGCCUCAGUUUCUUUAUCUGUAAAGGGAUUAGGGUUUGCCAAGUUGGUUUAGAGUUUCCUUCCAGCUCUGAUGUUCUGGCUUUCUGGCGUGGGCAUCUGAGUUUAGAAGCACUGUGCCAGUGGUCAGUUUCUAAGCGUCCAUCUGGAUGUGCACAGACAGGCUCAUGUCCUCACUGCUGCUUGGUUUAGGCUGCAGCUGUCUGUGGCUCUGUCACUGAAUCACAUUACAGCUUACAUUAUCUCGCUUCCUGUACCAAGCAAAUAUACUUUGUUCCAUUACCACUGAGCAAAUCCUCUAAGGAAUCCAACAGAGCUCCAAGAAUUCUCUUCUGGUAGUUGCUUAAUAUGUGUUGCCUUGACCCACAAGUUAAUGCAAUUUCAGAAGAAAAGACCUGCCAUGGCAUCUAAGUAAGGUUGGGGUCAAAUGGGGAGAAGAAAACACCCACCCACCACUGAGCUUUACUGAGCUAAGUAUCUUGCUUUGCUCUUCGAAACCUCAUGGGAUUAGACUCUUUAUCCACCACUCAGAGCAAGACCCCUGACGCAGGCAGAGAAUUCAAACCUGAUUCUGUCCAUACGUUUUCUGCAAUACUGUGACCUUUCUGCACUGUGGUAGUAGAAAGAGUCACAAGAUUAGAACUAUUAUUCCAGCCUUGCUACUCAUUUUUAAUGUGUUAUUUCAGAUAACACACUCUUUAUCUAUAAAAUGAGUCAAUAAAAUUGAUUAUCUUUAAACUGACUAAUCAGAGAUUCGAUCUCUUGAGCCAAAUUAAUGUCCUAAUGAUCUCAACUGGUUAGAAGGAGGAUGAAUUAUAUUUUCUUCUUCCUUUUCCUUAUCGGGUAAGUUCAGUCACCAAGGACUAUCAGUCCUCUCUUCAAAAUGCAUCUCUCUGUCGCCUUCUAUUUCUGUCACCACUGCUUUAAAUCUGGACUUUAUGCCACUGCUAGAAUCCCAAAAUAGAUUCCCCUCUGCCCAUACUCCCAGCCUGUACCCAAUUCCCUCCCAUGUAUGUGCCUGUGUGUGUGAGCGUGUGUGUGUGUGUGUGUGUGUGUGUAUGUGAGAGAGAGAGAGAGAGAGAGCGAGAGAGAGAGAGAGAGAGAGCGCUUGUGUGCUAGCUCACUUCUUUCUCUUGUUUGAAACCUCAAUUGUUCCUUCUGUAUCAUUAGUGGCAUCGAAUUCUCUGGGCUUCCGUAAACGGGAACCACCAAAAUAAACUUUCUGUUCUCCCAGGGCUACCAUCUUUAUCUUAUCUCUGAACCUUUGCCAGAGUUGUUUUCUGCAGUUCUCUUCAUCCAGUUCUUCCAAAUCCUCCAAGGCCCAGUCCAACUACAGAAAAGAACCCUGUCCCUCUUGUUCCUCAAGAGGGAUGUAUCCCAAGCACCCACACAAUGCCAGGCUCACAAGAAGUGCUUGGUAAAUAUUUGUUGAAUUAAUGAAGGACUCCUUUCCACAAAGGUUUCCCUGACUACAUCAGCCUGCAUUCAUGUCGGAGUCUCUCAACCCCAGUGGCUCCAAUUUGUUCUAUGGUCUUUUAGUUUCAGAGAGCUGUUUUGUUUUUAUCCACUUAAGGAAGAACUAAAAUCAAUGAAACCAAAAGAAGGUUUUGAGUGGGAUGAAUCCUUGCCCUAGCCAUUUUCUUUUCUUUUCUUUUUAAUUUUCUUUUGGGGGGAGGGGUACCAGCGAUUGAACUCAGGGGCACUCGACCACUAAGCCACAUCUCCAGCUUGAUUUUAUAUUUUAUUUAGAGCCAGGGUCUCACUGAGUUGCUUAGUGCCUCACUUGUGCUGAGGCUGGCUUUAAACUUUCGAUCCUCCUGCCUCAGCCUCCAGAGCCGCUGGGAUUACAGGUAUGUGCCACUGUGUGGGGCUGCCCUGGUCAUUUUUCUUACAGAUGAGAGAAUGAAACACUUUCUGUGCAUCAGGCCCUGUUCUGAGUGUUCUAUUAAUACUUGACUCAUUGAACAUAGCAUUGAGAAGCAGGAGCUUUUUUAUCCUCAUAUUAUUGAUGUUAAAACUGAUAUCCAGAGAGUUAAGUAACUUCUUCAAGAUAAGAAAGCUAUGACACGGUUAUACCAAGAUUGAACCCUACGUUCUAACUGCAGAAUAUGCAAUUAUCAGUACUAUGCCAUCUCUGGUACCACUGCAAAAUACAGGAAAAUAUUGAGUGCCUCACCAGAUGAACCCUAUAGCUCCUAAAGCAGCCUCUAUAGUCAGUGAAGCCCAAUAUCAUCUCAUUCAGAAUAGAUGGGCUUUAGAUCCAGCUCCUGUUUAUUCAUAAUCCCCAGUAAGAUGCUCUCCCUGCUCUUUAUAAAGGGAUCUGCUCUGGUGUUUGACACUGUAAACCACGCCCUCACUGGAGCUCCUCUUCUUCCUUUGAGGGGAAUUCUCAAGGCUCUGAAGUGUCACAUGACCACAGCAGGAUGUGCCUUCUUUAAGGAAGCCCUACUUCCUGGUGCUUCUCUGGCAUGGCAUCCUAGGAAGCUCUUUACUGCAAGUCUCUGGUCAGCUGAAUAAAAAUGAAGUGGGCAUUUGUGUUUCCCUGCUGAUUGGGUUGGCUCAACCUGAUGUAGGUUCAAGUUCACAAAAGCGUAGACAGGCUUGCUUCCAGCCUUGCAAUGGAGCUGGAGGAAGGCAGGCUGUAUGCCCGGCUUCUUGCAAAGCAUGGCCUUGGAUGUGUGUCACUGGUACCCUUAAAACCAAGGCUCCAGAAGCCCCCACCCCCACCAACAAAUCAGGGGAUGAUUUGUGCAAGAUGCCCUACUUCUGAUGCCAACUGGACCCCAUUCAAAUGAAUGUGCAGAUCAGAAAGUGUUUUCUAAAGGGUGAGUGCAUUCAUCAUGGUAAAAUGUCCUGUUAAACAAAAUGCCUCAAACUGUCCCCCUGUCGAUUAUUCAGUCUUAAUAUUUUGAUUCCAUACUUGAAAGUUUAUUUUUUCUCAGAAAAGACUUGAUCUUUAUCAUGUCAGUGCCAAUUCUUUAAGAAAAUGCCAGACUGGUUAAAUUAUGUGCUCUGAGUUCUUGUGUGACAAACAGAAAUUACAGUAGCAUCUUAAUGUUUACAAGUUUACUGUUGGGGUUCAUGCAAUACACAUUAAGUUCACAAUAAGGAGUGAUUUGUAGUUUUCCUAAGGUGUAAACAUGAAUCAUCCAUUUGGGAAUUUAGGUGGGAUUAAUUAGAGAAUAUACCUACCUAACCGGUCAGCACCCCCAUCUCAACAUGGUUAUUCUCUGGAGGAGUAAUUAUAAUAUAGGGAUUCCCCUGCAAAUUAAAGGUAAAAUCUCCUUCUGAAUCAGGUGCAUUGUUUUGGAUUUUUGUACAAAUGGUUGUGACGUGAAGCUUUUGGAAUUUUCCUAUUCUGCUUGUGGGGCAAGCGUUGCUAAUCAAUCCACUACACUAGCAAAUGCAGCCUCCAUCAGAAUCCUCUACAAAAAGUUAAUUGGAUUACAAAAGGAUUUAAUGCCCGAAGAUGAGAAAAUUGCUCAUGGUUGCUGGGCUUUGCAAGGUCUAAAAUAAGCUGUCUCUUUUUUCCUUUUUAAUUUGAGCCUGAUAUUAAACACAGAUUUCUCCAUUCUCUCCUACACAUAUUUGGGUCUCUUAGAAAGAACUUGCCAAAUGUUCUCCAAAUACAUCAGAAAAAUGGGUCACUUCAUUUGGUCUGCCCACCUCUGGUAAGGCACUAGAAAUAGACAUUUGGGGAGGAAUGGUUAAAAAAAGGAGGAGUAAAGGCCAAAUUCAUAAAGGAGAAAAAUAGGUACAUUGUUAUGGUUUGGAUAUAAAGUGUCCCCACAAAACUCCUAUGUUAAUGCAAGCAUAUUCAGACCUGAAAUGAUUAGAUUAUGAGAAUUGGGACCUUAUCAAUCCAUCCUAGCUUUGAAGGAUUACAGUACUGUGAUGGGUGGUCAUUCUGUGCUGGUGGGGCUUAGCUGGAGAAAGUAGGUCACUGGGAACAUGCCCUGGAAGGAUUCAUCUUCCAUGUGGCCCCUUCAUUUUUCUGUCUCUGCUUCCUGGCCACCACGAGGUAAGCAGUACUCAUCAUCAGGGCCUUUUACUACGAUGAUCUGACUCAUCUGAAGCCAGAGUGGCGGAGUCAGCCAAUCAUUGACUGAACCUCUGAAACCAUAAGCCCAGAAUAAACUUUCCCUUCUCUAGGUUGUUUUUGUCAGGUAUUUUGAUCUCAGUGACAAAAAAACUGACUAACACACACAGUAGACAAAAUUUUAUAAACUAAUAAUAUGCCAAUUAAUCAUCCAACUUAUGGUACUAUAAGAUAACCUACUUCUUGGCCUUGUUUAAGUAUUUUGCCACACUCAAAAUUAACUUUGGUUAGGAGAGGAAAUUUACUAAUCUAUAGAAGACACUUAGAUCUUAUGGAUUUGUUUUCAGUUUUUAAUAGUUAAUACUUUUUUGGAUUCCUCUCCUACAACAAUCUGAUGCCUCUACCGUAAGCCUAUUUGGAUGUUAAGUUUUCCUGCUGGAGAAUAAGCUCCAUAAAGAUGGGAGGAGUUGGGUCCUUAUUUUUAAAAUUCUUAAUUAGCAUCCAAGAAGUUAUCAAUGUGCCUUGGGUGUGGUAAGUUUGAAUGAAGAAAUGAAUAAACAACAUUUAGCAUGAAUGGGUUUCAUCUCAGAGCCUUAUCUACCAGGAACCAAUCAUAGACCUGUUCCAAUGACAAGUUCUCUUGAAUGAAAGUUUUCUGAAAUUGGAGAUGACUGCAUUCAUCCCUCUUCUAUUUUAUCCUGAGAACUAUGCUUGCUUUAUGUUCAUGAAACCUGUGAAACUGUAUAAGAGCCCACACAUAGAGGAGCUCCACACUUGGUCUAAUACUCGGCCAUUGCCUUCUUAAAAGUUCUAAUCAUUUUGAUCAAGGGGUCCACCAUUUUCAUUUUGCACCAAGCCCCACAAAUAAAGUGCUAGUUCUGCCCGAGAGCCCAAGAUACUGUGCUAGAAUGGCAGCUAUGGAUUAGCCUCCCUCCAAUCUGGCUUUUCUCAAGUAAUGGCAGGUUAUGCAUAUGUGCUUCCCCUAGCUUAAUAAAAGCCUCAACAGCAUGCAUUUCAUUAGACGCAUCCCUUGUCAUUUGGGUUCUAGAUGAAUAAUUCUAGAUUCCUACCAUGCAGAGAUUAUGAUUUGGCUUCAGAGAGUCAAAGACCAACAGGGAGGGCACCCAGAGAGGGGCUAACAUGUGCAAAUGACUUCCAGGCUCAUCCUUCUAACUGGGGAUGAGGAAAAGGAGAAGGGAGCUAAGCAAACCUGAAAAAUCCCCCAAGAGAUCCCCAGGGGACCCAUGUUGCUGUGCACCUUUCUCUGCUUUCUCUUCCAGAGCUCAAGUGUUCUAGGACAAUUUUUCUCCAACUUUAGUGCAUGCAGGAAACACCUAGCCAUCUCCUUAAGAUGCAUAUUCUGAGGCAUUAAGUUGGAGCAUGUGAUUCUACAUUUCAAAUAGGCUCACAGGCAAGGUCGAUGCUGCUGUUGCAUGGAUUACACUCACAUGGCAAGCUGACAGGAUGCCAGUUUUCCGGUUUGGGGGCAGAUCCUGAAUUCCUGUUUCAUCCUGGCUUAUGGUAGAGUUACUGCCUUUCCUAAAAGCAGUCUGGCUAUUCCUCCCUUCCCUGCAUUUAUUCUGACACGUGCCUGCACAAAUGCACGUGUACAUGCUAUGACUUAGCAUGGUCAGAGCUUCAAAUAAAAGUCUGACUCCAACUUCCUUAAACAGUGAUGAGAUUUACUAUUUUACACAACUGAAAUAACAGAGGGAGUCAAAAACAGGCCCCAGGUGCAAUGUCAUCAAAGAUCAGGGUUUUCAUCUCUCUUCUCUGCCAUCCCGAGUAGUACAAAAUGGCUGUGAUUGUUACAGGCAUUGCCUUUAGAUAAAACAAUGUCCAGAGGCACAAAGGAGCAGUCUCUCUGGUGUUUUAGAGCCUGGAUACUUGUAUUCAUAGCCCAUCGGUUCCCAGAAGCCCCAGACAUCUCACAUUUCACAUCAUGGGUCUGUUCCUAACUCCAUCAAAUAUUUCACCAGGGAACAGAGUGGCUAUGACACUCUUAGCUUGACAAAGAUAAUCAGGGAACACUUCCCGGAGCCAGAGAGGAAAGAGUUGGCAUCCUUUGAAACACAUGGAUAUGUAGAGGAGUAGAUAUCUAAAAAAAAAUUCAGGUUAUCUUGGAAAGAGGGAAUGUGCUGAACUAUGGGGGAAGGGAGAAUAGAUACUGGGUUGGCAACCAAAUACGUGUCUGCUCACACAUUCUCCCACCUGUGUUAGUGAGCUUUCCAUGGCUGUGACAAAACGCCUGGGAAAAAUAAAGGAGAAAGGAUUCAUUUUGGCUCCUAGUUUUUUAGGAUUUUUAGUCCGUGGUGGGUUGGCUCUAUUGGGUCUAUAGUUAGGAAGCAUCAUGGCAGAUGUGACAGAACAAAGCUGUUCACUUCAUGAUGGUGGCCAAGAAGCAGACAGAGAGAAGGGGGGUCUAAGAACAAGACAGAGCCUUUAAGGUCAGGUCAUCAAGGACCUACGUACUCCAACUAGACCUAACCUCCAAAGUUUCUGCCACCUCCCAAUAGUCCAUUGAAUUAUUAAUCCAUCCCUGGAUUAAUCCAUUGGUGAGCUCCGAGCCCUCAUGAUCCAAUUGCCUUUCAAAGACCCCCACCUCUGAACACUGCUCCCUCGGGGAGAAGCCCCUAAUACAUAAGCUACGGGGGAACAUUUUAGAUCUAAACCAUAACACGAACAAAAAGCCUUUAUUUGAAGGAGGGCAACUGACCAUUUCUUUGCAGAUCUUCACAGAAAGCCCCAUAGUAUUUCAUGGUGUAUACUUGCCCCAUACCUUCCACUGGAGUUGUCCUCCCCUGAAGCUGGAAAAUGCUUAAUUUGACUUUGAAAAAAAAAUAACCUUUAUGGCUCCUCUUGGCUAGGCAGCUGGUCAUGGAUGCUUCAUUACGAUGCAGGAAAAGGAGGAGGAUGUGACUGUGAAGUAAGUACCUGGUUUGGUUUGGCUGUCAGUUUUACUUGAUUGAAAUAGUAAACAUUUUCUCAGGUCCACUUCCUUGGAAUUCACGCCAUCCUUGUGAUACUGAAUUUCAAAUAAAGAGUGGGAACUCUGAAAUUCAAAACUUUCUCCAUCCAGUUGUAGAAAUAGCACCAUCUUCGCCAGCAUUGGGGAGCGUGGUUCUUCUGUUUAGACACUAAAUGGAUUUUACAGCCAGCCUUCUGGAUAACAUUCCUAGAAGACCCAGUGACCUGCCAAAAAAACUAGUUUUUAAAGUAUGUUCAGAGAAUGUGUUCCUUGAUACAAAUUCCUAUAGUUAGAACAUGCAUUGAAAGAACCUUCUGUCCUGGUUAUUAUGAGUGUUAUUUUAAAACAAAACCAAAAAAAAAAAAUAGGCAGGACACAUGGGGAACAGAGUCUCAGAUUCUGAACCCCAACUGAAGCCUCAGCUGAAACCUCAGUGAUUUCUCUAACCAGUGAUCUGAAACUAGUUACUUAACCUCUUCUAAACUAAGUUAAAUUUAUUUCUUAUCUGACACAUCAAAAACAACAAUUUUACAUAUUAAUGGGGUACUGUGUGAUAUUUCCGUAUAUGUAUACAUUGUGUAAUAUUUAAAUCUGUUUAAGCAUAUGUCUUCUCAAAUGCGUAUCAUUUCCUUAAGAUGAAAACAUUCAAAAUCCUUUCUUCCAUCUUUUUGAGAUAUAUAUAUAGGAAGAGAGAGAACAUAAUUGUUAUAUGUAGUCACCCUAUUGUGCAAUGGCACACAGGAGCCUCUUACUGCUAGCCAUAACUCUGACAAUCCUUUGCCCCAUGCCACCCUCCUCCUUACCCCUCAACCUCUGGUGGCGACCUUUCUACUCUCAACUUCUAUCUGAUCAACUUUCUCUAGGAUUCCACACGAAUGAGAUCAUGUAGUACUUAUAUUUUUGUGCCUGGCUUUCUUUAUUUAAUGUGAUGACAUCCAGUUUCAUCCAUGUUGUCACAAAUGACAAGGUUUCAUCCGCUUUUAUGGCUGAUUGGUAUUCCGUGGUGUAUACUUGCCACACUUUCUUCAUCCAUUCAUUAGUUGAUGGACGCUUAGUUGUUUCCUUUUCUUGGCUCAUGAGAAUAGUGCUGUGAUGAACAUGGGGGUGUAGGUGUCUCUCUGAUACACUGACUUCAAUUCCUUUGAAUAUAUUAUUCAGAAGUGGGAUUGAUGGAUCAUAUGAUAGUUGUAUUUCUAAUUUUUCAAAUUGUUUUCUACAAUGACUAUUUACCAAUUUGCGUACCCAUCAGCAGUAUUGAAGCGUUUCCUGUCUCCACAUCCUGGCUAUGCUUGUUACCUUCUGUCUUUUUUAUAACAACUAUUGUGGGAGUGAGGUGAUACCUCAUUGUGGUUUUGAUCUGCAUUUCCCUGAUGAUGAACCUCUGUAUAGUCUGGUUUCCUCAUCUGUGAAAUGAGGAUCAGAAUAGCACAUAUGUCUCUUGGAUAUUGUGAAUAUUAGGUAUGCAAAUAAAUCAAAGACUGAUUAAAUUAUGUUGUAAUCAUGUACAAAUAUGCCACUAUGAAACACACUAUUCUGCGUGAUUAAUAUGCACCAUUAAAAAUUAAAUGAAAAAGAAUGCUUAGAAUAGAAUAAGUCCUCUAUAAAUCUUAACACAUGUAUUUGUCUUGAUAUGCUUUCCAUGAGGCAGGGCCUAAAUUUAUACAUAUUUUCUCUAAUCCUCAAAAUGAUCCUGGAAGAUUACAUAUAUUGCAAACAACAACACCUAAUGAUAGCUGACAUUAAUUGAGCACCUACUAUGUUCCAAGCAGCUUUGGCGACUAAACAGACACCAUCUCAUUGUAGCCUCCCAGUAAUUCACAGAAAUAGAAUUUUUCAAUUUCACAGAUGAGGAAACUGAAGUACAAAGAGAUCAGUUAACCUGCAAAUGACGUUCACUUUGUCAGUGACACUACUGAGACUGGAAGGCAGUCAGCCUAAAUCUCACAGGCUGAACUUCACAACACCAUUGAUACUGGAGUCUAUAGGCUAUGAUGUUGGCUGACUUGUUCGCUCCACUCCUCUAUGUUGCUUCCCCCAGUUGGGUAUUAACCAUCUACUCCAUGUAAGAAAAGGCAGAGGGAUUCUGAGAUAAAUGAUCAAUAAAACACAGCAGAACAGGAAGAAACAAAGAGAAAAGUUUCAAAGAGUACUAAUAGUAGCACAUAACUCUUCAAAAGGAUUUGGAGUCUGCAAAUCACUUUCAUAUUUAACUAAAGUAAAUGAGGAUGUUAAUUGUCUUCAGUGUGAGCUGUGCCUGCUUUACAGAAGCAGUGCCUGUGGGAGGGUACAAGGUCAGGUUCAAGUUCACAGCCAGGUGGAAAGGACACACACAGUCCCAAGAGUCAGCUCCACUUCACCUCAGAUGAUACCAUGACCGUGCCGUCUUAGAUCAACAAUACCACUGCUUUAGGUAUCAGAGCACUUUUGUGCCAAUGGAACAUUAAAGGGAACGCAAUGAAUAAAAAAUUCAAAUGUUUUAUUAGUAUGCAUUUCUACUUUCAGUUUUAUAGUAAAUUGACAAUAAAGUCCAUAACUAGAUCAGUUAAAAUACAACAGCCUUAAAUUGUGCUUCCAGUUUUCAUCUAUUUUGCUUUUGGCCGUCCAUUUCUAAUAAAAUCUUGAGUCUGACCAGAGUAAUAGCUACAAAUGGCAACAGCUCUGGACGUUUUUAGUUCCCAGAGGUUUCUUAUAUAUCAGUUUGAGUAGGUAUAAGAGUUUGUUUUAGCCAAAAAAAAAAAAUGUGUCCUUUAUUCAUUGGCAUGUAUCAGUGAGCAUCUGCUAUGUGCUAAGCACCCAGCAGCACUGCAACACCCAAGAGACAGGGAGACAGGGUCCCUGCCUACACAGAAUUUUGGAGAGUGGUAACUUCAAUCUGGAACCUGCACAGUAACUAGUUUGCAUUGUUCAUUUACGUUUCUUUAAAAUACAAUAGACGUUAGAGGAAAUUUUCAAGCAAGAACAUUUUUGUUAGGCAGGGGUUUCAGGGGGCAAGAAUUUUUCUCUUUAAAAGGAAAAAAAAAAAAGAUCAUGUAUUGGGUAGAAUUUCAGAAGGAAUGGAAGCACUGGGCGGCAGGAACUAUGGUAGAUUGAGUAGAAGGUGUACAUGAGCAAUAAUGACUGGGACAAAGGCUACAGUGAGAGCCCAAAGCUGAGAAAUGCUUUACCCUGGACAGUGAGGAAGGAUGGGUAGAUUCCCACGCACUUGCUGGGAGUACGGAGGUGUAGGGUAUUUUCCCUCAACAGCAGAAUAUUCUUAGGACUUGAACUUGAAUUUUAGUUUGUUGAUUUGUUUACUUUUAACAAAAACUGCUUUUUAGCUUUUUGAAAGGGGGUAGGGGAGAAAGAGCUGAAUUGCUAUAGAAAAGAUGUUGGAAGAAGUUUUCAGUAUCCAGGAAUUACCUAGAAGGGGACUGUGCAGUAACCUUGCCCUGCGACUUUGAAGAAGAGCAAUGUUCCAAAUUCAGUUUCACCUUACCUGCCUUGCAGGAUGCAACCCUUCCUUUGUUAUUCUCUGUUCCUUGUUGUUGUUGCGAAAUUUUAUCAACCACUAUUCUGUGAGAGGAAAAAUAAAACAUCAAAAUUUCAGCCUAAACAGACAGUCUGAACAAGAUAUACCUAAGAGGAAAAUUGGAUUGAGCAGAGGGUCAGUGAGUGUAUCCUGGGACACGUCGGGGGGGGGGGGGGGGGCCCGGGCUCAGGCAUUUCUACUUCAACACUGAAGGGUUGUGUAAGGGGUCUGGGAGGAGGUGGCUCCGGGGAAGAGCCCAUCGCCUGGCAUGCUCCAGGCUCUGCCUUCUAUCCCAGCACCAUCACAAAGAAAUGUUAUGUGAGGCCAGAGGACUUGGGGCUGCCCAUUUGGCCAACUCCUGGGUUGUUUGGAGGACACACCAUAAUGGCAAGAAGGCACUUUAGCCCCACAUAUCUAUUCCAGAACCUUCAGUUUACACAUUUGGUAAUCACAACCAAGGAGAGGUGAGGCCGAUGAAGAAAGACGGUGAACAGAUCUCCCCACAGCAAACCUGGUCCUCCCUCCACUCUAGUCCUGCCUCUUCACAAGGGAUGAUUCUGUGGUCUGUGGAUGUUUGGGGAAAAUAUUAGUGAUUUAGAGCUCUCCAGUGGGCUGACUGGCUUAGCAGCUGGGAAACUCUGAAUCACAUCGGAUGGAAUGUUUUGUUUACUUCCUCCCCACAGGGCUAAAGGGGAGAGUGGGUUUGUUCCCCUCCCCCCNUCCCCCCCCCCCCCCCCCCCCCCCCCCCCCCCAACCAGUUUGCUGAAAGAAGUAAAUAGUUUCCCAGUUCAUCUGGUAUCACUUCCAACCACUCUUUCUGUGGCUCGUUUCAGAGAAGGGAUAUCAUUUGAAAUACUUGAUUUCUUUUCAGAACCUGGCAAAGGGGAAGAAGACUGUCUCUUCUUUAACCCCUCUCUUAGUAAAGCUGCUGCUGUCCUUUGCUGUGAUGGCACACUGUCACAGCAAAGUCCUCUCUAGGGCAGCCAGGGCUACUGGGAAAGGAAGUGUGUCCAGAGAUUGUCAAACCAGCUUGUCCGUUCAGUCCGCUAGCUUACUGGGCCAGAAAUCCUUCUUGAAGGCAAAUUAGUCAACACCCCGUGAACAAAACAAUGAUGAGACUGGAACUGCUUAGGUAGAAGGUAGAAGCCCAGAACACCUCCAUCUCCUCCUUAGCUGGUAGAGUGGCCCCUGAGACAUGUCUCUGUGGAAGACACUGGAAAACUACUAAAGCCAUGAAGCUAAUGCACACUAUGAUCACUAUAAGUUCCAAAGUCAUCUCCCCAGGUCCUAUGAGUGGCAUGUCUGGAUUUGAACUCACAUUCUCUCUCCACAGGCUCGGUCCAUUGGCCUUCUGUAGCUCACUCCUGUGGUAAAAUGUUCUCAUGACUUAUGCCCCACAAGGAACUCAGAUCUCCUUGGAGGCAGAGCAAAAGGAUGAGGUUAGACAUGCAAUAUGUUGCUGUGUCCAGGAACCAAGGAAAUCUCAGUGAGGUUGAGUCCGAGGAAGCUUGUUUGAAUUGACAAAUAUGCAAAGAUGGGACCCCCAAAAUUAUUUAAUGUACAUUCACAUGCUAUUUAAUGAGGUGAGUACCUUCUGAGAGACGCAUGAUCAGGUGAUCCCAUCACUGACCAAUUGCACUUAAACAAACCUGCAUGGUGCAGCCUACUGCACACCUGCGCUACACGGUAUAUAUCUAUGGUAUAACCUGUUGCUCCCAGGGACACAAUGAAAAAAACAACACAAGAUUAAACCAAGCACAGGAAACAAUGAUGCUCUCAAGAGACUCAGUAACAAGAGAUGUAUGAUGCUGCUGCUGGAUGACAUAGCACACUGCUUGAUGGUGAACAUUACUUUAUAAAUAGGAAUGUACUCAAAACUAAUAAAUAGCAUAGUUAACACAUAAGCCUGCAGUGCAGUCAUUUACCAUCAUUUUUGAGCAUUACAGACUUUACAUAAUUUUAUAUGCUAUACUUUUUUAUGACUGAGUUAGCUUUAUUUUUUCACACUGACAUCACCAUAAACAUAUGAGCUAUGCAUACGAAGCAAUAGGGAUUUUUCAGCUCCAUUAAAUUCUAAGGAACUACCAUCAUAUACACAGGUGUUGACCAGAAUGUGGUUAUGCAGCAUCUGACUGGAAGUUCUUAAAAUACUUGAUAUUUCUGUGUCACCUGCCCUUUCCUCUCUACAUGGGUCCAGACACUAUCCAAGGAUGCCCUGUAGUCCCGAGCAGAAACAAUGUAAGUAGGAAAUCAUGCUGCAUUCAUUAUUCUUUUUUAUUAAAAUGUCAUGGUGGGAGAUGUUCACCAGGCCACUCAAAGAGGAAGGGAAUUAAUUAUGAUUGAAUGCUCACUAGGAGUCCUAGUGUCACUAUCUGUGGGACAGAUGCCAGUCACUCCAGUCCACUGAGCUUCCGUCUCCUACAUCACAAGGAGGAAUUGAGAGAGAAAUGAGGUAUUACAGAGAGCCCUUGGCCCAGUGCCUGGGUAUAGUGAGCAGGCCAUAGUACUAGCUAUUAUUUUUAUUAUAUAUCUAGUAUAAUAAUAACACUUCUUACAAUAACCCUGUGGGGCAUAGUAGUCAAAGUCGUCAUUUUCCAAAUGAAGAAAUGGAGGUUUGGAAAGUUUCAGUGACUCAAAGUCACACCUUCAGGAAAGAGGCAGAGUGGAUACAAAACCAGGAAUAUCUAACCACUGUCAAUUUUAGACUACAACAACCUCUGAUAAAUCACUGCUUCAGUUUAAUUCAGGAAAGAGAUGUUUCUGCCAAUGAACUGUCGUUCGACUGGUAAUUCAGGUGUUUCCCUUUUGGGAAUCAAAUUUAUUGCCAGAGUAUAUUGAUCUACUUGAUCCAACAUAAUUUAUCUUUUUUCUUCCAUUUACAUGGGCUCCCUUUUCCUGUGACCUGUUUUUUGUUUACGUUUUAUACAACUUACUGUAUUACUCUUGCUCAAAUCUUUCCCCCAACUACCCAGGUUAUCAGAAACUAGUAAAAAUUCAAAUAUAAGUAUUUGAAGUCUAUCUUAAGUUAUAGGGGAUAUAAAAAGGACAAACUGAGAUUUCUGACAUUACAGAAGUCACAGUUGAGGACAGUAAGAUCUAUGCAUGAAAAUGAUGAAGCAGGAAAUAAAUCCAGGUGGAGGGGUAUGGGCAGAAAGCAUAAAUAGCACCAAAACGGCAAGAUAUUUCUAAAAUUGGAGGUUACGUUGAAAAGCACUCUGAAAAUUGAGCUUAGAAUUUCAGAAAAUAACAUGCUACAGAGGAAUUCAAAAACUGGAAGACUCGACUUUAAAUAAAUCAUUUGCUUCCUCAUUUUUUCAACACAUUUCUGUUUACCUUAUUUGUAUAGGUACCAGGUAGUGAGUACAGUAAGAAUGGUCUCUGCCCCCAUAGAAUUUAAAGUCUAAUUUGUCAAACAACAAUAAUAACAACAACCCAAAAUUACUUGUUCUGACAUGCUGUACUUCUAGGAGAAAGCAGGAGAUACUGAAAUGGAAUAGUCUAGUCUGCAUUUCAACUAGUCAUCUUGUUCCCAUUUGCCAGACUAUUUUAUUAAAGGAAAACUCUAUUUUAAAUAAUUUAUUCUAGAUACUUUAUUUUUCAGUUAGGUUCAACACAAACCAGUUAUUAGGCUGAAGAAAAGAUUUUGAUGUCUUCCUCUUAUAGAAAGAAAUUAAUCAUUCAGCUAGAAUAUGUUGGAACAAACAAACACUGUAUAAAUUUUAUUUUUAGAAAGAUACUGGGGUGAUUUCUCUGGUGGCAAGCAACCCACCUCAACACACUGCCAGCUAAUUUGCUAUUUACAUCAUAGGACCUUUUCAAGAUUGAUAUAAAUAAUAACCAUUUUUUUUGUUCCAUGGGACCAUCAACUUUCUUAGGAGUUGGUUCUCACUCCAUCAGAAACAUUUGAAAUAACAUCUGAUAAUUUUGAAAAGGAAACUUUAAUGUAUUUGAUUCCAAAAUCCUUUAUUUCAUCUAGCCAAAAAAGUGUACUUUUUCUAAAGAGUUCUCAUUAAUUUGGGGAUUGAUUAAUUUUUAUCCUAGUAUGCAGAACAGUGUACACCAAUGAAAUACCAGUCAAGAGGGAGUUAGUUCUGAGUUUUAGUCGUAACCACACCACUUGAUUGGUCUUAGUUUUUCAGUGGUGAUGUUGGGAUGAUAAUGACAACAAAGUAGUUGUGAAAGCAUAGUACAAAAUAGAGUAUGUUUUAUUAUUUUUUUCCUUUUUAGGAUGUUUUUACUCUCUUCUAGUAAUAGUAUACAAAAUUUCCCUUGGAUAUUAGCCGCUUUCCCAUGUGGCACAGACUUAGCCAAUCAGAACAGUAAAUGGUGAUGCUUAUAAAAAUAAAAGAACCACAUCAACUGACUCAAGAUAGCAUGUGUCAUACAAAUUGGCCAAAUAUAAAUGAAUUUUUGGAAUUUUUGUGGGCACUACAUACUGAAGUAAUUUUUUUGUUUUGUUUUGUUUUCCUGACCUUAAACCUGAAAUGAUAUGAACCUGAGGCUAUAGGUUCCAAAUAGUGGGCUCAAGAAUGAAGGUUCCACAGAUAAAUUUUCUUUCUCAAUCUAUAUAUCUUUUAUUUCCUUUUCUUGUCCUAUUGCAAUAGCAAGGAUUUCCAAUACUAUGCUGAAAGGUAAGGCAAGAGGGGACAUCCUUGCUUUUAGCCUGAUCUUAAUGGGAAAAGCUUUCAAGUUUAUCACCAUUAAGCUUAAAGUAUUGUUGGCUGGUUUUGUUGUUGUUGUUGUUGUUGUAGCUAUUCUUCAUGAAGUUGAGGAGGUUAUGCUCUAUUCUUAACUUACUGGAAGUUUUUAUCAUGACUCUGCAUCAAAUUCUGUCAGAUUCUUUUUCUGUAUCUGUGAAUAUGAUCAUGUGGAUUUCCUUUAGACUGUUGAUUAAACAGAUUACUUUAGUUGAUGUUGAAACAUCAAACCAGGCUUUCAUACUUAAUGUAAAUCCCAGUUAGAUGUGGUGUAUAAUUCUUUUUAUACAGUGUUGUAUUAAAUUUGCUAACACAUUACUAAGAAUUUUUGCAUCUAUGUUCAAGAGAAAUAUUGAUCUAUGGUUUUCUUUAAUAAUGUCUUUGAAUUUUUUUAUUAGAGUAAUUCUGACCUCAUAAAUUAGUUAGGAAGUAUUUCCUAAACUUUUACUUCUAGAAGAGAUGGUAGAGAAUUAAUUAUAAUUUAUUUCUUAAAUAUUUGGUACAAUUCACUGGUAAACUCAUUGAAUCCUGGGUGCUUCUUUUUUAGAAGUUACUAAUCAUUAAAUUGAUUAAUUUGAGAGAUACUGGCCUUUUCAAAUGAUCUGUUUUUUCUUAUUUAAAUGUUGUCAGGUCGUGCCUUUUAAGGGUUUGUCAAUUCAACUUGAUUAUCAAAUUUGUAAACAUAGAGUUUCAUACUAUUUCUUUAUUAUCCUUUUCAUGUCCAUUAAAUCUAUAGUGAUGUUCCAUCUUGUGUUUGUGAUAUUAGUAUCUUUUUUCUUAGCCUUACUAGAGGCUUAUGUUUUAUUGAUCUCUGCAAAGAAUCAGCUUGGGUUUUGUUGAUCUAUUAUUACUUUUAAAGCUCUUGACUGUAUGAAAUGCCAUGCGUAGCCAUGCAUAAAUUCUCUAAUUACCAUCAUCCUAGGAACUUUUUGAAACUUCCCCUUUAUGGCUUGAGGCCAAAACAUUUUACAGAACUGACUCUUAUAUUACCAUAAUCCAAAUAUGCAGUCCAAGAAAUAAAUUUAUGUUCUUUUGUCUUUUUCUAUAUAUAUGUAAGCUGUACAAUAUGGAAAAUGCAUUAUAAUAUUAAGCAUUUUCCCAAGGCACUGAUAAUUAAUAGACAAAUAUUCUAUAGGCAAACCAAAUUUAAAGAAGUACUAUGUUAUCUCCCUAUUUGAUUUCUGUUUAAUAAUGUGAACGUCCAACUAGUUCUUUGUUUUAGAAAUUUCAGUGCCACCCAUUUAUCCAUCUAUCCAUUGAUAAAUAUAUUUAACAAAUGUUUAUUGAAUACUUACUAUGUGACAAGCACUGUACUAACCAUCAAGGGUUUCAUAUUAAGCAACAUUCACAUAGUCAUCUGCUGUCAUGGAACUUAAUGUUCUUUUGUCCUCACCACUAGCUCACCCACCCUGAUUCCCAUCUUCCAUCAAACUUGUAAUAAACUCAAAUGUUCCAAUAAUUCUAUUCCAUAAUACUUUUUAAUCUGACAAUCUGUUUCUCUACUAUUUCUGCCUUAAAUUGCUUCUACUUCAUCUCUCCUAAAACACUAUAGUGCCUCAUCAACCUGUUUCCUAGCUUUGCCAUAGUCCAUCUUUCACACAGUACCAGUAAAGUUGUCUUCUUGAUAGCAAAUCUCAGGAUUGGUUUUAGCAUCACUGUGAGUGGGUUCACCAGAUGUUAAGGGUCUCUCAAUGGAAUGCAGUAUCACCUAUAGAAUAUCACCCAUGACAUAUUCUUGCCUUAAUUAGUCCUUGUAGAAUAAACUAUUCUUUACAGAUAAAAGAAGAAAAUAAAUGAUACCAACUGGGAAGCAAGCAAAAAGACAAAUGCAAUAUGGGACACAGUCCCCAUGGCCCUGUGCCAUGUUCUUUGAGUAAGUCAGUGGUGUGGGAAUAUAUGAUUCUGGGUGAAGAGGAGGUGCUAUAAAUUAAGAUCUCUAAGAAUCAUUAUAAUCUAGUGCAACUAAUUGAGGUCCUGAGCUGAGCAAACAUACUAUAACAUGGAUAUUUAUGAGAUAACUAAAGACUUUAAAUGUAGACUUGGUUAAAUAGUACCAACAAAAUAUUUAUAACUUAGCUGUGAAAAUGGAUUGUGGUUAGAUAAGAACACAUCCAUAUGUAGAAAUAUAGGGAUGAAAUGAAAUAGGUUGAGAAGAUUGCUUUAAAAAUCACCCUUUUAUGGGGCUGGGGAUGUGGCUCAAGUGGUAGCGCGCUCGCCUGGCAUGCGUGCGGCCCGGGUUCGAUCCUCAGCACCACGUACAAAACAAAGACGUGUCCGCCAAUAACUGAUAAAUAAAUGUUAAAAAAAAAAUCACUCUUUUAAAUAAAUCAAAAGUGGCAAAAUCUUGACAACUGUUGAAUGGUGAUUUAUAUAUGGUGAUUUUUAGGUUAUUCUUUCUUACGUAUAUGUUUUCAAGGAAUUUUAAAGUAGUCAAAUCGUGUAGUUAUUUUUUUUAAAAUCUGCUAGAUCUCUUGUGUCUAUGGAACAAAAUCUAAACUCAUAAGCUUGCCAAAUGAGUUGUUUCAUAAGCUGAGCUCCAACUAGUUUUCAACCUCUUUUUCAUUUCCCCAUGAUUCUGUGGUCCAUAGCUCCUUUUCCUACACCUACAUAGAUGGCCCCCAAGUCUGUGUACAUCCCAUUAUCACUGCCCAGAAUUUCCUUGCUCCCAUUCUCACAUAGCAAAUGUAUUCAUCUCUAAAGACUCAGCACAAAAUAUCUUCCACCAAGAUAAGAAAAUCUGUAAAAACUAGUUGUUUUCUCCAAGUUUCCUCUUAAUUCAUGUAAGUCUUUCUACAUUCUGUUGUAAUUAUCAAGCCUACAUCUCUGGAUCUCUGUAUUCCUAGCCUGCGGACAUGGGGUGCUGGAUAACUGUCAGAUAAUAGUGUAAAUAUCCAAAUAGCUCUUGGUUUGUAGUGAAUGUCUACAGCGUCAGUCCUUUCUUGGUAAAUCCUUUCUUUGGUCUUCCCAAUACCUAAAGAGGACAAAUACAGAAAAAAUUAGUUUUUUUAACUUGGCAAUUUUUUUCCCCAUCUUGUAAAUCUUCUUAGAGAUUUGAUUUCUCUAAAAUGGAAAAGUGAUCACAGUUCUAAACUCCUGGGCUACAGAAAUAUGCUAAUUCAUUUAUAAACACCACCAACAAAUUGGCUCUGUCAUUAAGAUUUAAUGGCUCUUAGAAUAGCUGGGAUUUAUCUUUAGAAAAACACUGAGACUUGAUUCCUUUAAUGAACUUUUUUCCCUGAUCCAGCAAUACCUAAUUUCUGUUUAAUUGCUUCAUGUUGACAUUAAAUUUAAUUCCUUGGGUUCCUCCCCGAAAUACAUCCUCAGGGAAGCUGCUCUGAGGCUGUUUGACUACAAGACAUUAUUUUUUUUUUCCUUAAUCCAUGAAUUAAAAGGUUUGAAAUCAUGCCUUUCCUCUUUUUUUUUAAUUUAUUUUAGGAAAUCUGUAUAUUAUUGAUUUCGCAGUAGAUUCAAGUUUUCUGAAUGCUUUAAGAUUAAGUUAACAAUAUUUGGCAAAAUUUGGACUUUUGUAACCCUCAAGGCUUUUAAUGUGCAUCCUCUAGUUAAAUGAGUCUUCACUUGAGUGUGACACUAGGAUGUUUUAAAAAGACGGCAGCAAAGAUAAUAAAAGCUUAAACAUGAGUCAUUGUUAUGAUUUAAGUAGGAGGUGUGCCCCAAAAGCUCAGGCAUGAAACAAUGCAAGAAAGUUUAGAGGUGAGAUGAUUGAAUUAUGGGAGGCUUGACCUGACCAGUGCCUUAAUCUACUUGAAUGGAAUAAGUGGGUGUUAGCAGUAGGCAGGUGACUAGAGGAAGUGGGUCAUUGGGGGUAUGCCCUGGAGGUAUAUAUGUUGUCCCUGGUAAGCUUAGUCUUUCUCUGCUUCCUGAUUGUUAUGUUCUUAGCUGCCUUCCUCCUCCUCCACACAUUUCUGCCACGAUGUUCUGCCUCACCUGGGAGGCCCAGAGCAACAGAGUCAGCCAUUUGGGGACAGAGACUUCUAAAACUGUGAGCCCCAAAUAAACUUUUCCUCCUAUAUACUUAUCAGGUCUUUUGGUCAUAACAGUAAAAAAAAAAAAAAAAAAAGCAGUCAUCAACUAAUGAAUGGAUAAGUAUAAUGUGACAUAUACACACACUGUGAUAUUAUUCAGCACUGAAAAGGAACAAAGCAUUGAUUCAUGUUACGAUAUGGAUGAACCUUGAAAACAUUGAGUCAACUGAAAGAAGCUAAACAUGAAAACUACACAGUGCAUUGUUUCAUGCAUAGAAAAUGUUCAGAAUAGGAAAAUCCAUAUGGAGAGUAGAUUAGUGGUUACCAAGGGCAGGGAGGGUUGAGGGUAAAUAGGGAGAGAGACUGCUAAUUGGUUUCUUUAUGGAGUGAUUGAAAUGUUCCAAAAUUAAUGGUGAUGGGCUCACAACUCCACGAAUGUACUAAAACCACUGAAUUAUACACUAAUAAUAUGUGAAUUAUAUGUCAAUAAGGCUAGUUUAUUCUUAAGCCUAGGGAAAAAAUCAGAAGCAUUAUUUUUAGAGUAAUGUUAGCUGAUGCAGCAAGCAAACCUAGAUGUUAGAGUGACUUCUCAUAACCAAUUUGAUGUGUUUCUUCAUUCACAUAACCGUCCAGUGCAGGUGGAGGGAGACAGGAGCCACCCAGCCAGUCUUUGAGAGAUUCAAGUUCUUCCCAUCUUUAAUCUCUAGGAUCUGCAUCCUCUGCACCAGGCUGCCUCUAUAUUCAGUUAGCAGAAGGAGAAAGACAGUGGGAAGAAUCAUAUCCAGUUCUCUGCCUCUCAGCUUAGGAUACUCCACCUCAUUUCCAUUUGAACUUCACUGUGUAGCAUAGCACACCAAUUGUCAGAGACUGUUGAAAACGGAACUUAGUCAUGUGUCCAGAAAGGAGGCUUGUUUGGCAAGUGGCUCUCCGGUCCCUACCAUAGCAUUCCCAACCUUCCCAUCCCUUUCACCCUCCCCAACUUGCUGUUGCUUAUCUCUGUUUAUUAUGUUUUAUGCAUCAUCUAAUAUUAAUUCUGUAUUAUAUACAGUAUCAGGCUUUAAUUAGGCACACAUGGUACAUACCUGUGAGAAAAACAAGAUUGCUUUUCAUCCUUUAAGGAAAGUGAUCAAAGAUAAUUGCUGGCAGCAAACCCCAGCAAACUUCCAGCUGCCAGCAGAUAAUAAAAUGGGAAUUUUUCAAUCUGUUCUUUCACUCCUGUUAGCUCAUGGUCUUGUCCUCAGACAUGUCUUUCUUCAGCAAAUCUAUUCCUGACACUUCCUCUUCUUAGGAUAUUCACUGGCUCCUUGAUGCCCAUAGAUGUGGUUUUCACAUUACUGUCUGUAGACUGAUUUUUGUUCAUAAUAAAAUUAUAAAAAUUAAGAUAAUAUUGUGUGUAUGGGUGUUAUUUAUAUGAUUGUCAAUGCCCUUACUAAAGACAUUUAUUUAAGAGAUUUCAUUUUUCUGAUUUGGGGUGUGAAAAUAUUAUUUUCUUUCAUGAAACCGUGGUGCUGGGUGAUUAUUUUUAAAUGUCCUUCCAUUUCAAAAUAGGUUUAACCUUUUAAUUUGUCAAAAUGUGGGCAAGCAGGUGCUUUGAGAGGUACAAAGCUUUAAAAAAUGUCUUUUGAGAGAAGAGUUUAUACAAUUGCUACUCACAGAACAUUUGGAAAGCACAUGAUCUACAUAGUCAGGACCAUAUGACAAAUAUUUUGGCCUUAUUAAAAGGCCUGUGCCUAUCUGUGGUUCAUGGAGAUUAGAAUGAAGGGUCUCUUGGGAAUUUAGAAAAAGUUACAGACAAGAUAGGAGGCUUAUACUCGAUCAUGUCUGAAUUGGCCAUGAGACUGCUGUUAUUCAUGAAAAAAUUACUUAUGAUCCUAACUACAAUCCAUAAUGCUCAUUUUCAAAACCCAUUUGGUCAACUUUUUCAUUCUUAUGUUUACUUGAAUUUAUGAUUACAUUCAACCUUGAUCUUGCAUUUACUUGUAAAAUGUAACCCAAAAGUCAAUUUGGCUUUACAUUUAUUUAUAGACGCACCUUCAAAUCCUCUCUACUUAACUCUUAUUUUAGAAAUGAACCAUUUAAGGGGCUGGAGCACCAUCAUAUAAAUAAAUAAAAUAAAAGUCCAUCACCAACAACAUAUUUUUAAAUUCUUGUGUAUUAUAUGUAUAUGUAUAAAUGUAUUAUAAAUGUAUAUUGUACACAAGAAUUUAAAAAUAGAAAUGAAUCAUUACAGUCAAAAACCUCAAAAUUGAACCUAAGUAUCCCUAGCACAGAGUUAAUUUAGUAAAUGUAUAUCCUAUAACUCACAUUGAUUGACAUCCUGUACCUGGCGCAGUGUGUGUCCCUACUAAGCCACUGGGGCUUAGUUUUCAUCAACAUAAAAAAGAAAGAGUGGGCCAGUCUAAUUUCUAAUGUCUCUUUAUUUUUUAAUUCUGCACACAUUAAAUUAUUAAUGCCGCAUAUAUAUUUACUUCAUGGUAAUAUCAUAUCAAAAGCUUUGUUUUUUAUUCAUGGUUAUAAUCUGACAAACUUCACAGUAAUUAAAAUAUGUGUGUAUGUUUUAAACUGAAGUAGAAACGAUCUGCCAUUUAGGUGUCUUGGAAAGACAGAUAGAGGCCAAGUUUGCUUGUUAUCCAUGACAUGCUUCAACAGAGCUAGGCUUCAGCAGCAGUUUGAUCAUUACCUCAAGAGCACUGUACAGCUCAUUGAGUUUCUAGGACCUUUCUUUCCAGAAAUAUGUGGGCUGAAGCUGGUAGUGAAGGAGCAGAGAUCCAAGGUGGGCCAAUAUGUAUUUAUAUGUUGCAGUGAGAGGUCAGAAAAUAAGCAUUCGCACUAAAAAUAUGAAGAUGGGACUCAGAAUAGAUCCAUCUGGAGUCACAGGAUUGAUCAGAAAAACAGAUAAUCUGUCAACAUUAAUGUUUCUCUUCUUGAAAGGGAGGUGCUAAGAUAGNUGAAGAUGGGACUCAGAAUAGAUCCAUCUGGAGUCACAGGAUUGAUCAGAAAAAGAGAUAAUCUGUCAACAUUAAUGUUUCUCUUCUUGAAAGGGAGGUGCUAAGAUAGUAUCAGUUUGGAAUUGCUGAAGAUGAGCAAGAAUAGAAAAACCUUUCUUCGUUCAGACAAAAAUUUUCACCAAGAAGCUUCCCAUCACUGAACCUGGGUAAUUAAUCCCAUUAAGAUGGGAGGGGGGUGGCAUUAGGAAUAUAGUGUUCUGUAGUCAGCAACCUUGAUUCAAAGUCUGGCUCAACCACUUAAAAGCUUUAUUAAACUAUUCAAGUCAUGCACCUUUUCAAGCCUAUGUGCCUUCAGCUAUACAGUGGAGAUCAGCAGAAGCUCAUGAUAAGGAUUUAAAGAACUAUGACCCCUGAGCACACAGUAAGCAAUUGAGGAUCGAUACCAUUUUUCUUAUUGCACCAGCCUUGCAUACAUAUCCCAAAAUCUCUUCGACCAAUCUUUUCUGUCUUUACCAUUUUUGCUCCAAAAAUUCAUCUGUUUAAAUUUUAUGAAACUGUUUGCAGUUUUACUCCUUUUCUUCGUCUUCUCUUCCUCUCCCCUCUUUUCUGAUCCCUCAGGAAUAGGUAAGGAUGGGUGGUAGCCAGGUGCAGACUGUUCUUAAAGGAAUAUGACUUCCAAUUAGCUGGGUGGCCUCUGAAGCUUUGGAUCUGGGGAUUAUUCUUCAGUCAUUGCAAACCAGACAAGGAGAAUUAUGGUCUUAUUUCCUCUCCACCUCUUCCCCAGGCAGAGCUACUGCUGCCUGCUCAGGGCUGCAGUGAAAGCUGCAUGGUGCCGACUUCAAGGACUGCAGGGCAGCCACAGGAGUGGUGCCGCUCUGGGUGUGUUUGAGAAGGGCAACUGCCAGUGGGUGGAACGAGCUCUAGUGUCUCAAAUAACUACCUACCUGUUAGACACCAGCCUAGUAGUUUUUCCCAGCUGAAGCUCAAGUUGCUGUUGAGAUCACCCUCCUCCCAUCUUUGCUUAUUAAUGUUUUGUCCAUUCUUCAAGGUCCAUGUCAAAAUCCAGCAUAAAAUCCUUUCUUAGUGUCCCCUGAACUUCUUCCCCUCUCAGCUCAUAGCAUGUCUAAUAGCAGAGACUUUUGUCUUUAAAUAUCCUCUAUUAAUCUAGAGAAAUGUCUAGGGCCUCCUCAUGUAAAAGAACCCCUUUAAAAAUGUUUGUUCUACAUAGACUGGCUCUGAACAAUUUCUUGUAAUGUUCUCAUUUUUUGCUUUGAUAACCAUCCUCUGUUUUUUAAUCCAACCUAACCCUGAUACUUAAAUUAACUAAUUUUAUCCUCCCUGGCUUCUGAUUCUGACCACAUGGGGGGCUGAUCAUUUGCAAGCGAAGUGCAUAGAGGAAAGAGGUCAUGGGAUGAUUUUAACUGAUGGGUGCUAUGUUCAUUCAUUUGAGUUAUAGUGACAAGUGUAUUUAUCCUUGUUUGAGAAAUAGUCCAGGGACUUGUUUUCUAUGUAAAAUGAGGUUUUGAACAUAGCAGGUGCUCAAACAAUUAAUAAUCUGAACUUGAUGCACUAAUUUAUUUAGCAAUCUGGAAAAGUAAUACAAAUGCAGUCUCUCUCUCUCUCUCUCUCUCUCUCUCUCUCUCUGUGUGUGUGUGUGUGUGUGUUGCAUAAGCAGACAGAAGUAGAAAAGGCAAUGACGCAGUCUAGUCCUAGGUUACAUAUUUGAAAUUUUCUUUCUGUGACUUCUUUUGCACUUUACUUCAUGAAGACAGCUUUCAAGUCCAGAUGAUCAAUUCCAGCUUCCAGGUUGGUUUCUAUGAAUCGCUCCUCUACUAAGACCUACUGUAUCCAAAAUAUCAUGCUGACAUUUAUAAAUCAGUAUGCUUUUUUCAAGAUGUUACCUCUUUUUUAAUAUCUGAUUACCCCUGGGUAAAAAUCUUAUGCAUAUGCAACUAGAAUAAGAUAUAUUCCAUGCUUAUGUAAUUAUAUCAAAAUAGAUUCUGCUGUCAUGUAUAACUAAAAAGAACCAAUAAUUUUUUUAAAAAAAGAAAAGUUAUCUCUUGAAGCAACAUUUAUAUUUUACUCUUUCUCUGUUAUCAGUUAUAAAUUACUAUCAUCUACCACUACUGGCCAUUAUCAAGAGGUAGGGGACAUCCAAUGUUGUAUAAUACUAGGUCCCCAACUGGCAGAUCGCCUGAGUCCCCUGGGAGCUUUUAUUCUUCAUCCCAUCCCUGCAGAUUCUGAGUCAGAAUAUUUGGGAUGGGCCAGGCACUAGGAAUUUUUUUCUUUAAAAAGCUUCUUAAAUGGGUCUAAUGAGGAACUGAUGUAGGAACCACUGAGAUAAAAAGAUUAGGUUCUUCCCAUUAGGAGCUGAUGAGCUGCUCAGGAAGAUAAGACAUAUGAGCAAAUAACUCGUAAGUUUUAACUAUAUGAUGAGAGACCUCCCAUCUUAUAAAGUAUUCUCACAUACCCCAUCCCUCUGCACUAAUGCAUUUUUUAAAAUUCUAUCUUUUCUUAUAAGUAGGUAGUGAGGCAAAGACUGGCUUGUCUAGAAACCCAAUGCCCUGACUGAGCCCAGCUGCAACAUAGCACGCCCCAUUCCCUUGACUGCACAAACUGACUGGGUGGGGGAUCCAUGGUAUCUGUUGAUGGUGAAACAAAUACUAGAACAGCAAGCAGAGGACUGGGAGGUGCAUCUACAAGCAAAAUAAAACUGACUGUGCAGAGACACAUCUGUGACCAGGUAUUUUCCAGGCAUUUCAUCCCGACCUGUGUGAUGAUAGGAUUAACAUGUUUUGCUGUUCUUGAUGCUUAUUUUUUAUUUUCUUUUUUAAAAAUGUUUUUCAUAGUUGUAGAUGGACAGAAUGCCUUUAUUUUAUUUGCUUAUUUUUAUGUAGUGCUGAGGAUCAAACCCAGUGCCUCACACAUGCUAGGCAAAUGCUCUGCCGCUGAGCUACAGCCCCAGCCCUUAUUUUUGUUUAAGAAGCUAAUGUGAAGGGAAGUGACUGCUCUAUACUCCCACCUUGUCAGUACCCCACAUGCUAUUUCCCAAGGCUACACGUGCAUGGUCUCACCCAUUUUGUGCUGGCCCAGACCUUUAUGUUAGUGUCUACAGGGAUACUCAUUAAGGUUCAAGAUAACAGGUAUUAGAUGGUGGACAUGGGGAUGCCAAUUGUUAGAAGUUUUGUUUAGUUGGUUUUUUUUUAAGCUUUUAUAAAGUGAUAGACAUACCAGAGGGCAGAAUUCCUAUGAGAAGAGCUUUAAAGCUAUGCAUUCAGACCUUAGUUCUUAAAUUCUGUUCAUGUGACAUGACACCUGUAGAAUAAAAUCCAAGCUUAUUAGUGCACAUUAAAGGCUCCUUCCUCAUUACUCUGACCCUGCUGACUCCCCAGUCUUAUGCUCUUUGUCCUAGUUCUAAAAGACUUCUUGUAUGAUCCCACAACAUUCUUAUUUUUUACAUGCCCUCAUCUUGGCUACUGGUACUCAUUCUGAUAAAAAUAACCUUCCUUGUUCAUGCUCCCUGGAUGAACUUCCCUGACUUUACAAUACCUACUCAAGAUUUUGUUCAAGUGUUAUUUACCCCUCCAAAGCCUUCUUUGGCAAUACUCCACCCAAAUACAACUGGCCAUCUUAGUAAAUGCCAAUUUUGUAAGUCCAAUGGCUCUAACCGAAAAAUUUUGAGUCAUCCUAUCCUCUCCAUUUCUCCUGUACCACAUCCCAUCUACCAACCAUCUAAUCAUCUCUCAGGUCAGAAUAUAUCCCAAAUACAGUCACUCUUGGUCAUCUAAAAAGCUCUCACCCUUUUAUAGCUGCAUUAUGCUCUUAGCUUGUUUCUUUUAAUAACUUCCAAAUAAUCUUUUCUGUUUCCAUCUUAGCCCCAUUUGUAUGGAUUUUUCUACAUGAUAGGGUGAUCCUUUUAAAACAGAAAGAAGACCAUGUCACAACUCUUAAAUGGGUUUUCAUUUCACUCAGAAAAAUCCUCACUACUAUUAACUGCCUAAGAGCUAAUACUUAGACAGUAAGGCCCCACUGUCUCUCUGACCUCCUCUCUACUUUUCUCUGAACCUAUGAGGGCUCUUGUUUCCUGUACCCCUUCAAGCACGUACCUGUCUCAGAAUCUUUGCACUUUCCGAAACCCUCUUCCCUUGAUAACCAUAUUGUUCAUUCCCUUACUUCAAGUCUCUGCUAAGUUGUCAUCUCUGUUAGGUGACCUAUCUCUUAGGUCUUUCUAAAGUGUUAGCACAAAAAAGCAAACAUCACUUCAAACCACACAAUCCACCUGAAUCUGCUUUUUCCCCAUCCAUAGUAUUUCUCUCCACCUGAACACAACAUACAUUAUUUGUUCACCAUCUCUCUUCCCAUACACAGAAAGAAUUUUGUUUAUUACUAUGACUUUAGUACUCAGCAUAGUGCCUGUGUAAAAAUGACCUGAAUAAAACCAUCCAAUGUUGUGAUUCACUGUAAUUAUUUAUUUAUAUAAUUGGGUAUUUUUCCUAAUUUGACAGGAAUUCAUUUCUUAACCAUUCUUAUCUCCAGUAUCAUAGCAAAUAGUACAUAUUCAAUAAAAGUGAUCCAUGGGUUACUACUACACAGUGCCUUUUAUGAAGCACUUUGAAAUCCUUAAUUGCAGGUUUACUAGUGGAAUAUAUAGCUUUAUGCAUACAGUAUAAAAUCAUGACAGCAAACGCAGGCAUAAAAAAAUGAGCCAUUGUAACUAAUAAUCAGCUAUGUGUAAGUUUUAUGUUAAAAUGUAUUUAUUUCUUUAUCUGUUAGGCUCUCUCUGCUCUAAUCUGUAAGAAGCCAUCGCACUAUACCAAAAGCUUAAGGAAAUGUAUGGAGAAAUUUGGAGAAUGAUUGUCAAAACCACUUGUUUCAUCCGUGGUCAGAACAGAAGGCCUCCUGUUGUACUGAUACCCUCUGAGACAUGAGAGCAAGGGUUGUCCUGUUCACUCGUCACUGUUCUAGACCAAUAAAGUCCCAAGUAUUUAAAUUGCCUAUUGGUUCACCAAGGUAAACACUCUGCCCUCAGAUUAUAUAUGUUUAAAUUCCAGCUUGAACAGUUCCUAGUUAUUUGAGCCUAGGCAAAUUCUUAGUCUCUCUUUCCUUGCAUAUAAAUAGGCACACUAACAGGAGACCUCAAAGUACUGAUGAAAGGAUUUAAGAAAAUAUAGCCACAAAAUAUAUAAAACUAUGCUUUGUUAAUAGUAGGAUCUCAAAUGAUCUAUUGUUAUUUAAAUUAUUAUAAAAUAUAGUUCUCAUUACAUUUAAUUAUACACAAUAACUGCUAAUUAGGUAUUUCCUAAAAGGCUCUGCUAGUCUUGACUCAAAGAAUAAAUAAAAACGAUUCAUGAUCAAACUCCAUUUUAUGGUCCAUACAUUCUCUUCUGUUUAAAAUGCUUUGCCUGGCACAUCCUUCACUCAGCUCAAGAGGAGUUGUUAUGCACUCUUCAUUAGAAAAUUCCACAUAAGUGGUUUUAGUUUGUGUUCCCUGUGGAAGACUAAAGAAUGAUUGCCUUAGUAAUACAUGGUAUUAAAUGUAAGGUUGAUAUUAACUUAUUUAAUACUUCACCAUUAAAAAGCACCAGGGACUUUUAUCAAAUUCUGCUUCUUCACCAUGAAAGAUACAGGACAGGUCACAGCCUUUCUCAUUGUGUAGGGAGCUCAUGACAGGCCUGGGGACCUGGUGAACAGGAAGCAUCUGGAAGAGCUACAGCAUGGCCCAUCGUAGGUGUCUCAGUAGAGACAAAGCUAGGUACCCAACUACUUUGGUGCAAGGAAAAUUAUGCCAAAAUGGGGAGCAGGAAGAAACAUUGAAUUAUACUCAGAGAAGAAGAAAAUAGAGUCUAAAUCUCUCACUUCAUAGAGUCAGAAUUCAGGUCUCCCAAAGUCUAUUUGAUGCUCUUUAUAUUCUUGCAGCUCUUGGGGCUGGUAAAAGAGAUUGUGACAUAUCUGAAAACCUGGGAAAAGUUCAUGAUGAUUUUAAAAAGGCUCAUAGAUUCUGAGUGAGAAUAAGGAGACAAAAUAGUAACGGGAUAGAAAAUACAAAACAUCACUUGUUGUGUGAUGUGGCCUUUGAAAAUGAAUGGCUAUGCUCUGAGGUAUUUUUUUCCUUGGGGGAACUGGCCAGAUGAACUGGCAAGUGAAGGUAGAAGGACGGUACUGUUCAGCAUCCCUUCCAGGGACACUGUAUGAAAAUGGGUCAGGUCCCAGCUACAAAUAUGAAUGGAGAGUCAUUGUUCCCUGGGUGACCUCAGGAAAGGCAUUUAGCUCUGAGUUUUUGAUUAAGUGAGGGAAAAAGACACUUCACAGGCUGAAGAUGAUUUUUUUCCUAAAGGGCUUUGCCAAUUUAUGUCCAUUGAAAAAACAAUUAACUCCUUCCAGCCAAAGAGAUAGAAAGGAUUUGGAGUCAUCAGUGCAUGAACAAAACUGAAAAGAUCAUCCACCUUGAACGAUCUAUGAUCACCUUCAUAUAAAUCAGCCAUGAGAUUUCAUUUUUAAAUCCUUAAAUCUUUGUUAAUUUUACCAGAGUGGCAACCAGUUGUGCUAUAAAGAAAGAACUAUAUAUUAUCUACAGGUAUUUGUUGCUUUAAAGCAAACCCAACUUAAAUUCAGAAUUGUGCAAAAAUACAAAUUGCGGAGUGACUUAAUUCCACACAUAUUUAUAAAACUCUUUAAUAUAUCAAGUGCCUAAUAGGUUCAACAUCAGCUGCCUCAUAAGUAUAUGAGGUACAGAUGGCUUUUUGGACUCUGUCUAAAAAUUAUUUAUCAACAAGAAGGCGAAACAGAAAUGUUUGAAAGUACAUCAAAAUAUGCGCUUCCUCGGAUAAGGUACCCAGCUGUAAUGGUAUAACAGAAAAGCCUUAGCGAUUCUGAUGAAAUCAGAAGAUGAAUUUGUGUAAUAGAGAAGCCAUCAGCUCUUUCUUAUGGGAGAGUUAAAAUACAUGGUCUCAAAGUGUUGUCCAGGGACCACUUGUACUAGAGUCCUCAGAAGCGGUCUUUAUAAACUCAGAUUAACACACUCUGCUGAAUCUUGGCAAGUGAACCCCCAUAACUUCAGUGCACCAAGUUUCUUAGUUUUUUUCGUAUGUACAAUCAAAUUUGUCAGCUGCUGGUAUGGACUAUUUUACCUUUGCCAAAACUGAUGAUUCUACUUUUUAUUUUCAUAAAGAUCCAAAGCUUCUCAGUUCAUAAUUAAAUACAUUUAUUUCUCUGAAUCUAAAUAACACUUUUUAAAGUGAAUGAAAGAAAAAACCCUUGUGAUGUCAUUCUUGGUGAAGGUGUCCUAUUUCUCAUUUAUUUCCUUCCUAUUUCCCAUUUAGUGCUUUCUUCUGCAUAUCAUUUGGUCACAUGAUAAUUGCGUUUUUUUUGCAUAGUUGGCUCCUGUCUGCUCCACUGACUUUAGAACCCGGAAAGGAGAAAAUUUCCUUUAAUUACAAACCUCAUGGUAUAGUAAUCAAAGUAUAGUAAGUGCUCAAUAAACUUUUGUUGCACAGCUUUAUCUUUGGUUAGUAAGUGUUAAUGUUUGGAAGACAUGUUGAACUAAAAUCUUUCUUGGGUAGACUUGGGACUUUCUUGCUAAAGAGGAGUCUGGCCCCUAGAGGAGACCAAAUAAUCCCAAGAAAUGUAUCAGAGAUAAAUUAGUAAGUAGAAUGCCUGGAGUCCUGCUUUGUUGUGUGGUCUCUUAAUUGUCUCUCACAUAGUAACAGAGGCUUGUCAGAUUAAAGUGAAACUGUUGUUUGAGUAUCUGCUUCCAAUUAAACUAUAAGCUUUUUAAAUUUAUGAAUUAUAUCUCAAUAAUCUCCAUAUCUCCAAUACCUAGCAUUUAGCAUAGGUGUUAAAAAGAAAACAUUUGAGUUAGACUGAAUGUAAUUUAGCAUCAGGUAUAGCCCUUAAAAUUGGAAAAUGCCUAGAAGAUGCUGUUUGUAUUGCCCAGUACCUACACAAACCAAGUUAAGUUCCUUAAAGAUAAGAAAUCUCUGAAUACGUAAGGGAGAAGGGACUUCAGAAGUCAUCUCUCCACCUCCUAAGACACAGAUAUUUCUUCUACAACAACUGUUAAAAUUCCUCCAGUUCCAAGAAGCUCACUGACCCUGAAGGCAAAUGUGUACAUUUAAAGUGCUCUAAGUAUUCACAAGGUUUUCUCCAUGAGCCAGAACCACUCAAUCCAAUGCAUUACUGUGGGAACUUCUUUCCCCAGGUGACUAUUUUCAAGAAUUUCCAUGCUAGUGUACUUAAGAAUUUCUGAAAUGUGACAGUAAUCUUAAAAAAGUAUAAUAAUGUAAUAAUAAACUUAGUUAACAGAGAACAUUAAGAGACUGGGAGGCUUAUGAAGUGGGGAAAGAAACCUGAUUCCCUGCAGCCAAAUUCUGUGCCAAUGAAUAUUAUGCAGAAAGUAGGACAGAUGAUUCUAUGUAUGCAGGGUCCUUCCUUGAUAUCUGAUGAUUUCCUGACACCACCACUGCCGUGCCCUGAAUUUGCCUUACUUCAUGUUUUUCACAAAAGUUUUAAUAGUAUAACCUGAUGGCAGGCUUAGUGUACCCCCAAACAUGAAGAAUAUGCCUUAUAAAUGCUUACUCUUUUCGUUGCAGUAAGCUCAAGCAGUAUUCCAAGGUGCAAACCUUCCCCCAAACCACCUUCUAACUGCACCUCUGCUUUCUUGCAUUGUCAUAAUCUUUUGUGCCCACUGGGCUCUACUUCCUGCUCUGUCACUUCUGGUCACAGGAUGAUUUUAUAUCCUGCCUGGAAUGUCCCUUCUUUCAAUCACUGCACACACAUCCUUUCCCAUGGUGCUUCUUGCAUUCUGAGCCAUGAUUUUGUUUAUUUUGUUCUGUUUAUGCCUUUGAUUGUAUGUUUAUUUUGAGGAGAACACUGCAUCCCUGAGACUUUGAUCCCUUGUCCUUAUAUUUUUCUUCAGUGUAACAUCUUUUAUGCUUUCUCUUAUGGAGUCUGAGAUUUUAGUGUUGUGAUGUGGUGUGUCAGAACAUUUCCUCUGCAAAGUAUGGGUCUAGUAUAUAAGGUGAUGUUGGGUUGGAUCUGCAGCUUUAAAAAAAAAAAAGACCUUGAGAAAGCAAGUGACUUUUUGUGCCCUUCCCCUAGGGGCAGUGCUGCUUCCAGAAAAAUAAAAACGAGCCUUAAUUUUGUAUAGGUAUCCACUGAUUUCCAAGUUUCAUACCUACCGAAGAGUCUGUAUUAGAGCAAUUCCAAGUCUAAUAUUUCCUCCAGAGUUUCUGCUGAAAGAACUUGCUUGCUUUCUCUUCAAUUGUUCUAUCAAUUGUUGGCAGAAAGGUGCUGAAGUCUCCCACUAUAAUUAUGGGUUUGUCUUCUUCUUUCAUUUUCACCAAUUUUUGCAUCACAUAUAUGCAGCUUUGUGGUUUUCUGUAUACACAUUUAAGAUCACUAAUGUGCCUUUUAUCAUUGUAUAGUUUUGUUCCAUGUCUCUAGUAAUUUUUCUUGUUCUUAUGCCUACAUUAUAAAAAAUAUAAUAUAAUAAAUAUAGUAAAAUACAACAUAAUAAACAAAUAUAAUGAAUGAUAUAAUAAAUAAAUAUAAUGAUAAAUGUAAUAAUAAAGUCACUCCUGAUUUUCUUUGACUAGUGUUUGCAUAAUAUAUCUUUUUCCAUAUUUUUACUUUUGAUCUGUGAUCUGUCAUUAUAUUAGAAGUGAGUUUCUUGUAUACAGCAUAUAAAUGGGUAAUAGUUUUAAUCCAGUUGGUCAACCUCUGUUCUUUUAGUUGAUAUGUUUAGGCCAUCUGUAUUUAAUGUAAUUAUUGAAGUGUUAAGAUUUACAUGUGCCAUUUCUUGGUUAUUCUGUUUUUGCAUUUGUUUUCUUUUUCUUGCCUUCCUAAUGGUUAUUACUUUUACACUUUUUAUAAGAUGAUGUUUUUAGAACUCUAUUUUAUAAUAAAGUGUAUCUUUCAUAUAGCUUUUCUAGUGGCUUCUCUAGUUAUUACAUUAUGUAUACAUAACUUACCACAGUAUACUGAUGUCAUUGGUUACUACUUUGAGUGAAGCAUAGAAAUUUUACUUCUCUUUGUCUCUUUACCCUCUCCCAUUUAGGAUAUUGUUGUAUCCCUUCUGUAUGCUUUCUGAUACCCCUUCUAUCUGGCUUUAGAACCACAUCAGACAAUAUUAUAAUUUUUGUUUCAACCAUCAAAAAUCAUUUAUAAAACUUAAGAGACAAUAUAUGCCUGUGUUUUUGCUUAUCAUGUAUUUCUCUUCUUUUCAUGUUUGUUCUUCUAUCUUAGCUCACUUUUUAAAGACAUUCUUUUAGAACAGGUUGGCUGGGUGAUGAAUUCUCUGUUUUCCUCAUCCGAGAAUGUCUUUCUUGAUUUUCCUUUAUUUCUGCAUAUUAUUUCUGCAUAUUUUCCCUGAGUACUGUAUUCUAGGUUGAUGGAGGGUUUUUGUUGUUGAUUGGUUAGUUUUAGGACUUAAACAUAUUGUGCCACUUUCCUCUAACCUCCCUGGUAUCUGAUGAGAAAUACGCUGUCAUUAGAAUUGCUUUUCUAUUGUGAAUAUGAUGUCAUGUUUUUCUGGUUUCCUUUAAAUAUUUGUUCUAGUCAUUUAGUUUUAAGAAGUGCUAUAAUGUGUAUCACUGUAGAUUUCUUUGGGUUCAUUCUCUUUAUAGUUUUCUCAUCUUCUUGAGUCUGAAGAUUAUGUCUCUUGUCAAAUCUGGAAAAUUUUCAGAUUUUUUUUUUCUUUGAGCACUUUUACAGCCAAGCCUUCAUUUACCUAUUCUUCUGAGUCUUCGGGGACACAAAUAAGAGCUCUCUUGUUAUAGACCCAUGUGUCCUUAUAGCUCUAUUCAUGUUUUUGCUCAGUCUGUUCACUUUAUUUUCAGAUUUGGUAAAUUCUUUUUCUUUUUUUAAAAAAGUCUUGACAUUUUAUUUGAAUCAUUUACAUUUUUCUUGUAAAGGUGUCUAUUAUAAUCCUUAAGAAUAAUGGCAUUAGAAUUAGACAAAAAUCCCUUCAAAUUAUAGCCCAACAAUUCCUUGGCUUUGGCGAAUUUACUUAAUCUCAUCUUAUCUCCAAAAAUUAAAAAUAAAUAAAUAAAUUUAAAGGAUAACAUCAACAGUGGCCUUGGGCUCUCCUCAUGGUUCCAUGAACUAAUCCAUCAUUGUACUUUGUCUAUCACCUGGCACAGGAUAAAUACUUUUAAAAGAAAAUAUCAUGACGAUUUUGAAAUCAAUGUCCUUGGAGAUUAUUUAACAUCAUAUGUUGCCCAAAGAUACAAGUUUUUUUUUUAAAAAAAAAAGUAUAAUGUGAUCCCAAUUUUGAUUUUUCAAAUAUUAAAUAGAUUGACACAGACAGGAAUGAAAUGCAGCAACAUGCUAAUGAUGAUGUUCUCAGUCGUACAGUUGUGGACACUUUUUAUUUUCUUUGUAAUGCAAUUUUGAAUCUUCAAAUGCUUCCUGAAUCAAUCUUUGUUUUUCUUCCACAUUUUUUUCAAAUUUAGUGAUUUCCAUUGUUCUAUUUUCCAUUUCACUUAUUCCCUGCCAUUGAGCCCAUCAACUGAACUUUUUAUUUCAGUUAGUUUAUUUUUUAGACAGGAUAAAUCAGAUUUCUAAUAAUACAACCCCUGCCUUGUUUGUAUCACUUUCUUUGGGGCUCUUGAUAUAUGUUGGAAACCUGUGUCCAUAACAAAUUAGAAUUAGGCUCACUGUUUAAUCCUGGAAUAGCUAGGUUCCUACGCUCCCAGUGCUUAUGUGGAUAUUCUAGAAUACUCUUAAUUUUUAUUGCUUUUACCUUAACAAAUGCCAGGGAAUCAUCAUUCUGAGAGUGAAACAAUCACCCUGUAAAAUUGAUCACAUUACUUCCUUUUAAGAUAAAAGCAAUCCCUGCUUUCUUGUUCUGUUCUUCUGUUAAUCAUCUUCAAAAAGAGUAAGGAAAAUGGAGACUGCAGAAAAGAAAGAGAGGUGAAGGAAGAGAAAAACCUUUGUAAAGCUUAGUGAUGUUUUCCCUAAAUCUUCUCCCAAAAAUAAAGACAUCUUUUUAUUUAACCUUUGUCUAGAAACCCUAUUGCACACAUUUUUAAUUUUUGAACUUCCUUUCAUUAAAAAGACAUAGCAACAAAAUUGGGGUAAUACUUCAUCUGGAUUAUAAUACUAGCCCUUGAACUCACAAAUGAAAUCUGCUGAGAGUUUCAAGUACUAUCAUUUUUAUUCUGUUUGUUGUUUAGAUCUUCUUUGUAUUAACUUCAAUUAUUAAACUUCCAACAGGGUUGCAUUUUUAUUCUUUGAUUAGGAAUGUUGCUAGGAGAUCAUCUAUUAUUAUCAUCAAGAAAAGGUGGAUCACUGCAACUGCAUUUGUCCCUUUUGCACAUGAGAACAGAGUAGCACAGUAGUUAAAUAUUAUGCAAGUACUGAUGCUUCCUAGUCCAAGUUGCCCCUAACUCACUGAAGAGUCUCUGAGAAGGCUCUGGCCAUAGUUCUCCUUCAGCAUCUCUACCUGCAAAGGUGAACAAAUCAGAACCUCCCCGUCUUCACGGAACUAUUGAAGAAGAGUGGAGCAAUGGUGUUCCAACCUCCCAUGAAGGACAUAUUUGUUAAUAUGCAAGAUUUGCUAAUAUGUGAGACCAUGUGCUCUAAGGCAGAGAUGUAUUCAGUGUAAUAUAUAUGGUAAUUUGAUUUUUACAAUAAAGAAAUGAGUUAACUGAAGAGAGUUAAUGUUUCACUCAUUCUAGUUAGUCUUCCUGUUUUUUCCAUUUUACUAGGUCUGUGAUCUAGAAAACCCCAACUGCUGCUAACAAUGCAGUUAAGCCUCACAAUGCCUCAUUCUUGCUGCCCUUUUGAUUUCACUUUUAAUUUGGGUCUGAUUCUUUGCAAACUAUUAAAAUAGAUUCUUAGUUGAGUAUUUUCUUUGAUGGAAUUUUAUUGUUAUUACUAGUUCUAUACAUUUUUAAAUGAGGGGAACAUGCUGCUGCCCUGGUUAUGUAACUUUGUAAAUUUCGGUAGAAAUGUGACAUAAAAAAAGAAAGAAAGAAAGCUUCUAGCUAAUAAGAAACAGAAGCAGAAUUUCUUCUUCUUCUUCUUUUUUUUCUUAAUUUUUUCUAACAGAAAACACAGACUUGCUUUAACUACUAUUAAAUUAUAUUUUAAGUUUUGUUAAAUAUGUCAGCAUUAAUUUUCUUCAUUGAGAUUUCUCAUACCUACAUAGUAACUCUUUUUUUAAAAAAAAACAGGGUUUAGAGUUAAGAGAAGGUGAAGGGUUCAGGGAUUUCUCAGGACUAGAAGGAAACAGAAUGAAUUAAUUUAAUGUUUGCUGAAGAGGCUAAGAACUGCCUAUUUUUGACUUUGUUUUCUUAAAUCAUUCAGGUACAAAAAUGUCCUCUGUACUUAACCCCAAUUUCUCUUCUUUUUUUCAAAACAAACAAGUUCCCUAAACACUGUAUCUUCUAGAAGGGCAAGAGUCUGUAAAGCAGAUUCAAACUGUUGAUCUUUCUGGGCCACAAAUUCCACUGAGAUUGGUUUUCCUGGUGGCUCCUGCAUUUGUGAAGGAACUUUAUGUCUCCUCAACAUCUGGCUUCUAGCAGAUGCCUGUGGUGAAAACCCAAUCACCAUGACAAACACUCUCCGGAUGCCUGUCCCUUUCUGCCUAAUGGACCCCAGACCCUAGAGCUCAACAAAAAGGGUGUUUGACAAUGUUAUCUGUAAGUACUCAUUUAAUGAAUCCUCUUCAGAUGUGAUAGAAAUGUCUGGCUAUUUAAACCUUCCAUGGCUAUGAAAUUUCCAAUUCUACUUCCGAAUAUCAAGGUCCAACUCAAUACUUUGGAACUUAGUCUCACCUCAUUUUUAAAACUCUGAAGUCAUUAUCCAGUAACUUUUGUAAAAAUUUCUUUUACAUAUAAAUGGGAAGCAAUCAGCCCCAAGAUGAUAGGAUGCUUUGUGUUGUUUCCUGUGUGUAUGUGUUGCCUCCUCAGGAUUUUAAAUUACUUCAGGACAGGAUCUCAAAGGAGCCUCAGUAGAGAAAAGAUUUUGGCAUUCUCUACCACCACCAUAUCUAAUUCAAAAUAGAAAUGACAUCCUUGGGUCAAAUAAGGAAAAGCAAGUCUAGCAAAUUUCAAAUUUUUCCAUACUUUUUUUUUUAAAAGAGAGAGAGAGAGAGAUAAUUUUUUUAUUUUUAGUUUUCGGUGGACACAACAUCUUUAUUUUAUUUUUAUGUGGUGCUGAGGAUCGAACCCAGCGCCCUGCAAAUGCCAAGCGAGCGCGCUACCGCUUGAGCUACAUCCCCAGCCCCAUACUUUUUUUGAAAAAUGUCAUUCAUUAAAUUUUCUGAUUUUUGAUGUCCCAAGAAAAUGCAUAGAUGACUUACUGGGUAAUCCUGACCUGUUUGAAAACAGAAUCAAAUCUAUGCUCCUUAUAAGUUUCUAGGAACAACUAGAAUCUGCCCACAUCCAUUUGUUUAAUUGACAGUCCUAUAGUAAGUCACCAAAAUAUUGGCGGACACGUUAGGAAAUUAUUUUUAUUUGUUAUUGGUUUUAUGGUGUUCUACCAGAAUUUCUUAAAAUGAGGGAUAUAUUCUAUUUCUGUAACACAGAUGACAGUGACCUACUUGUCCUCCUUUCAAACUACCCCAACAAAAACUCCAUUCUUAUCACAGCUUCUAUAUUAGUGAGAGAAGUAAAAUUUGUUAUAAAAUAUUUUUAGGGGAAUGGAGACAUUUUUAUAUCAUGCAUUCAUAGUAAAAUUGAAAUCUUAUGUGUUCACCUUUCUCUAAGUUUCUGAUGGAUUCAACAUUAUUUCUGGAGGGAAAAGAGUUGACUUACCCUCUAUCCACAGCCUUCUUCCACAUUAUGGAUUUGGAACCAAAGGCCAGAAAUAGCUGAUCAAAUCUUUUCCCAGCAAUGCCAGAUAACUCUUUUCAAUGAAUCUGGAUCUAAUUGUUAAUAAAAGUUUUUUUCAGAUAAUUAUACCUCAUUUAGACAAAAAAAAAAUCUGAUUCUUAAAUUCAACACAAAACUGUUAAAAUGAUUAUUUCCUCAGGUGAUAAAUCUUUCUGACCCCUGUUUUCUUUAUUUUUUGGGGGGUGGGGUACCAGGCAUAGAAUUCAGGGACACUCAACCACUGAGCCACAUACCCAGCCCUCUGUUUUGUAAUUUAUUUAGAGACAGGUCUCACUGAGUUGUUUAGUGCCUUGUUGUUGCUGAGGCUGGCUUUGAACUUACGAUCCUCCUGUAUCAGCCUCCUGAGGCAUGUGCCACUGUGCCCAGCUCUGACCCUUGUUUUCAUAAGGUACCUUCUUUUCCUACUCCGUUCACUCUUUUUUUUCCCUCUCUGAUGGAUUGUUGUUUUUGUUGUUAAUAGAUUUUAUUUUAUUAAACCAGUUUUUUAGUUCAUAGCAAAAUUGAGCAAAAAGGACAGAGAUUUCUCAUAUGCCUCUUGCCCCAGCCUACACAUAUAACCUCUCCCAUUAUCAAAAUCCUGAACCAGAAUGGUACAUUUUUUUACCACUGGUGAACCUACCCUGACACAUCAUUACCUCCUAGAGUCUAUAGUGUUCAUUUUUGGUGUUGUAUUUUCUGUGGGUUUUGACAAAUAUAUACAUGACAUUUAUCCACCAUCACAGAAGAACACAGAGUAGGUUUACUACUGUAAAAAUAUACACUCUGCCUAUUCAUGAUUCCUUGCUCCUUGCCCCUGGCAACCACUGAUAUUCAUAUUGUCUAUAGUUUUGCCUCUCCCAAAUUCUCAAACAAUUGUAAUCAUGCAGUAUAGAACCUUUUCAGAUUGUGUUCUUUUACUUAGUAGUAUACACUGAAAUUUCUUCCAUGUCUUUUCAUGGCUUGAUAGCUCAUUUAUUCUUAGAACUGAAAAAAGUUUCAUGUCUGGAUGUACUAGUUUAUUUAUUCAUUCACCUACAAAGGACAUUAUAGUUGCUUCCAAGUCUAGGCAAUUAUGAACAAAGCUGCUAUAACAUCCAUGUGCCAGUGGUAUAUGCAUGUGGUUUUCAAAUUAUGUAGGUAAAUGCCCAGGAUCACAAUUGCUGGAUCGAAUGGUGAAAGCAUGUUUGGUUCUACAAGGAACUGACAAAAGUUCUUCCAAAGUGGCUGCACUAUUUUUUAUUGCAUGAGAGGUCCUGUUUGUGCACUGUGCUGCUCACUUUUUCCAUGGGUUGAUUGUGUCCGUUGGCACAUAGCAUUUACCAAGACAUGUGGCUGGUCAGGCACACAGUUCCCUUAUAAGGGCCAUUUCUAGUCAUUUAGCUGACAUGCAAUGCUGGUCCUCAUUUGCUAGACAACUUGAAAUGACUUUGUCUUAAUUUCUUACGUAUUUUGGUUUCCUUUUCUUCUGUUUAAAUUUGAGAGACAUCAAUAUAUUUUAAAGAAUAUUUAUCUAAUAAUACUCUUAAAGAAUAUAAUAAAUAUUUUGAUAAACAUUCAAGCUUCCUGGUAACAUUAUGAGAAGUGAGGUCUUGUACCCAUGGUUGCUUAUUUAGAGUGUGUUAAUCAUUCUUCACAACUUGAAAAUAUAAAGUGUAAUGUGAGUAUAAAUUGAUAAAAUUAUAGCUAUUAAUUAUAGAAACAAGAACAGAGAUUAUUCAUGAGAUGGUCUAAAAGGAAUUAAAAUGCUAUGUGAAAGAAAAAAAUGGAUACAGUAUUUUUUCUAAAAUGUAGGAUUUUACGUCUCUACAUCUCCUAACCCUUCAUCCUCAAAACUAUUUCUUUCCACUCCCUUGUAGGCCUCCUUGGAAAACUUGUUCCAGUUGAUUAGACCUGUUGCUGUUAUCAUGAACAUACUUUCUCACCCUAUAGAUGCUUACAAAUUACAUGUACUUCUUUUUCAGCAGUUCUAACAUUGUGAUGUGACCGGACAACCCAGACUCAACUAGAGAUUCCUAUAUAAAGCAUAACUCCACUUUUUUGGGGGUAAAUGGGGAUACUGGGGAUUGAACCCAGCACUGCUUAAUCAUAUUAAGCACUUUUUAUAUUUUAUUUAGAGACAGGGCCUCCCUAAGUUUCUUAGGGUCUCACUAAAUUGCUUAGCCUGGCUUUGAAUUUGCAAUCCUCCUGCCUCAGCCCUCUCCACCUUUUUUUUUGUUGUUGUUGUUGUUGUUGAUAAACCUUUAUUUUAUUUAUUUACACAUGGUGCUGAGAAUCAAACCCAGUGCCUCACACAUGCUAGGCUAGCGUUCUACCACUGAGCCAUAACCCCAGCCCUAGCCUUCUCCACCUUUUUAACAUACAAUAAGAAAGUAGAGAUCAGGGGGCAAGAAAAGCAAUGGAGACAGACAAAGGCUUUUCUUUCCUAGCUUGGGUGGGCUUCUGAAUUUCUUCACACCUCAGUCCUCAUCUAUAAAUGGGGAGGUUAAUAGGAAACAAUAUCCCAGGGCUGAGUGAGAAUUCAUGAAGUAAUGUAUGUAAAAUGCAUUAGCACCCUGCUUAUCACUUACUAAACAUUCAAAUAUUAGGGAAAAAAAGGAAAACUUCUAGUUCCUUUGCGCAGUGAUUUUUUUCUCUCAACCUGGGAUAUUUUAGGUCUAGAUUCUGAAUAAAAGGUCUUCAGGAGAUUGCAAUGAAGGAGAAUUUGCCAGAGGCAUCCUUUACACUACUGGAAGCUUCUUGCCUGAACAGUGCUAAAGACGCCCUGAUCAGGUGUUUUUAUCUAAACAUUGUUCAGACACACUUAACACACUUAGUGCUAGGCACUGACCUUCCAGUUGAUGUCUCAACACCACUGCUGACAAACACCUGGCACAGAUGUGGCACUGUUUCCACCAGCACCUGUGGCGGACAGUGAGAAUCUACUAUGAUCUGUUGCUGCUGCACCUGCAGUCACCCUCCGACCCCUUCCCAUCCCUGCCCUCCAUACAGCCACUACUACUCACCCAUAAUUUUUUACUGCAAGUGAAAUGCAUUUGCUGACCUGGGAAUAGACCAGAAUGAAGUCACCAAUACCUUCUCUUGAAUGGGGCAUGAUAUACCUCAUUUUUCAUCAUUGUGUGCUGUUUCUAUUCACCAUGGUAAGAGAUUUUUAGGACAACUUCCAGACCUUCCACAACUUCACAAAAUAGGAGAGAAUAAAGAGAUAUAGCGAUCUCCAUAGUAAGUUUAAAGGAGCUGGUCCUUUGGGAAUUUCCAUUCACUGGUUUCCUUAACCACUUCAGACAAUUUACAAGAAGGAUGGCUGGUUACACCAACCAUCACAGGGAACAGUGUUCAGUGAUGGAAGAGCCAGCUACAGACCCAAAACACGCUGGAUGGAGGAGCUCAAGGAAGUUGAGCUGUGCUGAAAAGGCCAGGUUCAAAAGGUCGUACAGUUUUUGAUUCCAUUUAUAUAAUAUUCUUGAAAUGACAAAAUUAUAAAGAUGAAAAAAGAGAUGAGUGGCUCCCGGGGUCAGGAAAAGGGGAAGAGGUAGGUGGUUAGGCUGUUGAAGAGUGGCACAAGGGGUUCUUAUAACAGAAAUAUUCUGCAUCUUGACUGUGUUGGUAUUCAUGAGAAUCUUCACGGGUUAUAAAACUGCAUUUAAAGAAUACAAACACUCCUGAAUGUAUAACUGGUGAUAUCUGAAUGGAUCCGUGGAUUGUAUCAAUGUCAGUUUCUGGUGAUGAUACUGCACUGCAGUUAUAUAAGAGGUUACCAUUGAAACGGGAAACUAAGUGAAGGGCAUAUGGGGUCUCUAUUAUUUAUUACAACUACACAUGAAUCUAUAAUUAUCUCAAAAGAUUAAAAAACAUCUAUAAUGGGCAUUUUGAGAAUUGCAACUAUGUCUUAUAGCAAUUAAGUAUUAAAUAAAGGGGAUUAUUCCUUCAGAAUUUUGUAGAAGAGAAUGUAGCACCAGUGUUUUUAAGCUUAAAAUGGCUGUGUUCUAUGGGGAUACAGCCACAUCAAUGUUUAUAGCUGCACAAUUCACAGUAUCUAAACUGUGGAAGCAACCUAGAUGCCCUUCAGUAGAUGAAUGGAUAAAGAAAAUGUGGUAUAUAUGCACAAUGGAAUAUUACUCAGCAAUAAAAGAGAAUAAAAUCAUGGCAUUUGCAGGUAAAUGGAUGGAGCUGGAGAAUAUAAUACUAAAUGAAGUAAGCCAAUCCCCCCAAAAAACAAACGCCGAAUGUUUUCUCUGAUAUAAGGAGGCUGAUUCAUAGUAGGAUUGGGAGGGGGAGCAUGAGAGGAUUAGAUGAACUCUAGAUAGGGCAAAGAGGUGGGAGGGACAUGGGGGUAGAAAAGAUAGUGGAAUGAGAUGGACAUCAUUACCCUAAGUACAUGUAUGAAGACACGAAUUGGUGUGAAUAUACUUUGUAUACAACCAGAGACAUGAAAAAUUAUGCUCUAUAUGUGUAAUAUGAAUUAUAAUGCAUUCUACUUUCAUAUAUAACAAAUUAUAAUUUUUAAAAUUAAAAAAAAACAAAAACAAAAUGAGUAUAAGAAAUUGUCAAAAUAAAGGAGCCUAAGGAUAUAAAAUGAGUUAUGUAGUAUCCUGUAUGGUAUAAUGUAACACAAAAAGGACAUUACAUAAAAACUCUGGAAGUCUGAAUAAAGUCUGACUUUUAGUUAAUGAUUUAAAAAAAAUGGCUGUGUUCUUAAAAUUUCCUAAUAUUUCCACUUUGGGGAAUGUUCCCAAGGACAUCUAACCUGAGUCACCCAUGUUAGAGCAGAAGCUCUUUACCCAACAUCUCAUCAGCCUGAGAAUCUUAUUUAAUAUUUGAAAGAAUAUUGGUUUAUAGUUUGUCUCAUUUUCUAUUUUUAAUAUGAAACAGUAUAAUAAGUAAGCAAAAAAAAUAAGUUAAACAAUGUUUUUCCCCAUAAAAAUAGAAAAGCAGGUGGCGCAUGCCUGUAAUCUUAGAGGCUCGGGAGGCUGAGGCAGGAGGAUUGCAAGUUCAAAGCAACUUAGUGAGGCCUUAAUCGACUCAGUGAAACCCUGUUUCUAAAUAAAAUAUAAAAAGGGGGCUAGCUCAGUGGUUAAAUGCCCCUGGGUUCAAUCCCUAGUACCAAGAAGAAAGAGAGGGGGGCGGGGCGGGGACUAAGGAAAGAAAGGGAACGCCAGGAGUAUUCUAGAGCACUUACAUAGUUCAGCCAGAGAUGACAAAUAUGAGGCCAGUGCUGCCAGUCAGCAUGCAGUCUGUGAUUGAUGUCAUUUGUUGAUCAUGACACUUUGUUUUCUGAAGAGUCUGGAUAUUUCCUAAGAAUCCUUCUUAACAUACACUGCAGGUAGCCAGUAACAAUGAGUUGCCAUUGAUACAAGUUGGGUCCCCAUAUAUAUGCUAUUUCUCCUUCUUAGAGUGUAAGAUUUUGCAGUGUACUGUAUCCCCUGUGCAUGCCAAAUAAAAAGAGUUUUAUGCAUUCACAUUGUUUCCUCCCCCAGUUUCACCUCAUGGAGCAUGAUUCACAUCCUUGCUGAAGUGCUUUUAUCUUUCAUAAAUAAAUACUCCCCACUGGGAGUGUUUUUGCAUUUAAAAUACAACGUUAAAAAAAUGCAGCACCAUAUGCAGCUGGUAAACUGUGAACAGAUUUUUAAAUUCCUUUAUAAAUCAAGAAGAAAAAGCAAACAACUGGUCAACAUGGCAGAAAGUAGUUCUCUUGGGCAAGUCAAAUGUUUAUUUUUAAAACUAUUUGUCCCUUUUUGUAAUAAUUAAUACUUACUGGCAACUGUAAGUAUCAAAGCUUGUCAAUAUCUAAACGCUUAUAUCAGUGACUUGUUUUAAGAUAACUUUUAAUCUGGGAGAAAGAGAAGAACGGGUGAUUUUAAUUUAUUUUGUCUACAAAUACAUGCAGAGUAGUAUAAGAAAAGCCACAAAAACUAGCAAAUCAUAGAAUGGUUUGCCUGCAAGACAGAACUCUUCUAGCGCCCAGUCCUUCUGAAUACCUGUUGUGUUCUAGGAUCACAACGUUCACACUGUGAACCAGGUUUAGAGGAAUGAGCUUAAGGCAAUUCACACUUCCAACCUUAGACCAUGAUGCAUUCCUCUAAAUGAGCUCAGAUCUUUGCAAAGCUGAGUUUUAAAUGGGUACUGUGAUGGAGGCAAGUUGACCAUGAAAAUCAAUGUGGAAGAGGGACUGAAGGAGGUGGGAGCUGGUCGUUUACAAAUACCAUCAAAUUGUGACUCUUCUUUUUUUUUUUCAAAUUAUAUGAAGCAUUUUAUUUUCAAAAAAUCUACUAGGUUGUUAAGGACCUAAAUGUUCAUCAAGUUAUUUGGACCUAACUUCUUAAUAAAUGGGACUGUUAGAUAUUUCUGUUUUAUGAAAAUAUUACUUAGACCUCAAGUGAAUUUGGGACCUCUGCCCUGGGUCUCUGGGGAAUAAUUUCAUCGAUGUGAUCUCUUGUAUUCCUUAUGAAAUCCCAUAAGAUGGGUAUGAUAUGGUCAAAGAAAUCGAGAUUCACCUGAGUUUUAGGGACUUGUCUAAGUCUACCCCACUGGUGAGUGACUGAGGUUGUAUGGGCGGUGAGUUGCCUAAAAAUUUCAUGGCAAAAGGAGGCAGAACUAAAACAAAGUGCUGGCGUGAUUCUCCCAGGACACCGUACUUUUUUCUGCAAAUCCUCAUUUGUCUUCCUUCCAAGUUUGAGUUGACAAUAGAGAGAGGUGAACUUCAUUUCACCUAUCUCAUUUUGCCAAAGGAAUAUUUGUGUGGAUUUCAUUGUUGCCCUUCCUGGGUAUGUGAGGAAUAUAGUCUGCCCUGGUAUAUUAAUAUCCUGAAUAAAGGAUAAAAUAAUAUUAAAACAACUUUGGGCUCCUGUAACCAAGACGACACUGAGGUCCUGCAGAGAACCUCUCCUCAGGUUUCCUGCAGCUAAAUGGCUGAUCCAGCCUUUCAGGGAAUUGGACACUUGGGAUCUAUUUUCAACCUGGUGAGCUCCAAUUUAACACUGAUGAGAGCGAGGAUUUUCCCUCUGGCUCCUGCAAAAAUGAUCCCUGAUACCAUCUUUUUUAACUUAGAGGGACAGGUGAUAUUAAAACCCAGAGUCUACUGAAUGCUGAUAAAACCUUUACAGGGUUUUCUGUUUUGGCCUCUUUCGUAAUGUGUGGUUUAAAACACAGUUCUCUCCAGGUUCAACCAGUUUCUGCGUCCUUUUGAAUAGCAUUUUACAUGCAGCCUUCCGAACAGCAUGUUAAACAGUCUUUGUGCUUUUUUUCCAGCUUAUUUCAAUAAGCUUAUAGAAAUUUAAUUUUAAAAAAAGAUUUAUUAUAAAGCUGAGUUAAAAUGACUCACAUUUAGACACAAAGGUAUCUCUUAAGAUUGAAUCUUUCUUUGAUUUGAAUAGCUUCCAGUUGUUCAGAUAUUUAUUGACCUACAUAUUAUUUGACAUUCUUUCUGCUGGAAAAUAGAGACCCAAAGGGGAGCAAGCACAGAGACCCCCCUGUAUAAAUAGAAGUCGUGCAGUUAGAAUUCCAUUCUUGUGGUGGUUGCAAUAAUAAGGCAUUUACCAGUUCUGAGGGCUACAGGGAGAGAGUAGAGGGUUCUAGAUAGUGCUACCAAGGCAACCUUUUAGAAGAGGUGCUCAUUAAGUUUUAUCCUGAAUCUCGAGUAGGAGUGUUGCUGGGUGAAUAUGUUGAGAAAAGGAAUUCAGUGCAGAAAAAAGUAUGUACUCAGAAAUCAGAGGCCAAAAUGGCGUGCUGGGAGGGAGGAAGCCCAUAGUUGAGAAUUACUGGACUAUAGAGUGAUGUGGGCAGAACAGGAGAUAAAGCCAGUGCACAUAUGAGAUUUUGAUGGUCAAUGGUCCUGAAGGCCAUAGAAGUGAAUGGAUUUUGUUUGCACCAAAGGGUUGAGCUGGGUGCAAACUUCACGGAUCAGCAGAGCCUUUAUUUAGCGGUGGAUUCACACCUCUGAUGGGCCCACUUUCCUGGUGGAAAAUGAGCCAUUGGCCAAAGGGGGAGUCUGUGCUUAUAUAGGUUAUACUGAGAGGUGACUUAAUUAAUGAGUGUGUCAGUUUGGGCAUUCAGGAAUUUGAGAUCUGUUUUUACUGGGCCAGAUGGAGGGUCUGGGUUCAGCAGUCAGUACCUGGGAUCUGCUUUUACUGAGCCAGAUGGAGGGUUUGGGGUCAGCAGUCAGUAUCUGGGAAAGGAUUUAUUUUGGGAAAGAUCAAUGCUUUGGCCUCCUCCCAGAGACUGUCAUUCUAGGCUUGAUGGAUAGCUCCUCCCCAGGGCUUAUCUUGUCACUAGGAAAGAAUGUAUUGGGAAGGGAUCAAUGUUAUCAAUGAUAACAUUUCUUCCUCACUCCCCCUUCCCAGGCCACACUAUUUGGGGGUUUGUCAUUUUCCAUGUCUAAUAGGUUUUAUAGGGAAAGAACAAAAGGGCCGAGGCAUGACCUGAUCAGAUUUGCAAAUUUGUUAAAAAAAAAAAAAAGUCCCUCUACUGGCAGUGUGAAGAAUGGCUUGAACGGGUAUGAAACCCAAACAGGGAUCCUGCUUUCCCUUGGGGACGACUAUGAAUGUCGCUUGUCACUGCAGAGGAUGGGAACAAGUAGGAUGAAUAGAUACUAGGACCUUGCAGAAAAGUGCAUGUUGGAGUAAAUCUAUGAGAUUUUCAAAAUGUUAUAAAAAGUAAUUUUUUUUUUUUUUAAAAAAAAGGUCUUCUGGACCAACCUAGCCAACUUGAGCUUGCCCAGGUUCCCUGCAUGACUGGUUGCUAGUCCCUUCAUGAAUGACUCACCUGGAAGGCCACACAGACAUUUGAGAGUCAGAAGCUUGAAGACCAUCCAUCCAUGUCCUUUUACUUUACAGUGAGCAUUUUAACUCCUCUAACCUUUGGUUUUCUUAUCAGAGAGUGGUGAGAAUUACAUGAUAAUUAUUUAAUCUUAAUUUAAUUUAUUAAAUUAUAAUUAUUCAAUUAUAUUAUUUGUAUAACUUAAUUAUAGCUGCUCAAAAUCUGUUCCCUUCUUAAGACACUUUGCCUUAAGGACAUUUCAGAGGUUAAGAACAGGUGCUAUUGCAAUAUUUGCAAUAUUCUCUUUGCAAUAUUCUCCUUUAAUAGGGCUUCAGAAACAUGGCCAGUUUCCAUGUGACAGAGCAAAUAUUUCUUCCUAUUAUGUGUUUCCUUCUAAUACCCUCCAAAGUUCAGAUCUUUCCCUGGCUGUCUUCUCAAGAGAAGACAGAAUAUAGAGGAAAGAGCUAUAUUUUUUUUCCUUACUGUGGGAACUUGGGUGUUAUGUUUUAGAUGUGAGGUGUCCCCCGAAAGCUCAUGUGUGAGAUAAUGCAAACAGAUUUAGAGGAAAAAUGAUUGGGUUAUGAGAACCUUAACCAAAUCAGUGAAUUAAUCCCCUGACAGGAUUAGCUGAAUGGUAACAGAAGGCAGGUAGGGUGUAGCUGGAGGAGGUGAGUAAUUUGGGGCAUGCCUUUGGGCUAUAUAUUUUCUAUCCAGCAAGUGGAGUCUCUCUCUCUCUGCUUUCUGGUCAUCCUCUGAGCUGCUUGCCUCUGCUGUGCUCUUCUGCCAUGAUGUUCAGCCUCACCCCCAACCCUGAGGAAUGCAGCCAGUUGUCUGUGGACUGAGAUCUCUAAAACCAGGAACCCCCAAAUAAACUUUUCCUCCCUAAAAAUGUUCUUGUCAGGUUUUUUAGUCACAGCUGCAGAAAAGCUGACUAAAACAUUGAUCAAGUCAUAUAAUCUGUCCUGGCCUCGGUUUUCCCAUUUCUUAAAUGGGGGUUAUGAAGCCUAUCUCUUAGGGUUGUUGUGAGGACUAAUGUGAACUCAUUGCAGUAAUUGUAUUGGCUCUCAGAUACCAACAGUUAAGCAGGUCUUAUAUUCCAUUUUUUCUUGUAAUUAUUUUAUUUUUUUUACACAAAUGGAGCACAGCUUUUCAUUUCUCUAGUUGUAUAUAAUGUAGAGCCUUUUUUGUUUAUCCCUGGACCUCAGAGCAGCAAUCCAAAUGCCAACUGGAUAUUUCCACUUGCACCUGCCUCUGACAUCUCAUAGUUAAUAUGCUUAUAAACUUAACUUCUCCUUGAACUAACUUACUCUCUCAUAUUCCUGUGUUCACAGCAAUUGGUACAUGGUACCAUUAUUGAUUCUAACUAUUAGAAUAGAAACCCAUGAGUCUGUCAUCUGCCUCUGCUCAAGGCAAGGUCCUACCAAUUUUAGCUCAUAGUUUCCUCUUAAUUUUAUCCUCUCUUCUCCAUUCAAACUAUCCUGGCAUCACCACCCCUCACUUGGAUCAUUGUGAAGCUCUUUCCUCUUGUCUUCAGCCCAGAGUUUUCUAUCCAGCAACACACCUGUUGAUACCCAUCCCUUCAGUGGUCCUCACUGUCUUCAGGACAAAGUCUCUACUAUGUAUCAAAUGAUGUAGAACUCCAUCAUGGUCUUGGAAGGUUUUUUUUGCCAUCUCAUCUUUCUGGUUUUCUUCACAUUCCAGUGCUUGGAGGUACUUUCAGGUUCCCGUGAAUACCAUGUUAUUUCUUGCCCCCCAUGUUUGUUCAUGCUCUCUCCUGUAACUGUAUUCCCCCUCCCAAUUCUUCUUUCCCUCAUUAGCUUCAACCAAAUUUAACACUACCGCUAAAACCACCACCCUGGCAAGCCAGGGUAGAGGGUACGAUGUUAGAAGGACAACUCUAGUGUGAAAGUUUCACAAUCUACUCUUAUCUCUGCCUUCCUUAGUCGAAGCAACGGGGACUAGUUGUCACUAAACACUUCCUGAACUGAACUGCCCUACUAUUCAUUGCUGAUGAUGCUGAUAUUUCUGUGCUAUUUUUAAUUUUUUUUUGAGGCAGUAGUUAGUAUGAUUUUCUUGUGCCAUUCUACAUCACCUAGCUUCCUGGGACAGUGUUUAGAAAUAACUAUUUGUAUGGUGAAAACUUAUUAACCAAGACUCAUUUUUUAAAAAUAUCUUUUAUUUACCUAUUUAUUUAUCCAUAUCUAUCUAUCUAUCUAUCUAUCUAUCUAUCUAUCUAUCUAUUUUAUGUGGUGCUUAGAAUUGAACCCAGUGCCUACACAUGCUAGGCAAGCGCUCUGCCACUGAGCCACAACUCAGCCCCCUAAGACUCAUUCUUGAAAAUUUUGGUGAUUUAGUUCCUCAAACCCAUCCUCCUAGUAAAAAUGACUCUUCAUAAUGAACACAAAGAGAAUUCUUGGCCUUCUAAGGCACAAAGGUUGGUUUGGCUCAAAAAAAGUAAAAAAGAUUCUGCUAAAGCAAUUUUCAUAGUUCUUUAUAAAUUUCUACAGUUUUCCUUUUCCUCUAUUUCUGUUAGAAUUUGGGGGUGUCUCUUUUUUUGGGGGGGUGUGUUUGUGGGGGGGAGAGAGAGAGAGAGAAGAGAGCAAGAAUAGAAUCUGAAAUAUAAUUGGAAGGAAGCCAAAUGGCCUAGUCCAGUGUUUCAAAAUUUUUGCUCAACCCACUGUAAUAAAAACUUGUUUCAUUGGACCCAGAUAUACAGUUAAACAUACAUAAACAAAUUACAUGUGAAACGCUUUUAAAACCCAGAAAGUACCCAAUUUCCCAUAUGAGAGAUACUCUAUUUUCUACUUACUCUCUUGUAUUCAAUUUCAUUUUAAAAAUGCUCAUCAACUUCCAGUAAGUUGAUUCCCUGACCCACUAACAAGCAGCUGAUUGCAGCCUUAAAAAUACUAAUUUAGUUCAACUUCUGUUCUGAUGCAGAAAGCCUUUCCUUAUAAUAAAUUCAAUAAAGCAAUCCUGCCUUUCUGGGGCAAUAUCCCAAGCAUAUCUGUGUAUUUUCUUCCUGUCAGGGGAAUGUAGAGAUUCCACUAAACUGAGAAAUUAGACCUCCGCAUCUCAGGCCUCAUGGAUUUUCUACUAGAGUGACUUUGAAGUCCAAGUAGAUCUAAACAGUUCAAAGCUGUGGUAGUAGAAAAAAAAAAAAAACUUGACUCUAGAUUUGGCCUGUAACUUCAGCUUCCCAAAUACUGAGCUUGGACUAGCUGCAUCAGGUUACCUGAAGAAUUUUUUGAUGCAUUAGUUCGGAGGCCUUAACUCCAGAAUUAUGAGCACAAAGCUUGGAAAUAUGGAUAUUUUAUAAGCUCCCUGCAUGAUCCCCAUGUGACCAUGACUAGAAACCUAUGACCUGGGAUCUUCUUCUAGAGAGUAGUCAUGCAAUCCACCUUCCUGGUAUGGUCGUUAAAGGGAAUAAAUUGAACUCUAUAAAUUAAAACACAUUUUAUACACACUCACAAGCAAAAAUAUCCAAAAGUCUUAGGUGCCAAAGUGAAGGUCUUCUAGACCUUCCAAUCAGAGUAAAUUAGCAGGGUAAUCUGGGCAAACUAGCAAUGGUUUUCUGAAUUUUGAAGUUUCAGAAUCAACUGCAAUGUUUAGACUGAGCAUAACCAACAAAUUAAAAAAAAACACAAUAUAAAUCAAAAAGUAGCAUACAAUCAUCCCCCAGCUAGCUUACUCUAUCCUUGCUCACCUAGAAAAUUAUUAAUAAUAGCUGAAAGUAUAAAGAGAUGGAUUUCUUUCUCCUAAUAAGCUUGCAUUUUGCUUGUGGUAACACCAAGGAUUUCUUAGAGCUUAGAGAAAAAUGUUUCACAUAAAUUUUUAGAACUAUGACAAAAAGAAUCCCUCAGUGAAAUGUUGGCCUCUCUGAAAUAAAAUAACAUGAUGUACUCUAGUUAUUACCUGCAUAAAACAAAGGUUUUUGGGUAUGCUCUCUUUUUUUCUCCCCCUUUACAAAUGCAUAUCAAAAUGAAGACUCGAAAAAGUCCACCUUAUGUCUUAUGAAUAGGUAAAAUCUAAAUGAGUCAGUCCUAAAGUGAAUUGUGGAUGUUAAGUUAAUGUACUUUGACAAGAGUUUGUACUGGAAAAAGAGAGGUACAUAGAAUAUUCAGUGUGAGGAGAAGAUAUCAAAGGCUUUUCAGGUCCCGUAUGAAGAUACUUUACUUCAGUUCUCUCAUGGUGAUUAUGUAGUAAAGAUUUAUAUUUAAUAAUAUAACAUAUAAUAAGAUUUAUAUAUAAAGUCACAUUCUAUAUAAUAUUUGUACAUCAAAUUCCAUACUUUCUGUCUGAGUGAUUUGGAUUCUGUCUAUAGCUACUGGUGAAUAAAAGUUAAGUUUCCAUGUUAAAAAUAAGCAAGUAAUUAUUUCCAAAUGUUGCAAGACAUUAUAAAAACUGAAGAUAUUUUAAAAACUGAAGCUAAGGGGCUGGACUUGGAAUAGUCACUUGCAUGGUUUCUACUAGAGUACCUAAAGUAUAAAUCCCUGUAUAAAAUAGAAUAAGGACUAGUAACUAAGAUCACAUUAUGUUGGACCUAUCAUUGAAAGACCCUUCUUUAAAACAUGAUAUAAAUUUUCAGGGUAGGAAAACCCAAUCUUUUGAGGCAUGCUAUUUAAAGGAAGGUCUAGAAUAUAAGAAAAAUAAAUAAAUAGAAAAAUAGAUCAAUACUAAAGAUGCUUAAAAUUACCAUAUUUGAUAGAUGUCUGAACAAUUGUUUUCCAGUUUCCCCCAAUAUUUGAAUAAGACAAGCUGCUAGAGAGUAUUUUUUUUUCAUCUUUCAUAGCUAGAUGUAAUCAACUCCUAGCUACUCUGUCAACCUCAGAGGAACUUUGGAAUGUGCUGAUAUAGGAAAUAGACAAUCAGAAAGGAGUAUGAAGGAUAUUGACUCAAAUUUUUUGGUCCUCCUCCCUUUUAUUCCAUUACUGACCAGAGGAUAACAACACAGCAACACGUGUUGGGAAACACUUUGAAGUUUAUGAAUUCCCUUCAUCUGUGUUAUCUUAUUUGACCUUCAGAAUAUUUGGUAAGGUAGGCACGAUCUGUCUCUGGAAACAUUGUCUAAGGUAAACUAAAUAAGAUGAGGUAUCUGGAGAAAGGAGGACACUUGUCUACUGAUCAGUUACUGAGACCAUAAAGCUCAGUCUUUGGAUUUAUUCCCAGAGCUCUGAGUUUUAUCUUACAAUGCAGCAGAAUAUGCUAUGCAUGUAAUCACCAAAAUAUAGAAGCAGAAAGACUCAAAUGAUGAAUGAAGCUUACAUUUCCAUCCUGGACAUUUCAGACGAGAUUCUUCCAGUGAGGAACAACACAGCAUAGUAUUAGGUCAAAACAUAUGCAAUUAUGAAAUAGUCAGAACAGACUGCUUUAUGUGGUUUAUCUUAGAGAGAAAGUCAUUUUCUAGAUUCAGCUGUGUAAACUGGAGUCUGAGCCCCCACUCUAACACUGUUGACCACGACCAGGUAACUUUCCCUGAACUUGUGUCCUCCUCCAGGAAAUGCACAAAAUAGUGUUUAUCUCAUGGGACAGCUGAGAGGAUGAGAUACAUGAUGUGUUGAAUAUCCAACUCAUGAACUAUUUCCACUAUAUAAAAACGUGAGCUUUUACACUGGGUCAGCUUUGGGAUGAGCUGGUGUUUUGCAAAAUCAGAAACAGCUCCCCCUGGUGAACAUGUGGCCCCUUACUUCUGACUCUGAGUCAUUUUGAGUUCUCCUCAUUCCCUCAAUCUAGUAUCUAAUUAUCCACUAAAUAUUUCUCACUUUAUAUCCUAAAUGAUUAUUUAAUCCACUUUUUCUAUUUUUAUAGCAGUGCCCUGUUUUAAGACCUCCAUAAUAUCUCUUGACCAGAUGGUUACAACAAUCUCAAAACUGGUCUCCUUACUUCUAGUCUUAGUUCUUCCACCCUUUUCCUUGAUGCAUAUAAAUCUAACAAAAUGCCUUCUAAUAACCUACAGAAUAAAAUCCAGCUCAUUACCAUAGCAUCAUUUGUCCACCCCCCAGCCGGAUCUUUAUCAAACUUCCCUGCCUUGUCCCCUGUCACUGUCACCUUUCUAAGUUUUAAUAACAAACAGCAAAUUAUUUUUAGCUUUCCAUGCACACUAUCCAAUUCGUUCUUCUGUGUGUGACUCUGGAAGAUAUCAUCUGGUUUGACUUAAUAAGCUGCCUUAUCUGACAGACAAAUGCUCCAUGGCAGUAGCUCCCCAGUUGGAGUCCCAUGGGCAGGUUCUCUAAACACCAGGCCCCUAGACUGGCUGCUUUCCUCACUUCAGUUCCCUUGCCCAAUAAAAAAUAUAUAAAUGGGAGAUCACCAAAGGUCAAAGAGAUGCGACACCUCCAAGGCAUUUCCAUAAAGAAUUGUAAUGAGGCUUUGUUUUCAAUCUGGAUCCUUGAUUUCAAGGAGACUGCUCGCAGACUCUGUCUAAAGGGAUGUGGCAGGGAGGUGAUUAGUCUAAAUGUCAGAAAACCACUGUGGUAUCUGGUGUCUCCCAGAACCCUCAACGACUCCAACACAAACAGUGACUCACGACCCCUUUAUAUCCCGAAACAAGCUGACACUCUUUGUCAGCACACUUCUGAAAGGUUUUGACUUUUGAUCCAGAAGGAAAAACAGGCGAAGGCUAAUUUGGUGACUGAGGGCUGAAUAGAAAGAGGACAUGAAGUUUUAUUCCUGCUGCCUGACACCAUGAUUGCCUCUGUGGUUCAAUUAGCUGUGUCUUGAAGAAACAGGGCAACACGAGUCUAAUGAGCCUAGAUGGAAGCCCGAUCAUACAGGUUAGGUUUCAAUUGUUUUGUGGCUCAACCAAGACCAUGUGACCCCAGUAUUGGAAUUACCUGAGUACUCUAGAAGGGGUAGAUCACAUUUUUCCUCUCUCCAUGCAAGUCUUUUUAUCUGGACAUGCCUUAAGUUUUCUCAGACAUAAUUUCAAGAUACAGGAAGCAAAGAGUUAGAUUUCAGAUUUGUUUUUAAAUAAAUGUUUUUAAAAGCAUUAUAGAGUAGGAAAAAUACUACUCCUGGAGUCACACGCAAAUAUAUUAAAUCUUAGUACCAUUUAUCAACCAUGGGUUUUGCAUGAGUCACACAGUCUCUCCAAGAUUCUAGCUGCCCACAUGUAAAAGAGGAUGGCUAAUACCCAUCCAGUAGGAUUGAUUUAAGGGUGAGAUAGAUACUUGUAUGUGAGAGGGCCUAGCAUUAUAAUUAGCACUCAGGAGGAACUGUAUCUUUUUAUUUUCUUUCAUCAUCAUUGCUAAUGGCCAAUCUCUUUGUUUUGAAAAUAGCUAGGUUUUUCUCCCCCGACCUCCUUCUACUCAUAUUUGAAAGCUGCGGGUCCAGCAAAAUCAUUAUGGCUGUCUGCAAUAAAAUCAGAUGGAUGACUAAACCAGCCAGAGGAAAAAUAGGGCGGAUCCACGAGGGAGACAUGACAGAGGGCUUGGCUGAAGGACUGUAAUUUAGAGCAUCCAUCAUCUUUGGCCCAGGGAGCAACACUAUAGUCUAGCCUGACUUGAGCUCUGAUUUCUUCCAAGGUGUUAAGAACUCAUUUAAUAGUGAUGAAGACUCACCAUAGUGCUUGUUAUAGCUGUGUUAUCUUUGCCAAGAUAAUUUCUUAUAUGCUGCUGUUAUACAUUCAUGCAAAACAAUGCAUUCCUACAGAAUAAGAAAUUUAAUAAGCCCUUUGUGAAUACAUUCAGGUAGCCUAUAUAAACUCCCCAGAAUAGUACACACAGGUUGGUAGAUAUAUGUGCAUGCCAGAAUUCAAAAAGGAGAGGAUCCAUAGCUUUUAUUAGGCUCUCAGUGAAGUCUGUAACCAAAAAGAGUUUUUAAGAAUCACUGCUACUGCUACAGAGCGAAUGACCUUAUUUGUGACAGCUAUAAGAGACAGUUUUCAACAGUGUAUUUUUCCUGAAAUCUCUGAACAUGUGUCUUGAUGAAAACAGGAUUCAAGCCAUAUAGUUUCUUUGAACAGUACAAGGUGAUUAGAGUUUUUACUACAUUUGCAAGCAUGGGGGCACACACCUAUAAUCCCAGCAACUCUGGAGGCUAAAGUAGGAUGAUCACAGGUUCAAGUCCACACCCAGCAACUUAGUGAGGCCUAAGGAACUUAGCAAGAAGGACUGGGUUAAAAAAAAAAAAAGUGGCUCAGUAGUGAAGUGCCCCUGGGUUCAAUUCCUGGUACCCCUCCCCCAAAGUUUUUUUUUUUUUUUUUUUUUUUUUUUUACAUUUGUUUUUUAGCUACUCCUACAGACUGCCCAAGGUCUUUCAUAAAAGUUGAUAAAACACGCUCAAUUUUAUGAUACUCUUGUAACCUUAAACUUUCCCUAGUAUUCCCUCAAAUAUCAAAAAUAAGUUCUUUAUUUUAUUUUUUUAUUAGUUGUUCAAAACAUUACAAAGCUCUUGACAUAUCAUAUUUCAUACAUUUGAUUCAAUUGGGUUAUGAACUCCCAUUUUUACCCCGUAUACAGAUUGCAGAAUCACAUCGGUUACACAUCCACAUUUUUACAUACUGCCAUACUAGUGUCUGUUGUAUUCUGCUGCCUUUCCUAUCCUCUACUAUCCCCCUCAAAAAUAAGUUCUAACUGUUUUUCUCAAAUGACAGUUUCUUUGAGCAUGGCUUGGAGUUUCCUCUUACAUUGUCCAGGUAACUCGUGUGCAUUACUUAUAAAUAAAACCUCUGACUAUUGGAAUAUCCUCCCACAGAUGUGAAACAGCUGCUUCGGACAUGGCCCACCCACAACCCGGUAUUAGCUGAGUGACAAUGGUGCAAUCACAGUGGUGAAGUGGAUUUUUCUGGAAAUUGGUGGCUGGGAGUAUUUGAAAAGAAGAAGCUAAAGUGACUGCCUCUAUCACGAAAAUAAAAACUGACAAUUCAGAGGAAGAAACAGUGCAUUCUUUUCCGCUUGCCCUCUAUUCUAUACUAGGGGAGUCCUGAAGGCCUGCAGGGAUGCCCCACAAUCAGGGGACACCUUGUCACAGAGAUGCCUUUCUAACCUCUUCAAUUUCCUGAGAGGUGAGGCCCACUUGAAAGGUUAGCAGUUGCUAGACAAAGGAACGUUCAGUUGGACCAUUUCAGUCCCCAACAUUCUUGCUAUUGCUUUUCAUUUCCUUCUUAAACUUCCUUCUCUAUACUAUUGCUAACAGGGAAAGGAAGCAGACCAGAAAAAACAGACCAGAUAGAGCAGAUGCUCCCAGAAGUGCUGGGAGAGAGAACAAGAAGCAAGGGGGGUUGGGGGGACUCCCCAGGAAGCUCCUGAGUCGUUUAGCAAGUGUGUGGUCCGGGGAGGAGGGAGUUGAACUGUCUCCUCAAACACCCAGCAGGCAGUGUGAAAAUGGCCCAAACUACAGGCUUGGAGUUCCACAAACCCAAAUGAAACCCCAUUAUCCAUGUUGUGUGGGCAAAUGGUGCAACUUAGGAGAGGUCUUCCUCACUGCAAAGUGGAGAUGAUUGUAGCCACCUCCCAGUAGGCCAUAGUGUAUUAAGGUGAUAAUGCUUGAAAAGUACAUGGUGGACAUUCAGUAAAUGCUAGCUUAAGCCUAGAUACUUUUAUUUCACAGGAUUAAAUUUUCUGAGAAACUGAGAAUAUAACCCUUUAAAAACCUCAUUUUUAAAUAAUAAUGUUUCUAAAAUAUGGUGAAUAUACAGUUGGCUUUUCAUAUCCACAGAUACCAUAUCUAUGGAUUCAAUCAACCAUGAAUGGAAAAAUUUUGAAAAAAAAAUAUAAUACAACAAAAAAAUAUAAAAUAACACAAAAAUAAUACAACAAUAAAAAUGUAAAUAAAAAAUAGUGUAACAACUCUUUACAUAGCAUUUUACUUUGAAGUACAUAUUAUAAGUAAUUGAGAGGUGAUUUAAAGUACACAGGAAGAUGUAGAAAUUUCUGUACAAAUGAUGUACCAUUUUAUGUAAGGGACUUGAGCAUCCAUGGAUUUUGAAAUCAAUCCUCCAAGAAUACCAAGGGAAAACUAUAUAUUAUAUAUAUUUACGUAUAUAUACAUAUAUACAUAUGCAUCAGUAUAUAUUCUUGUAUUUCUUAAGCAAAUGUCAUCAAACAUAAUUUAGCCUGUUUUUUUGAUGGUGAAAAGGAACAUUUUUAUGACUAUUUAAAACAAUUUUAAAAAUACUUUAUAUGUCAGUCAUUGUUCAGCAUAUCAAUGGAUACCCUAUGCUGUAAUUCACAGAGCUAUUGGACAUUGUUGUUACCCUUGGGCUGGUAGCCUGGCGAAGAAAGCUCUCUGGUUUGCUGAGGUGUGUAGUGUUAUUUCCUCUCUGGCAGUCACCAUUCUUACUGAUAUUUAACUUUUUCUUUUGACCCAUUCUAAUUUAAGAGGGUUCUUCUAGUCUGGAAAAGGCUCUUAGUAAGGGUAACAAGAGCAAAUUAUCUCUGUCCUUAAAACAAGAGGGACAGGGCUCUGAUUAAUCUGAAGGUUUUUUUUCUGUUUUGCAUACACAAGUGUUAGUACAUGGACUCAGACCUUAUUUCUCCUUUCCUACUACUUAAUUUCGUUUGCUGCAUGGGUAGGGUGUCGCCAUAUUUAGAGUACAUGUUCUUUUGUAAGUGAAGAUUAGCUGGUAUUUAAUGGAGCUUAUUCCCCCAGUAAUAGAAGUCUUAACUUGGAAGCUUGGAACUCUCCUCUCAGUUCAGUGAAUGUUAAAUCUGUCAUGUGCAGGUCACUGAACUAGGUUCACCAAUGGGGUACAAGAUGAAUGAGAACUGGAUCCUGUCUUGAAGCAAGUCUAAGACAUGUAAACCGUACUCUGAGGCAAAAUCAGUUACAUUCUAUGAUGAAGUCUUAAGUGACAUUUGGAAAAAUCCAAGGGUAAAGAAUAGUUUCUGAAGACCAACUUCCUACAGGUAUGGCAGGACAUUUCUGGUCAACUUGGCAAUAGGCAGGUUUCUACCAUCUUGACUGAAAAGAAGGUCAUCCAAAGAGAGUCAUCCAAAUACAAGCAAAUAGAGCACAAAGGUAUAGAUACACUUAGAGACAAUUUUCAUUUGAUUGCAGAGUGAAGUAUUUAAAGAGUUAGAGUAGCAGAUGAAUCUGGAGAAAUAUAGUAGAUCACAUCCUUAAAGGCCACCCUGAGUAAGGAAUUCUGUGUCCUGGAGACUUCAGACCAGAUUAAAUUCUGCUGAAAUCACUCAGGUGACUCCAUGUAAACCAAAUGGCAGAGGACAAGACAUGUGAACAUGCAGUCACAUCUUUCUUCAUGAUGGAGAAGAUUCUCUGGGAAAUACUUCAUUGGGUGAUUUCAUUGUUGGUGAUCAUCUUAAAGCGCACUCAUACAACCUACAUGGUGUUUGCUGGUUAAGCAACACACCUCCUUGAUGCCAUUAAGAAGCGUGGCGAACUUGGUGUAUACAAGGCUGCUGCUGGCAUAACACAACACACUGUUUUACAGCAAACUUCUUUAUGAGUGGAAAGAGUGCUCUCUAAAAUAAUGACAAAAGUACAGGAUAGUCAAUACAUAAACCAGUAACAGUUGUUUACUAUCAUCUUCAGUGUGACAUACUACAUAAAAUUGCAUGUGCUCUACUUUUGUACAACUGUUAUCAUGGUGGGUUUAGAUAUAGCAGUGUCACCACAGUGUCAUCAUGUCCUAGAACAACACGUUACUCACACAUGUGAGUAACGUGUUGUUCUAGGAGAUGAUGACAGCUACGACAUCACUAAGUGGUAGAAAUUUUUCAGAUCCUCUAGAACCUUAUGAGAUCACUGUGGUGCAUGUGGUCCAUCAUUGACCAAAACAUCACUAUGAGACAAGUGACUGUAUUUAGAUGGUUAUCAGUUCAAGAAAAAGAGAAGACUAGAGGACUGGGGAUGAGAGUCCUUGCCUGGCACAUAUGAGGGUUGGGUUCGUCACCAGCCCUACAAACAAACAAAAGCAUAGAGACAGAGAACGAGAGAGAAAAAUCUAGUGUUACCUCGGGUUUUUGUAAUUUGAGAGGAGAAAUAUCUGGGCCAGCCUGACUGGGAUGCUAGCAAACUUUUAUAUUAAGCACACAGCCUCUCUUGUAAACAUGACUGUUCCAGGAAGACUCAAAGUACAUUUUUGAAAGGACCAUGUAAUUAGCUUAAUUCAGGUUCAGCAUUUGGAUCUUGGUGUCUCUAUAGACCUCAUUUAUAAUGACAUUUUGUUCUGUUUUGUUGUAUUUUUUAUCAUUAUUUAAGUCACCUUUGACUUUCCUUCUGAAAACUGUGGGACUAUAAGUCAAAAAGUCUAUUUAGAGUACUUAACAGAAAAUUUAAUCAAAAUGCUGAGCCAAAUUUCAACUAAAAACGUAUUAACGUCAGUGGAAUUGUGAUUCAGAUUCAGAUUGUCAGGAUAAUGCCGUUCAGCCAAAUAAAGGUUUGCCACACAGUUCCAGACAUUUAGAAAGUAAUGAGAUAUUGAGCAUAGAAUAGAAAGGAAAACUAUAUUCAAAAAACCAAAGCUACUCAGUAUGCUAGAGUACUACAGAACACAGACACAUCAUUCGUUAUCUUCUCUUUCUCAAUGUAGUUGUAUUUUUCAUAUUCAGACACAUCACACACACAUGUCCACUCAUGCUUAUAGUCACAUGUGGUAAUGUGUACUGAACUGAUGGAAGUGGGUGGAUGUUUAAAUUCAGACUCAAAAUUUCUAAAGAUUUCUGUAAUCAUCACUUUUUUUAAAAAAAAAUUAUUUGAUCUUAUUAGUUAUACAUGACAGAUGAACAAAUAUAUGCACUUUGAUAUAUCAUAAUAUCAUACAUAAAUGGAGUAUAAUUUCUCAUUUUUCUGAUUGUACAUGUUGUAGAAUCACAUUGGUCAUGCAGUUUUAUAUAUAUAUAUAUAUAUAUAUAUAUAUAUAUAUAUAUAGAGAGAGAGAGAGAGAGAGAGAGAGAGUAAUAAUGAUGCUUGUUUCAAUAUACUAUCCUUCUUACCACCAUACCCCCUCCUCUUCCUUCACUCCCCUCCAUCUUAUCUAAAGUAACUCUAUUCUUCCCUAGCUCCCUACCCCCAUUAUGAAUUAGCAUCCACAUAUCAGAGAAAACAUUCAGACUUUGUUUCUUUGGGAUUGGCUUAUUUUGCUUAGCAUGAUAUUCUCCAACUCCAUUCAUUUACUGGCAAAUGCCAUAAUUUCAUUCUUAUUUAAGACUGAGUAAAAUUCCAUUGUGUAUGUGUGCAUGCACAUCUUUUUUUUUAAAUCUGUUCAUCUGUUGAAGGGCACCUAAAUUGGUUCCAUAGCUUAGCUAUUAUGAGUUGAAUUGCUAUAAACAUUGAUGUGGCUGCAUCAAUGGUAAUAUGCUGAUUUUAAGUGCUUUGGAUAUAAACCAAGAAGUGGGAUAGCUAAGUCAAAUGCUGGUUCCAUUCCAGGUUUUCUGAAGAAUCUCCAUACUGCUUUCCAUAAUGGUGCAUUGGGAAUGCACCAGCUUGCAUUCCCUCCAGCAGUGUAAGAGUGUAUCUUUUCCCCACACAUUAUCGCCAACAUUUAUUGUUGUUUGUAUUCUUUUGAUAAUUGCCAUUCUGACUGGGGUGAGAUGAAAUCUUCAAGUAGUUUUGAUUUGUGUUUUUCUAAUUUCUAAAGAUGUUGAACAUUUUUUCAUAUAUUUGUUGAACAACUUCAACUAUCACUUUUAAGGGGGAAAGUUAAUUCAGUAAAUCAUAGUAUAGAUGUGUGUAUUUUAAUUUUGGAAAUUUUAAGAACUUAUCUUAGGCCCAGAUUCCAUUUCUAGAAAAUAUGGAUUGCAAUGAGCCAUUUAUGUUGCUAAGCAUGCGCAUGCAAGACAAAUGUGGUCUUCAUUUCCAACCUAUGAGAUAAGAUCCAUUUUAUGGAUUUUACUUGGAGAGAGAACCUGGCAAAGGACUUGCUUUGGAGGCAGGUGAUGAAUACAGCUCUAGAUCAUGCUGUCCCAGGUAAACACUGUGUGGGAUCAUUUUGAUAGAUUGUUGAAAAUUAAACAAGACUGUACAGAAACUUAACAUUGCCUAACAGAAGAAACAGGAAAAAAAAACACUUCUAGUUUAUGAGGGGAAAUGGAAUUUCUUCCCCUUUUCAUAAUAAUAGGGAAAGAGGGAGACCUUAUUAUUGGAACUAGAUAGGAUACUUUACUUUUAUAUAUUUUACCAUUUAUAACCCUUAAUUAAAAUGAUAAUUAAUUAUACAAAUAAAUGAUGGUAUUGAUUUUUACUCAUGUAGCAUUUUAUAUAUACGAAUACUUUUUUUCUCGUUUAAUACCACAAUCACCUGAAGCAGGUAUUUUACAGUUAUAUAAGCUGAGUCCUUGAAAUAUUAAGUGAUUUUUUUCAAUGUUAUACAGCUCAUUAGCAUCAAACCUAGAACCUGUUUUCAGGUUUGAAUGAAAAUAUAAUAGUUCUGAGAGGUUUGAUUUCUGGAGUUAUGGGGGAUAAACAAAAGGAUCAAAAUUAAUCUAAAUCUUAAUUAAGAUUGUCAAAAUAGGCAUAUUUACAUACUACCACAACUGGAAAACUUAAGAGCUGAGAAGUGCUCCUGUAUUCAGUUGCUCUGGUAAAUUAAGUAUUUUAAUUAUAGAAAGUUUGUGUUUCAUACUCGACUAUAGAUAAUAACUCAAACGCUAGUUUUCAAACAAUUACAUAACAGUACCUUUAGUACUAAAACUAUAUUUGAUGUCAUUUUGUCUUUGGGUGAUCUAGAAAACGUGCUAGUUCUUUAUGUAGCUUAUCGUAGUCACAAUUAUGUAAUUAAUUGCUAUUGCAAUUGCCUUGGAGUUUUUUGGUACUUAGUACUUGGUAAUAGACAUCAAUGGCAGGGGAAAAUAGGUGUCACUUCUCCCACUCCAGGGCUUCCUAAGACUGCUACUUCAUUUAAAAUCUAAGUCCUUGACAAUUAAGACUUGCAUUUCUGGGUCUUGACAACCUCAUCUCAUGUCACUCUUCACCUCAAACACCACACAAUCUAUGUAUGUGUCCCUUGAUGAGUAGAUAAGGAAAAACAAAAGUCGAUGACAGCUAUCUAAUGGAAGGAGUGUUUGCAGGUAUCAGGAACUGAACUCUCUCACACAAGUCAAGGGUGACAGUAGGUGCUGUAUCUCCAGCCUAGAAGAGUCUCUGGUACAUGAUAGAUGUUCAACAUUUAUCAAUUGCUGAAUGACAAGAUGAAGAAAUCUUCUGAUAGUGAUCCACAAUACUCCAGAAUUUUCAGGACUGUCAACACUGAGUGAAAUGCUGGCUUUGUAUCCCCACCCCAAAUGGAAUAUUGGUGAAGAGAACACUGACCUGUGAUGGGAAAAGUUGCCAUUCUGAGCUUGCCAAGUAAAUAUGUAGUCCUAGAAUCAGAGGAUCGUGUAGAAAAGCACAUGAAUUUAAAUGUUAAAAAUGUAAGCAAAGAAAGAGAAUAAUAAUAUGACCAUUUAACCCAAAAAGAUGUUGAGGGACUGGCUUAAUAAAUCUGCAUGGCUACAAAGGUUUAUUUUCCAGGAGAAUUAACUUGAUAAAAGACUAAUGAAGAGCAGGUUUUCAAUGCAACUGGAUGGAUUUAUGUGUUACUCAACUGCAUAAAAUUCGUGACAGUAGACUUUGUUACCUAUUGGGAUUUAUAGACAAAGGAUGGGUGAAUGGAGGACAAUGGAUGAUUGUUAUUAUAAAUCUUGCAAACAGAAUCAAUCCACAUGUAUCCCAGAGGCCUUAAGUCCUCUCAAAAGAAUUUAGGGCUCAAAGGUACAUUUAGUUCCUUUUAAACCUUUUAUUUCUGUGUGCAUUUUUCUGAUAGCUGAUCUUUUUAAAAGUAUUAAUAACUCCAUGCUAAUGUGUUUUUAACUUUCUAAACCAUUCUCAUUCCUUUUUGGAAGUAGGCUUCACAGAUCCUAAAUAAACUUGGCUGAAAGCCGGUGGUGGGUUGAAUGAGGCAAGCCUUGUAAAUCUUCUUUCCCUUUGCAUGUCUCUUGCCUCUACUAUGUAGUAGGUUAGAAUAAACCAAAGGAAUAUAUAACGGUUAUGUUCCAAGCUUCUCAUUUAAUUGACCUCUGAAAAGUACAAUGCAAAGCAUCACAUAGCAUGUGUAGUAAUGGUUUGUACAUUUUUAACAAAGAACUUACUCCUUCCUUGAUAAAAGAUAAAAAGGCCAGGGCAUAUGAAAAACACUUCUGUUAUUAUCCAGUUGGUUUUCUUCUGGAUUUAUUUUCCUGUUGAAAAUGGAGGGUUUUUGUUUUUGUUUUUUUCUAAAUGAGGUGUGAUGAAUUACAACUCAAUUGAAUUCUUCUGUUCCGACCUGAAAAACAGAGCCUAUCAGAGCAGACCAUUAAUUCAGUGCUGUGUACAUGUCGGUGUCAGGCUGGGAAGAUGGACAGAGACAGAGAAGCAGUGAACAAGGAGAACAAAGGAGAGAAAGAGAAGAGGGGAGACCAUUUGACAGCUCAAGGUUCUAAUGGAACAGGUCAUAUUAAGUAUCUAAAGAGUUAUUCUUUAAGGAGAGCCUAUGUCUCCCCACUAGGCCAGAAGCAGGAAGUUCCAAAUUCUUUUUUUUUUUUUUUUUGAUUUCUCUUUUUUAUUUGAGCCCUAAUUCAAUCCACUUAAUGACCAAUUAAGUACCUUUAAUCCAAAUUAUCAUUGUCUGUUCCUUUCCAGAUAUAGAAGGAUAAAGAGGGAAGAGAUACUUGGAGGUUUCCAGAGAAACCCACUCAUAGAUAGAACCAGUUGCCUUCUGUAAUAUUUAAAAUGUUACAUAGAUAAUCACCUUGCAAACAAUAUGACACUUACCCAGUAUUUUUACUGAACCUCUAGCUCAAGAAGAAGGAGCUCUGGCUUGCCUUCAGACCUCCUGGGAGGAUCACCUGAUCCAUUAGUUUGUAACAGACUCACAUAGAGAGAAGAUCACCAAUGCUAUUUUUUCCUGUAGCUCCAGAAAGUUAUGUUGCUUGCUGUGAAUCUUUGAAUCCCCACUUAUCUUUUUUUUUGUUUUGUUUUAAUUAGUUAUACAUGACAGUAGAAUGCACUUUGAUACAUUAUAUAUAGUGGAAUAUGUUUUCCCACUUAUCUUUUAUGAUAAAUGUUAAUUACAUUUCUUGAGGCUAAGUUUUGUUUUGUUUUGUCUUGUUAUGACUGUGGUAGCCAAGAAAAGCUUGAGAUUUUGAAAACUGAAUCAUCUUUACAUUUUGAUGUGUUUUUAUUUCCAAAGGAAUAGACCUAUAGAAGCUAUAUGUGUUGAAAUCAGGCAUUUAGUUUCUCCUAAUCAGUUAAAAUAGUUGAUUUCUCCUUGUUUUGUAACUGUAAACACUUCAAGAAAUGCAAGAGAAAUCUUCAUGAAGUGAUACCCUAUGUAUUGCAGGUGUUAUGCAGGGCUCUUAAUAUUCAUUUAAAACUUACAUGAACUUUUUUGAUUAGUAGAUGAGGAAACUGAAGUUGGGAGGUUAAGCAGCUUGCUUUGCUCCUGGAGGUAAUACAGACGAGGGUGGAACCCACAUCUCGAAGCUCAAAGCUCACACUUUCCUUACAGCUGAGUAUGUUUUCCAUGGAUCUUAGUAGUGUAUAUAUAGCUUAGUAGAAAUUGUUUACCUGCUUAAAAUUCGUAGUGAUUUCACUCAGUUCCAUCAUUACAUUAAUAUUGGCAUAGCAAACAUCAAAUCCUUUUGUAUCAAAUAUAUUCUAUGGUAUCUUCUUGAAUAUUUUCUUCCCUAUCAAACAAAGGUCAAACAUUUCUUUUUGAAAAAAUGUAUAUUUAGUCCAUUGGGGUUUUCAGUUGCCUUUUAGAAAUCUCUGAUGUCUCAUAUGAAUUUUCAUAGACUGAAUUUGAACCUCAAGGUGCCAUCCAUAUCUGAUUCAUUUAUGAUUCAUUGAUAUUAGAGCAUGCCAUUACAAUUUCCCCAACUGGAAGUGUUGGGGAGGGAUAUUGGCCAAAUUAAUUGUUACAUUGUAUGCAUAUGUGAAUAUGUAACAGCAAAUACCAGUAUUAUAUACAAUUAUAAUGCACCAUAAAAAUAUUUGGAGAGAAAAAAUAAAAAUUUCCCCCAAAAUACUCAGCUCAGAGAGACUGGGUGCUGUCUUGUAAACAGGUCUGUGCUCCCUAAGCACAAAGAUCAUCCGGAUUUCCUUUGAGUCACCUAAACAUCAAGGUAAAGCAUUCAAACCAAAGAGCACAUACCACCAACUUUGAACAAUUUGUUUUGGUUAAAAUUAUAAAUAUGUAGCAUAGACAAUAAACAUUGAGUGACUCCCAUGACCUGGUUACUGAGAGACACUAAGCAUAUUUCCUAGCACUUGCUUUUAUUAAGCAUCCCAUGUCUUCAGCAGUAGAAGAGGCACUUGAAGUUAUAAGUAUCAUAAAAUGUCAUGGAAGGGUCUGGCCUCCAUCUAACUGGCCUUAGGUCUUUCUAUAAGAACGUCUUAUGAAUUGGAUUACAGUAACUAUAUUUAAAACUUAGAGGAAACACUGAUAUGUGAAGAACCUUAAUCCUUCCUGACAGAAAUACAGUGACCAUCAUAAUGAAUAGACCUUGCCAGUCUGGAGUUGCUGUCAAUAUGCGGCAUUAUGCCCAGGGCAAUUAAAUUUGCCUGUUUUUCAUUACUAAGACUAAAUGUUUGGCCUGAAUUUAUGCAGAAAAUAAGUAAUUCCAUUACAUGUGAUUCACCUUUAAGUAACCCUCUAAGUGGAUGAAGACUCAAGUUGAAAACUUACAUUUAUUAUAGAAAUAAUCUAUUUAGCAAACAUUUAUUAGUUUACCUUAUGUUCACCAGGAAGCAUACAGAGGUUUGAACAUGCAAAGUACAGUUCUUGUGUUUAAUAAAUGUGCAACCUAAUUUGACAAAAAAAAAAAACAAAAAAAACCACUUUUCAUUAAAAAAAAAUCACAUGGGAAGGGGUUGUUUUUAAUAAGAAGGCAAAAUGAAUUGUGAUAAUAAGAUACUCUAAAGGCAUGAGGAAUCUGGACUCUGGAGUCAGACGGGGUUUUGGAAUGUUGUCUGCCAGUUACUGCCUGUGUGACCUGGCGCCAGCUAUUUCUCAUGCCCCAUGCUAUACAAUCUAUAUGAUAAUAGCUCCCACCUUAUAGCAUUGUGUUAGGCCAAGAUAAGGAAGUUUCUGGAAAAUUUCCUGAAAUAUAAAUACUCAAUAAAUUGUCCCUAUUCAUUUUUAUGAUGUGUUUUGGGCUGAACUCAGUUUUUCAAUGUACCAUUGUGCACAUGUAAUGAGGUCACAGUAUGCCCUUUACCCUGAGCCUCUCCCAUGCAUUCAGACAGGUCCAUCUUGUGCAGCUGGAGGCUCCUUCUCCUUCCCUCAUACUUCCAAAAUACAAAAGUGGAUGCCAAAAAAAACUGAAUCUCAAUGGAAUGCAGAUUGCAAAAAUCAGGACAACUCAUUUUUUCUUUUAACAAUUAUACAAAUACUCACUGACUUUUUAAAAUAAAAUAGUUAAACAAGCAAGAAUUGGGUGAUGUGCCUGUUGAACUGGGCACAGCUCUGGGUGCUGCAAUAGUCAUCAGGAUCACUCUGCGAGAAGUUGGUUGACUUGUGAAGCAAACAGACUUUGUCUCAAAAUCUUGGUCUCUUAUGUUUCUUUAAUGAUUUCAGAAGAAGAACAUACUCACUUUGAGUCUGUUUCAUAAUCCCUAAAUAGGGAGUCAGUUACCUUCUGGGGUUGUUGAAAGAAUUAGCCUAUCUAUGCCCAGUGCUUGGCACAGUGGCUGACACAGAGUACUCCAUAAACAGGAACUGUCUUCCCCUCACUCCUAAUAAUUACAGAGAGACAAACUGACACUGCCUCUCCAAAUCUCAUGUCCAGCAAGGAGAUGGACUGUGUUUGUAAAGUAGCACAGUACUUAGAUUCUCUAUGUUGCUGCAAAUGAGAGUCUUCACGUAGUCAAAUUAGGAUUUGAACCCAGAUCUUUGAAUGCCAAAGACAGCCAUACAUUUUUCAUCCUUCUCUGCUGUCUUCCUACUUCUGUUUUGGGGGAGUAUUAUGUGGGAAGACAUGCAUGAGAUGCAUUAGAUUCCUUAUUAACUGUGUCUCUGUACUGACCCUAAACCCCAACCUUACCGCCUCUUCCCAAAGCUGCUCCUCUUCCUCCAGAGCUCUAGGUCACUGAGGAGCUGGCUUUGUUCCUAGUCCUUGCCUUGUCUAGCUCGGCUCAGAAGCACAGUGUGGGGAGGAGAAGUGAUCCAGAAAUGUGAUUCCCCCAAAGUGGCGCUUUCUUAAGGAUCUUAAAGGUAGUUUACAUGGGUGUUUAACAUCAGCAAUUAGACAAAGCAAUGUGUAAGCCAGGCUGUGAAAUGAGUAAGCAGAACAGGCAGAAACAGCAUCUUCAAAAGGCUGCCCCCCAACAAUCAAAGACACAGCCAGCACCAGUCACCACCUACCUCCACCCACCUCCAGUGUUAGAACCAGGCUUUCUCCUUAACUCUUCCUUUCAUCUCUUCCUAGCCUAGUCUGUUUAAAAUGGCUCUGUGAUAAACUAAUUGCUGCCAAGAUGUUAGGGAGAUAACCAUUCCACAUGUGACCUCUCCUCCAUGUCAUCUUACCAGCUAACAAUGGAAAGGAAGGAGUCGAGGACACAGAGAGGAAGAGGGGCUUCUUGGUGGGAUCCUCCACCUACACUUCUAGGCAUCUUCUAUGUGGAUGGUCCUCACCUUAUGCUUACAGGAUGCCACCCCCUCAGUUAUCUCCUGUUUAGGACUCAGCCGGAACCAUGCUAGCCCUUCAUUAUCAGUGUAACAGAAUUCUCUCCCUUUGGAUCUUUGUUUUGAUAUUGGCAGGGAAAAGUCCUUUCAUUUUUCAAAAACACUUAAUUUUUACCCUCCCAUUCUCAGUAAAGAAUAGGUGACCAAAAUCUAUGCUAUAAACAAUUCAACUGCAGAAAUUAAUAUUACAGUCUUCAUGUAGUUAUGGAAUCAAAAGUGGGAAUCACUGGAUAAAGUGUUUUUUAAGCUUAUCAGAUUAUCAGACGAGUGUCUGAAACUUGUUAUUUUUAGAGUAUCUUUAAAUAUCAUUUCUCCUUUUUGAAAAGUUACUUUGAAUAUUUUUUCUUAUAAACUCUCAAAAGACAUAGUCAUCCUUCUCCAUUCACUUUUAACAGAAAGUGUGAUUGCUUCUUCUAAAAUUUUCUGAAAAAAAACGGUUAUAAUAAGAACAACGUAUACUUUAUAACUUCAUUUGCUGUAAUCUUUUGGUUUUCUUCAUACUUUUCCAUACUUCAGACUUCUCAAAUCUUUCCACUUUUCCUGGGGGAUAAUUUGAUCAAUGCUUUUUCUUAUUAAACAAUUUGAUUUGCAUUUUUUUCUGGAAUUUCACAUAUAUGAUAUAUUUCUACUUAUAUUCCAUGUAUAAGUGUAUUCUAUGUAUUAGAAACAUGACUUUCAGUGAAACUAUACUUACAAAUUGACAUAGCAUUUUAUGAAAGUAAGCAAAUUCUUUUAUCUCAUUACUGGCUGAUUUGGUAUAUAUGGGCCAAGAGGUUGAAACACAAACAGAAUGUAAUUUGUAUUAAGCUGUGUGAUUAGAAAUGAUGUUGUGAAUGGUUUUUACGUCUCCUAACUUCGGAUACAAUGUACUUUUUACUGGAAAAUGGAUAACUCGUUAUGUUUUUUAAUUCCUGUUGUUUGUUAUCCAGAUAUGGUGGUCAAAAGCAGGAUAGGAUCUCUGGAAAACUACUAUAGCCUAUUCUUUUGCUAAUUUAAUACAAUAAUUACUGAAAUUUGUGUGUAUUUUCUAAUCUGUUUGGUAGGGUAUGCUAUCUCUUAAAGACUGGGCUCCCAGAAAUCAAGAACUUGAAAGCAAAAGAUAAAAACAAGAUUAGUUUUGUGGUCUUAAAAUCACCAGUAAUGAUUUGUGAAUACAGCAUUUAUUGUGAAACAAAGCUAAACUGGAAGCAUAGAGAAAUCAUUUAGGAGAGUAGAAAUCCAAGGAAAAUUGUAGGAAGAAAACAAUGUGACUAUGAUAUUUUUUUUCCCUAUAAGAAAAUACAACCAUUGGAGGUGAGAGAGAAGUAAAAGGUUUAAACAAUAAAACUUUAAAUGAAAGGGGGAGAGACUGUAUCCCUAAAUAUUAUGGGUAGAUAGUUUUAAAUGUCAAUAAGUUUUCCUAUAAACUCAUCAUUUGAAGAAUAAUAGAAAAUAGUUCCAUAUGGGAGGAGAUUUUUAAAAAUAAAUAAAUAAAUACUGACAUUUUAAAGACCUAAGUGUCUUAAAUGGUAUGUUUAUUACAAUGCAAAAUUAGACUGCACAGAGACAUUUUGGAGAUCAUAUUUGAGCAGUAUCCUAAGAGGCAGAUAAUAAAUGACUCAGAUAAUCUGAGCGAUUUGGGCUGACUCACAUGUUUUGGAAGAAGGUGUCAUCAAAUCCCUGAUUCUGUCAGUGUUUUUCCCUUUGUUCCACCUGGUAGUGCCAAACAAAUCCCAAAGCGUCAGUGAGUUUUCUACCUCCAACUUUUCAAAUCAACAUUGGCAUUUAGUAUAUUUGAAAAAUAUUCCCUAACAUAAGUAACACAGGCCACAUGAUUGCUGGCAACGUGCAGGAGAUGGGAAGCUCAGACAGAGCCUUGACUAAAUAAGAGCAGAGACCCAAGACUGGGUUUGGUUUGUCAAGAUAGAAGAAAGGGGAAUUUUUACCCUACUGCUGCCUGAAUGGUGCUUCUUGGAACACUUAUAAUCAAUAAAUAUUAUCUGGUACCAGUAUGAGAUGUAAGAGAAAUAAGGAGGCAUUGGCCUCUAUCCUAGAAAGGCUUGGUUUAUCGCAGAAACUGAGGUAGUAACUAAUGAGUGGUGACAUUUGAUAUAACGUAUAUUAACAACAUUCUGGUAGAAGAGCCCAGAAUAGUCACUGUCUUCCACCACUAGGGUUGAGAGGCCCUCACAGAUGAUGUAGCAUGUGGCUUGGGCCUUAAAGAAUUAAAAUCUCAACCAGAGGUAAGGAUCUUGUACACAAGGAAGAGACACUGGUACUAAUGUUGAGGUAUGUUCAGAGAAUGGUUAAUAAUCCAAUCUAGCCUUGAAAAAAAAUGGAAGACCUAGGAAAGAAUGAGAUAGAAAUAUAGAGUUGUGUCAGGUCAAUAUAGUUCUCUUGGUAGAGUUCACAUGAGCCAUUUCUUAGUAUGAUCUCAGUCUCAAGAAUAUGUCCAACCUGGAAAUGGCUAUUCUAAAUCUGUGAUUCAGUUUUUUUGACAGAGCCUCAAUCUAGGUGAUGAAUAACAGUAGUCUAAGAAAAGCUUGCAAUUCUCUCCAUACCCAUACGUCCUUAUGUUGCUUGUAGUGCUACGAAUUUACAGUGCCAAGUUCUGAUAAACAUCUAUGGAAAAUGUAAUAAUGAGUCAUGUAUAUAUGCACAAACACAUACAUAAACUUGCUUUUGAACAUGCAAGUUUAACAGCUGAUGCAACUUCCAAACUAAGUUUACUUGUGCUGCAAUAGAACUCUUUGACCCUUUCCUGUUUCCCCACAGGAUUGAAAAAACGUACAAGGAAGGCCUUUGGAAUACGGAAGAAAGAAAAGGACACUGAUUCUACGUAUGUACUCUAAGAGCGUCAUGCCUCUGCAAGCGAACUGUCA